ACGCAUGCAUGUUCGGCGGCCGAACUUGACUUUCGGCGGCCGAACCUGGGUUUUCCUUCAAGGACUUUUCAUGUAAAAACUCAUUAAAUUUCUUACUUAAAAACAUGAAAUACCUGAAAACAUUUCAUAAAAUCAUAGUUUUACCCUUCUAGAGGUUUCCGACAUCCGAAGUCCCACCGGACGGUAGGGAUUCCGAUACCGGAGUCUAGCCGGGUAUUACAACGGCGGACUGAGGAGUAAUUUCAUCAGCAUUUAAGGCCUUAUUGUCUCGGGCAGAAGACAACAGCUCCACAGACCCUUUCUUCUUCUCACCAGGAGGGAGAGCUACUGCAGGCUGCUUGGAAAUACAAGCCUUCUUGGGGGAGGGGUAGCAGGAGGAAUUUUCAAAGAAGGAGCUCGCUUACUAGUGGCCUCCCUAAGAGUGAUGGCACCACUGGCAGUGGUCUUUUUGGGAUGAGGAGCAGCGGGGAUGACCUUAGCUCCUUUCUUAGAGGUGCCCUUGUGACAGUCGGCUGUCAAAAUCGGUCAAAAAUAACCUUUUAAGUUAUCAACAAUAUUACUACUGCAGAUAGUGGUGAAAGGAUCGAAUCCACAGGGAAUUGAAAACUUACCUAUCUUUCUUAUCAAGACCAAAAGAGUAGACUGAAAGCAAGAGAACUGAAAGCAAAUUAAACUGAAAGCAAAAUAAAAGUAACUACAAGUAAAGUAAAAGGGGGGUUUUUGAGAUUGAUUGGGCUUAUCUAAUGCUGAAAGCAAUAAAAGAAAGCGAAUAGUAAAAAUAAAGAGAAAUCAAUAAUGAGAAAGAUCUAGUUGAAGAAUUGGAUCCACUUCAUAUGUUGGGAUUGAUCAUUGACACUUAGUUUUCCUUGAUAGAUUUAAUAGAUUAGUUAUGGAAAUGGAAGACGCUUCUCACCACCAUGUCUCUCCUUAAUCAUAAACCAAUUAGGGAACGUCCUCUAAUUAAUCACUAAUCAAUAAGUUGCCAAGGAAUGUCCUUGGGCCUUAGGCAUCAAAACAACUAUCAAUUGCAUUAAGAAAUAGAGAGAUCUAAUCCUAGUUACCCAAACGCAUGGUGAUAUUGCUAGAUUAUGCAACUUCCUUAGUUUUUACACCAAGUGUUCUUAUGUUUGAACAAUCCAAGUAAUUACGGACUCAAAAUUAUUCAAACUAACAAUAUAUUACCUUGCAAUCAAGAAUCAACUGGCCACAUUGAUCAAAAUAAAAGCAAUAAUGGAAUCAAUCAUGAAAUUGCACAAAUAUUGAAUAACCAAAAGAUGAACAAUAUAUGAUCAAGUCUCCCAAUCCAUAAAACAACCAAAGUAUCACCUAAUCUUCAACUAGAACAAAAGGUUUCAGCCACUCAUGGCUGAACUAACACCAAAAAAAGAAGAAAAGAAGAAGAGAAAGAAGGAACUGAAGGACUUGAAGGCUUGGAGGCGUGCGGCUACUCCUUGGCCGAAUGGGAGAAGUUGCGGAAGAGAAGUGUUGAAGAGGUGGCCAGUCCUUCAAGUGGACUUUAAAUAGAUCUUAGGUGCUGCCCUAGGUCUUCCUUGCUGCCCAAGUUGAUGAGUUGCUGCCCAAGAGGCUACCCUUAUACAACUUGCCGCCCAAGUUAUUUCAUGAGAGAGGAGAGGCGCAGCACACAUGUGCUAGAGCAAGGAGGCAUGCAGCUAGGGUAUCAGAAGUGGGGAGUAUGUUGUCCAAACUUUUCUUUUUAGGUGGAGCCUUCUUUUGAAUUUCAAAUUUUGAAUUCUGAAUGCAUGAGAGGCAAAUGCAUCUUAUUGAGAUCUAGCUUACUGAAUAGGCAGGACUGACUGCUGAGGUGUCUUCACAUUCUGAAUAAGGAAAGAAGGAUUUGCAAUUUGAAUUUCAAAUGAUCUGCUGACUGUGCUUUUUUUAUUGGACUCUUUCCUUAUUUGGCACUUUUCAUAUUUGAAAACUUUCCAUAUUUGGCACUUUUUGGUAGUUUUGAGAGUAUUUUCACCAUAUUGUCUCUUUACACCUAUCUUCUGCAAAAUAAGAUCAAAACCACAAAAUUAGGCAGAAAAGGUGUAAAUAAACAUUAAUAACAUUAUGAUAAAAUGGUCUAAAACAUGCUCUAUCAAAUACCCCCACACCUAGCCUUUUGCUUGUCCUCAAGCAAAUGAAUAUAGUCAAACAAGCUCUUUUUGCUACUUGAUCCUUAUUUCCACUUAAGCUCUCACUCUAGAUACUUAUUUUAAAUCAUUGCAGUGAAGAAUAUAUGCAUCAAGGUUACUCACCUUCCUUCCUUGUUUCCCUUCACUUACCAUGGCUAGGAUUUAUUUUCCUCAAGAGAGAGAUUACACAUGCACAUAUUAUUUGUUCAAUUAAUACUUUUUCUAGCUUUCAGAGUGAUUUGACCUUACCUUGAAGUACUUUAUUCGGCCUUUUGCACAUUAAUUCUUGCUUGAAAAAGUCACCAACCUUUUGACAUGAAGGUACAUAUUUGUGAUACCCACCCCCAGUUACUCAGUUGGUCACUUGUCCAAGUGGCUACUAGCUCUGUUCAUAGUCUUUCAACCAUUGGAACAGUUUUCAAUUUGUGCUCAUGAAGUCUAAGCCUUUGCCGAAUUCCUUUUAAUCAAUGAAUUGGGCAAAUCAACAUCAAUUGCUAAAACAAGUCAUGUUAAGUUCAUUCACACAUCUUUCAAUUCAUUUUCUCUAAUUUGUGUCAUCAAUAUAUUUUUCACCAUGGCAAGCUCAAAGAUUCAAUUCAAAAGGCAAUUCCCAAACAUGAAUACAACUCACUGCAAUUGAUUUAACUUAAGUUUAAAAAGUCAUCACAUCAAUGGGGUCAUGGAAAGAAAGCUCAUCCAACAUAGUCUAUCAGUUCAAGUAAAGAAAAUCAAAACAGAAAAACAAAAACUGUGACUAAAGUGUGUGUUAUUGAAAGCAAAAAACGAAAAAAAUUUGAAAAAAUUCAAACUAUGGCUAGCAUUCUCAUGCAAAACUGAAAGAAGAAAACACAAGACUGAAAGACUGAAAGCAAAAAAUCGCAAACUAAAAGCAAAAAAUUGCAAAACUGAAAGAAGAAUUAAUUCAGAGAUAUGCACUCCCACACCUAAAUCAUGCAUUAUCCUCAAUGUAUUGGAAAAAUUAAAAGAUCAAAGGAAAUUGAGUACUCCCCUGGGGUGGUGUGCAUGGUGCGAUCCACUUAAGCAAAUUGAGAGACGAAUAGAUGUUCGUCUGGGAAGUCUUCCUUGAUUGGACUUGGCAUAGAGCUGGAGGGAAGGCGGCUCAGGUGAUCAGCCACUAGAUUCUCCUUUCCUUUCUUGUCCCUUAUCUCCAUAUCGAACUCUUGUAACAAUCGAAUCCACCGAAUGAGUCUCAGUUUGGCCUCCUUUUUCUUGAUCAGAUAUCGCAAGGCUGCAUGGUCUGAAUAGAUGAUGACUUUAGUCCCCAGGAGGUACGAUCUGAACUUCUCUAAGGCAAAUACAACAGCUAAUAGCUCCUUUUUUAUUGUUGAGUAGUUGCUUUGGGCAGCAUCCAAUGUGCGAGAUGCAUAAGGAAUCACAUGGGGUGAGUUCCCCACAUGUCCCCAAAACUGCUCCCACUGCAUAGUUGCUUGCAUCACACAUGAUUUCAAAGGGCAAGUUCCAAUCAGGUGCUUGAAUGAUUGGGGCAGUCACAAGUAAUUCCUUUAUCAGAUCAAAUGUUGUCUUACAAUCUGUAUCAAAAUCAAACGUUACAUCCUGUUGGAGCAAUCUGCAUAAUGGCUGUGUGAUUUUGGAGAAGUCUUUUAUGAAUCUCCUGUAGAAUCCUACAUGACCAAGGAAAGAGUAGAUAUCUCUAACAUUUGUGGGAUAAGGCAGAUUUUUAAUGAUGUCUACCUUGGCUUUGUCCACUUCAAUACCUUUAGCUGAAACAACAUGCUCUAAGACCAUACCUUGGUUAACUAUAAAGUGACAUUUUUCAUAAUUAAGUACAAGAUUAGACUCAAGGCAUCUCUAUAGGAUCUUUUCAAGAUUGGCAAGGCAUUCUUCAAAGGAGUCACCGUGCACUGUGAAGUCAUCCAUGAAGACUUCAAUGGUUUUCCCCACAUAGUUAGAGAAUAUGCUCAUCAUGCAUCGCUGAAAGGUGGCAGGUGCAUUGCAUAGUCCAAAUGGCAUUCUUCUAAAUGCAAAAGUGCCAAAAGGACAAGUGAAGGUCGUCUUCUCUUGGUCUUCUAGAGCCACUGGAAUUUGAUAGAAACCUGAAAAACCAUCAAGACAGCAAUAGUGAGACUUACCUGCAAGCCUUUCUAACAUCUGAUCAAUGAAGGGCAGAGGGAAGUGACCCUUUCUUGUUGCUGCAUUGAGCUUUCUAAAGUCCAUACAUACUCUCCACCCAUUCUGAACUCUAGUUGGAACAAGUUCUCCUUCAGCAUUUGGAACAAUGGUGAUCCCAGUUUUCUUUGAGACUACAUACACAGGACUUACCCAUUUACUAUCAGAGAUUGGGUAGAUAAUACCUGCAUCUAGAAGCUUGACUAUCUCCUUUUUCACCACCUCCAUCAUAGGUGGAUUCAGCCUUCUUUGAGCAUCUCGGACUGGCUUGCAUUCCUCUUCCAUGUGUAUUCUAUUCAUGCAUGUGGCAGGGGAGAUGCCUUUUAUGUCAUCUAUGGUCCAUCCUAUGGCUCCCUUGUGCUUCUUCAGUACUCUCAGGAGGCUUUCUUCUUCAGUCUGACUCAAUUGAUUGGACACUAUCACUGGAUGUGUCUUUUCAGUACCCAAGUAUACAUAUUUCAAGUGGUCUGGAAGAGGCUUCAGAUCUGGUUCUGAAAUUUUUUGACCUCUAUUCUGCUGCUUGGGGGGACAAGUGUCUGUCUGAGUGUGGUGCCUGGCUGAACCGGUUUCAGCUUCCUCCUUCUACGCAAGGUCUUUCUGAAAUGGAAGGCUGAAGGGAGUGAUCUGCGAUUGGAGCUGCAGAGGUGCAGCUGGAGUGCGCUCUGUCUGCGCAAAGCUGAUUCACGGACCGAGUUGAAGUGGUGCGUUCGAUUUUUGUUCUUCCUGCGGUUGUCUGCAGCUCAUUUGCUGGAUGCUGCAGACUGUUUCUUUCAGUUCUGGCUCUUUCUGGUUCUCAUUCCUGCAAAGGUCAUUAUUUAGCAUAUCAUCAUGAUUCAUAUCAAAAAUUUCCUAGCUCAAACAAUUAAUGAUAUCUAAACCAUAAACAGGGGACAUGUCAUGGGGAUAUUUCAUAGCAUCAUAAACAUUAAAUUUAAUAACUUCCCCUUCAAAUUCCAUGGUAAGAGUGCCAUCAUGCACAUCUAUCUAAGUCCUGGCUGUGCUCAAGAAAGGACGUCCAAGUAGGAUGUCUGAAGUAGUGUUACCAUUGUCUUCCUUUGUAUCAAUCACAUAAAAGUCUACUAGAAAGACAAGUUCAUCUACUUGUACUAGAACAUCUUCUAGAACUCCUUUUGGAUACACCACAGAUCUGUCAACCAACUGAAUUACUACUCUUGUGUCUUUCAGUGCACCUGCAUUCAAAGAAUUAUAAAUAGCAAGAGGUAUAACAUUAAUGGAUGCACCUAGAUCACACAUAGCUUUCUUUAUCCCAACAUUGCCAAUUUUGCAAGAAAUAGCAAACAUUCCUUUGUCUUUGCAUUUGGUUGGCAGUUCUCUUUUUAUCACAGCAGUAACAACCUCACCUACACUUAUUUUUUCUCUCUCAACAAGCUUCCUUCUGUUAGUACACAGUUCUUUCAGAAAUUUUGCGUACCUGGGAAUCUGUUUCACAGCAUCUAACAGAGGUAUGUUGAUUUCCACUUUCCUGAAGGUCUAAAGGAUCUCCUUUUCUUCUUUUUCUUUUUGUGUCCUUUCAAAUCCUUUUGGAAAAGGAGGUGGAAUUUUGAAAUUUACCUGUUGAUCAGCCUUAUGCGUGUGUGUAGGAGUGGUGUGCCCAAUCGGCCUGGAGAAGGAGCAUUCGGCUUGCUCUUCUGCAGUGGCUUGUUCUUGCACCCUUGGUCUUCCUUCUUCUGAUUUGUCAUCUUGGAGCUCCUUCCCACUUCUUAAGGUGAUAGCACUCACAUUCUGUCUAGGAUUAGUUUCAGUUUGGGAAGGUAGCUUACCUUGGGAUUGAAGCUUGCUUAUGGAGGUGGCCAUUUGUCCCAUCUGCUGUUGGAGGUUUUGCAAAGUCUUCACUACCUCAUCAAGAGUAGUGUUGGAACUCGGAGGUGCUGGUUGGGCUUGAUUUCUUUGGUAGUUCUGGUAUUGUUGGCCCUUCCAUAGCUGAAAUUUGGGUGGUCUCUCCAACCUGGAUUGUAUGUAUUAGAAUAUGGAUCAUGUCUUACCUGGCUAUUGUAUCCUCCAAUUGCAUUGACUUGCUGGCUAUCUUCUUGAAGUGUAGGACAUUGAUCAGUUGGGUAUCCCAUAUAUGCACAAAUCCCACAUGGCCUAGGUGGCUGAGGUGUCUGAGCCUGUUGAGCUUGGCCUAUGACAAAAUUUUUCAUAACAGAUGUUAGUUCAAAAAGCUGAGAGGAAAUAGUAGAUGUACUUACCUCAUUAGCUCCUCUCUGCAGUUGCUUUUCUUCUCCAUAUUGCCUAGAUGAGGCUGCAAGUGUUGAGAUCAACUCUAUCAUCUCCCUAGGUGUCUUAUCUGCAAUGGAUCCUCCACAUGCCACAUCAAUAAAUCUCCUUUCAGAUGGUAGCAAACCUCCAUAGAAGAAUUCUAUGAGUGACUUGUCUGAGAUAUUAUAUUGAGGACAACCUGUACACAAUCUUUUGAACCUUUUCCAAUAGUCAUAUAAAUCCUCAGAUUAUUUUUGCCUAAUGCUACCGAUCUCUCUUCUUAUGCCAAUGGCUUUAGAAGUUGGAAAGUAUUUGUUCAGAAAGGCUAUUACCAUGUCAUCCCAAGAAGUGAUAGAUCCAAGUGGUAAGUAAAACAACCAAUUCUUAGCAUAAUCAUCUAGUGAAAAAGGAAAAGCUCUCAAUUUAACAUGUUCUUCAGUUAUGCCUUGCGGCCUCAUGGAUGAACAGACAAUGUUAAAUUCUUUUAAGUGCUUGUGUGGAUUUUCAUUCUCUAAACCUCUAAACUUAGGGAGUAGAUGAAUCAAACCUAUUUUGAGUUCAAAAGGAACUGUUAGAGGUGGAUAAGUGAUGCAAAGAGGUGCUUGAUCACCUAUAGGGGCUGCCAACUCUCUCAUGGUUCUUUCUCUUGGCAUUGGGGCCCUCAUGGCUGGAUUUUCUUGUAUUAUUUCAUCAUGGACAGCAUGUCCAGCAUGGGCAGCAGGUUGUGCCACGUUUUCAGCCAUCUCUAUGGCUUGGUGAUGCGAUUCAAAUGAUUCAGAAGGUUGUUCUGCACAGAGGUGCUCUUCAGUGGACGGUUCGGCUUCAGCUGUCUCCCAAAGCCGAGUUGUUUGCUUUCCUAAUCUCCUGAUUGUGGGCUCAAUUUCUGGAUCGUAAGGCAGAGUCUCCCUAUGUCCAAAUCUGGUCAUGAAAGAAAAAUAAAUCAGUUAAAUUAAUUCUCCGGCAAUGGCACCAAUUUUUGACAGUCGGUUAUCGAAGCCGGUCAAAAAUAACAUUUUCAGUUAUCAACAAUAUUACUACUGCAGAUAGUGGUGAAAGGAUCGAAUCCACAGGUGUAAUACCCGGCUAGACGUCGGCAUCGGAAUUCUGACUUUCUGGCGGAAUCUCCGUUGGAAUUUGGAAUUCGAGGAUGUCAGAGGUUCUUUGAAGGGUAAGAGAAAGGUUUUCAAAAUGUUUCUAAGUGUUUUAUGGUUUUGAAUGCAAAGGAAUUAGGUUUUGAAAGGGAAAAGACCAAGGGGACAAAGUGCAGGUUUGGCCGCCGAAGGAUAAGUUCGGCAGCCGAAGGAUAAGUUCGGUCGCCGAACAUUGCAUGGUUUCGCCGCCGAAGGAGAAGUUCGGCUGCCGAACGUUGCAUGAUUUUGCAUGCUGCUUAGGCCACCGAAGGAGAGGCGGUUUGGCCACCUAUAAAAGCCCUUUGACCGGCCAUGGAGGGUUUUGAGCUCCCUGUUUGUGGGUCAAAAGGUAGCUUUUGUUUCCUUGGGAUGGUUUCAUGAGAUUUCUUCAAAUCUUGCAUGUUUUAAUGAGGUUGAACUUGGUUUUUAGAGUUUUUAAGCAAAGUUGAGAGCUUGGAGACUUUGGAGCUUGAAUUCUCCACAUCUCUAGUUUUGGAUCACAUCAACCCUUGUUCUUCAAGAGGUAAGUGUAGAUCCUUAGCUUCUUUGAUGUUUUAUGAAGGUUUUAUGGAGGUUUAUGGGUAGAGAUGCAUGUUUAGGGUAAAGUGAGUUUUUGGUUGAUUUGUGGUCAAAGCAUGCUUAUGUGUUUAGAUGUGUUAUUGGUUGGGGUUGUAAGUUAGUUUUGGACCCCUUUGUGCCUAUACUUGAGUAUAUGCAGGUUGUGGAAUUGUGGUUUGCAUGUUUUGGGUGUUGGAAGGUUUGAGUGGCUUGUUUGUGCUUGAAGCUGAGUUCUGGAUGAACUCAGGUUCGGCCGCCGAAGCAAGGUUCGACCACCGAACCCCUUGAGAAGGCUGUUUUGGCCGCCUAACCUUGCACCCGAAAGAUGGGACUUUCGUCUCUGGAGGGAAGGUUCGGCCGCCGAACAUGCCGCCGAAGGUUGGUGACUUUCGGCUCUAGAAGGUCUUUCAACCCCCGAACCUUGCCCCCGAAAGUUUAGACUUUCGGAUCUGGAAGGGACUUCGGCCACCGAAGGUGCCGCCGAAAGUGCCCGAGUUUCGUCUCUGGAGAGGGGGUUCAGCCGCCGAAGGUGCCGCCGAAGAUCCCCUGUCCAGCUUUUCUUUGCUUGUUUUCCAUGCAUGCUUGAGGAUGUCUGAGGGGGUUUUUGGGGAGUGUUAUAGAGUUGGUUAUGAGUUGUUUAGAGUGUGUUUGGCACCUCAUUCAAGUCCACCUGUCUAGGAUCGGACCCGAGGGACCAAGGAGGCCGUCAGUAUUAGCUGUUGCAGAGUCAGUCCAGCGUCUGCCAGAGGUGAGUAGAACUAAACUUAAUCUUUUAAAUUGAGAAGUUAAAUGCUUUUAGCAUGUUUCAUGCACCAUGAGUACUAUAAGUAUGCAAUAGGUUGAUUGCAUUAGUAGACACGAAUAUGAUGCAUUGCAUUAUUUAUUGUUGAUGGGGAUGGACCAAGGCGAUCUCAAUAGCCCACGAUCUGUUAAGCAAGGAAAGACCUGUGUGAGCUCCUGGGAGGGGCCGGGCGCUGACAGAGAGAGUUUUGAGGUCAUGUCCAAUCCGAGAUGUGAAAUGUUUGUGCUGUGACGCAUUUCAUGAAAGCAUGUAAUUAAUGAACUGUUUUCAUUGUUUCUACUCACUGGGCUGUUUAGCUCAUCCCUCUCCCUUAACCCCAGUUUUGCAGGGUCAGAGAUAGCUAUGGGAAGUCAGAGUCAUCAGAGUUAUGAGUAUGAGUUGGCUGAGGUUUUGGCUAUGUAAUAGAGUAGUGAACAUGAUGUAAAUUAAAAGACUAGUAUAUAAAGUAUUGUAUGGAUAUGUAAGGUCAUAUAAGGGAUAGAAUUGUGCUUUGCCCUGGUGUAUGAUUACUCCCUUGUUAUGCAUGAUCCUGUUUUAUGUUUCUUGAUGAGAAAUGUGUUGAACCAAGGCUGACAUAUGGUAUGCUGACCCUAUGAGAGUGGGUUCUAUGUUUACAGACAUAGUGCAUGCAGGUCAAGCUUGGUAAGUGGUAGGAAAGUUUUUCAGUUUUUAUAUUUAUGUUUGAUCAUGUAUGGGAUUUAUCAGGUACACAGAGUUCAUGUCAGGCUUGCUACGGGUUCCGGCGGCCUUAAGCCGACCUAGAUCCUAGCGCCGGUAGCGGUUCGGGCCGUUACAGAGGGGUAUCGGAUUCCGGGCUGUUACAACAGGGAAUUGAAAACUUACCUAUCUUUCUUAUCAAGACCAAAAGAGUAGACUGAAAGCAAGAGAACUGAAAGCAAAUUAAACUGAAAGCAAAAUAAAAGUAACUGCAAGUAAAGUAAAAGGGGGGUUUUGAGAUUGAUUGGACUGAUCUAAUUCUGAAAGCAAUAAAAGAAAGCGAAUAGUAAAAAUAAAGAGAAAUCAAUAAUGAGAAAGAUCUAGUUGAAGAAUUGGAUCCACUUCAGUAGUUGGGAUUGAUCAUUGACACUUAGUUUCCCUUGAUAGAUUUAAUAGAUUAGUUAUGGAGAUGGAAGACGCUUCUCACCACCAUGUCUCUCCUUAAUCAUAACCCAAUUAGAAAACGUCCUCUAAUUAAUCACUAAUCAACAAGUUGCCAAGGAACGUCCUUGGGUCUUAGGCAUCAAAACAACUGUCAAUUGCAUUAAGAAAUAGAGAGAUCUAAUCCUAACUACCCAAACGCAUGGUGAUAUUGCUAGAUUAUGCAACUUCCUUAGUUUUUAAACCAAGUGUUCUUAUGUUUGAACAAUCCAAGCAAUUACGGACUCAAAAUUAUUCAAACUAACAAUAUAUUACCUUCCAAUCAAGAAUCAACUGGCCACAUUGAUCAAAAUAACAAAGCAAUAAUGGAAUCAAUCAUGAAAUUGCACAAAUAUUGAAUAACCAAAAGAUGAACAAUAUAUGAUCAAGUCUCCCAAUCCAUAAAAUAACCAAAGUAUCACCUAGUCCUCAACUAGAACAAAAGGUUUCAGCCACUCAUGGCUGAACCAAAACCAAAAAAAGAAGAAAAGAAGAAGAGAAAGAAGGAACCGAAGGACUUGAAGGCUUGGAGGCGUGCGGCUACUCCUUGGCCGAAUGGAAGAAGUUGCGGAAGAGAAGUGUUGAAGAGGUGGCCGGUCCUUCAAGUUGUCUUUAAAUAGAUCUUAGGUGCUGCCCUAUGUCUUCCUUGCUGCCCAAGUUGAUGAGUUGCUGCCCAAGAGGCUGCCCUUAUACAACUUGCCGCCCAAGUUGUUUUAGGAGAGAGGAGAGGCGCGGCACACAUGUGCUAGAGCAAAGAGGCGUGCGGCUAGGGUAUCAGAAGUGGGGAGUAUGCUGUCCAAACUUUCCUUUUUAGGUGGAGCCUUCUUUUGAAUUUUAAAUUUUGAAUUAUGAAUGCAUGAGAGGCAAAUGCAUCUUCUUGAGAUCUUGCUUCCUGAAUAGGCAGGACUGACUGCUGAGGUGUCUUCACAUUCUGAAUAAGGAAAGAAGGAUUUGCAAUUUGAAUUUCAAAUGAUCUGCUGACUGCGCUAUCCUUAUUGGACUCUUUCCUUAUUUGGCACUUUUCAUAUUUGAAAACUUUCCUUAUUUGGCACUUUUCAUAUUUGGCACUUUUUGACAGUUUUAAGAGCAUUUUCACCAAAUUGUCUCUUUACACCUAUCUUUUGCAAAAUAAGAUCAAAACCAUAAAAUUAGGCAGAAAAGGUGUAAAUAAACAUUAAUAACAUCAUGAUAAAAUGGUCUAAAAUAUGCUCUAUCACCUUGGCAGCUGGGACGAUCUCGGCUCCACCCUCAUAGGCGCCCUUGGCAGUCGGGACGACCUCGACACCACCCUCAGAGAUGCCUUUAUCAGCUAGGAUGACCUCGGUGCUGCCCUGGGAGACAACUUUAGAAGUAGAGAUGACCUCGGUGCUUCCUUUGGGAGCGACCUCAGUCCUUCCCUGCAAAACAUCCUCAGCGGACUCUUCAAUGACUAUGUGCUCCUUGAAAGUCCGGAGUGAGGCCGGUUUGGACUUUGGGGCAGCAGGAGAUCAGGAGGAGGAAGGAGUCUGGUUGCAGCUGGGUGCCUUGGGAGCGUCAGAAUGGGAAUCCUUCGAGGUUGGCACUAGGGUGCGAGAAGAAGCUGGGGGAGGAGGGACAAUCUAGCCAGCUGCCUUGGGGGAGAUAACAUGGGCGACCUCCCGAGUUGUGUGAGCCACGAACAUGCCAGUUCGGAAAGCAUCCAGAGCGGCCGUCAUAAUCUCCCAGGACAGUAUGAAAUUCUUUGGUGGCUUGAUUCUAUCCAUGGGGAGGUCAAAAGCUGCAGAAAACAGAAAUAAUCAAACGAGUUAGAAGCACAUUCAAUAAAGACAGAAAGUGGAAAAGGUAGGAUCUCAGCAAAUAAGUACCAGCUUUCUAGCAGUUUUGAAGAUUGGACACAAACAUACACUUCUCAACAUUAUACUUUCGCUUAACAGAAGUUAGUCUGAGAAGGCCAAUCUGCUUAGAGAGGGUCAGUUGAGGAAGGUCAUUGCAGUCCGGGAACACAUCCCUCCAAGAGAGGUCAACUUAACACGACACUCCAGGGCCUCCCUUCAAGUCCACAAUGGCGAACCCCUUAGCCCAACCAUUGAUAGAGUCUUUAUGUCCCGAGAAAAUGGACAAUCCUCCUCGAGAGGCAAAAUAAUAAAAACCCUGGCAAGCCCGGACUAGACGGAAGAAGGUAGAAAACAGGGCAGCCAUAGGGUUGAAUCCUCAACUGAGACUCACAGACUCGAAAGAACACAUAAAGAGGAUGGAGUUGGGUGCAAGUAUACGGGGAGUAAUUCCAAAGUAACGGAAAACCUCAACGAAAAACGGAGAAAAUGGAAAAGUCAGGCUGAACUCGCGUUAUUUGACAAAAAAAAACCAAACUAAGAUCCCUCUAGGGAUCAACGAGACCAGAGGGAGGAGAAUCGGGAAGAACGAUCUUCUCAUUGAGAUUGGGAGCCCUAAUACGGUAAAUGGGGUGUCUAGGUAUUCCCGAGAAAAGAAGGUCGAAAGAGAAGAAGGGGUGACAUUAGACUCCAGAUUCAGGACAUCAGGAAGCCUGGGACUAUUCAUUGCAGAACAGGAAAUGUACCUUGAAGACGAUUUGGCAAGGAAACGAGAGAGAUGGAGCACACAGGGAGCAGAAUGAGAAGAAGAGUUCUGUGGAGAUUUGGGGUUUUGAAUUUUAAAAACAGUAAGGUAAAUAAAAGACGUUUUGAUGGGAGCCGUCCUUGGGCCGCGCGGUCAUAAUGAGUUCUAGGGAUUUACCCCUUCAUCAAUCAUGCAAUAAUUGCUUAGGAGGUAAAGGGGGAAUUGAUGACCGCCGGGCCUCACCACCUCUGGGAAAGGUCAAGCCCAAGAAAACAGCGCUGAUCCAAAACCCAUGGAGCCUUCCUCAGUCGACCAGUUCAGUAUCCUAAGUCUCGGCCUAGGCACGCGGGGCAGGCUGGGUCGUCCGUGAGCCCAGGUCCGAGGAGAAGAAAUCCAGUCCAGUGAUGUGACGUGAUGAAGGAUAACAGGUCCAGUCACUUCGCAGCCCUACCUGCAUGUGCGCUGGGGGGAAUUAAAUAGCCGUCUGGCAUGAAGAAAGGUUCUGACACUUCCGUACGUACGGACCUGCGUGACAGAAACAGGUGGCACUGUAGCAAAGAGGUUGUUAGACAUCACUAACGGACAAAAGGAAAGAAAUAAAAGGAAAGGAAUAAAAGGAGGGAAACACAUUUCUCUCCAUAAAAGUUCACACUCAUACUGUAAAACCCUUUUUCUAGAUCUCAGAACAUCAGUUUGAUUUGUUUACACCCCUACUAACUGUUACCUUUGAUCCAUUUUUGCAAUAGCGAUUACUCAUUUUAUUUGAAUUGAAGAAAUUAAUUCAUACACUAAUAUUAUUAGAAACUUUAGUUAUUGUGUUGAUGAAUGGAAAUAUAAAUGAAAUGGAAAGAGAUAACUGUUAAAAAGCAGAGAACCUCAAUACAAAUCUGAACAAUCCCAUCUGCAUUCUACUGAAAAAUUAAUUCAUCCCUCCAUAUUAUAACCAAAUUAUUUCUGGUUAUCUGUAAAGUAUAUAUAGUUCUUAAUUUAUAUUUAUUAAAUUAAAAUAAAAUAGAACCUUAUAUAUAAUAAGGCAACAUAUAUUAGAGUUAGUACUGAGUACUGUUCCUUAACAUAUCUAUUUAAACUAAACAGUUGAGAUAUCCUAGAAGAAAUUAAAAUGAGUUGAUAUGGCAAAUUAUGAUCUCAACUAUUUAGCUGUAAUAACAUACUCACAUAUAUCUAAUGUUGAUCCCUAUUGUCUAGAUGAACAGCCUGAGACAUAUAAACUUAAUUAUGUGGAUUACAUCAUUAUCCAACUUUUUUAAUUUUAAAAAUCUAUUUCAGUUCUCCUCUUAUAGAUAUGCAGUGUGCCAUAAAAAUUCUUAAUAAAAUAAUUGAAUUGAUUUAAUUUAAUCUUUCAAUUACAUUAAUUUAAUAGAAAAACUGAAGCGGUGAAUCUGAGUUGUUGGAUUGGUAAUAUAGGGAUCUCUUAUUCAAAUCGAUUAAUCAAUCAAAUUAUUUCAGGUCAGUUUAAAUUCAUUACUAUUUUGUCUGAGCUGUAAAAAAUGAGAAAUUCAAUCCUUUUUUUCAUGAUAAAUGAUGGAGACAACUUUGGCACGUGAGGGGCAGAUGAGAUAUUAGAUUUUUCAAUGAUGAGGUGGCUUGGGUGGGAUUAACGUGACCAUCACCCAAAAGACUGCCACAGAAGCGAAGAGAAGAAGAUCAAGUGUCAACUGUCAAUCCGGUUUGCAGUUGGGAUCCAAAACUGCUUUUUAAUCUUUCUUCUCUCUCCCACUCUCAAUAUUUAGCUAAGUUUUAUAGUUAAUUUUAUGCAAAUUUCACCAUAAUCAAAAUACUAUAAUAGUUGGUGGAAUAAUUUUUUUAAUUUUUUUAAUUAAAAAUAUUUAUACAUUAAUAAACAUCAUGAGCUAGUAUAUUAAAGAAAAAAGAUAUGGAGGACAGUUACACCAUUCUUUUGAAACUGCCAAAGAAACAGCAUCUCGGACAAGAACAUGACCAUACUAAUUCGUAAUUUUUCUAACAUACAUAAGAGAAAUAUUAAAAAUCUCUAAAAGGAGAACCAUUAUAUCUUGAAUAAAAAGAUCCAAAUAUGAACUUUCCAUUCUUUUAUUGUUCACUGAAGAAACCAACUGCAAUAUAUCAGAUUCAGCAAUGUACACCAUGCUUCUUCAACCAUGUCAAUGUUUUACCUAAAGUCAAAGCUUUUUUAAGCAGCCAACCAAUCUGUGUAAAAAGAGAUGGUGAAAAUGUAAACAUUCAAGGUUUUUUAAUAUUAUUAAUGGGUCUUAAAUGUUGUUUGUAACUUUUUAUUUUUAUUAAUUUUGUGAUCGAUCUUGCAUUCUAAGACAACCAAAUCAUUGUCUGCGUGCUGUCUCAUAAAGCUUGUUUUAAUCAAAUGUAAUCUCAUUUAUUUUUUAUAUUUAAUUUAUGUAAUUAUGUUUAUUAUAUCUAUAAUAAUGAAAGCUAAAAAAAUUCCAAAUAUAGUGUUUCUUUAAAUUCAAUUAAUAUGCCGGUUACCAAACAUUUGAGCCUAAUAUUAAUAGAGAGUAAAAGUUUAUUAAUUAUUUUAUGGUCAUAAGCUUCACAAACUAUGCAUAUAAGGUCAUGCUAUUGAUAUGUAUUUUGGUUUUUUAAAGCUAAGUUUUAUUAAUUUUUUAUAGUAAGGAAAAUAUAAUUCAUUAUAAAAAUAAGUCAAAUCUUUUCACAUUUUAAUAUUUUAAUACAAAUAUUAAUUUUUGGCAGAAUUAGCCCGAAUUCUAAUAAAAAAAAUAUUCAAUUUUCAAUAAUUAAAUUUUAAAUUCCAUUUACUAUUAUGAUUGGAAAUCUUAUUUUACUACAUUUAUCAACCUUUCAUAAUCAAUUAACCUCAAAACAAUAGUGUAUUUCAAAAACCAAAAACCAUCAAAAUAAUAGUGAUGAGAUUAGUAAAGGUAUGCGACUAAAACCAUCCAAUUCGACUAAAUGAUAAUAAUACGGGUAAUUGAGACUCAAAAACUUAAAUAUUUAUACGUUUUCGUUUAAAAUUAAAAGUUUAUAUAAAUUUAUUUUCAUAUGAAAUUAUAAUUAGAGAGAGUGUAUUUUUAAUGAUAGAUAGUUUUUUUUAUUAAUAAAUAUGAAUUCUAUCUGACACAUAAAUAAAUAACAUUCACCUUAAAAGUCACACAUUCAUGUACUUUAAUUAUUUUAUUUAAUUUUUUUAAAUUUUAGCAAUUUAAUUAAAAAGUUUAUAUUAAUUUUAUUUUAAUUUGAAAUUAUAAUUGAGGGAGUGUAUUCUUAAUAUUGUAUCACUACAUAUGGGUUUAUUAUUAUUAUUAUUAUUAUUAUUGAAUGUGAGAUCUAUACACCUAAGCAAAUCUUUAAUACAUAAGCUAUAAUUAGAAUUAUUUUAAUUAAUUAAAAAUUUAUUUAAAUCAACAUAUAAGCACAACCAUACUCUUUCCAAAUGUAAUUUUAAAAUUGGAUAAAUUUAUAUAAAAUUUUCAAUUCUAGGUUAAAUUAUUAAAAUUAAAAUAUUUAAAUAAAUUAUCAAAAUGCAUAACGUUUGAUUUUUAAGGUCAAUUGACCUUUAUCUACAUACUACCCUUAUUUAAUAAUAAAAAAAGUUAUAUAUGGCGUUACAUUAUUUAAAAAAAAUACUCAAGUGUGAUGUUAAAUAAAAAAAAUUGUGCAAAUUUUUUAAUUUUAAAUUAAAUUAUUAAAAUUAAAACAUUUUUUUUUAAUUAGUUCCCUAAAGAUAAAAGGUAACAUCAAUUAGAAUAUGAAAUAGAAAAAAAUGUGUUGCAAAUAGUUGGAUAAAAUCACAAUAACAUUCCACGAUCUUGAAAAAUUUGAAUAAAAUUUUUAGAAAAUUGAAAAUAUGGUAAAUUAUGGGAAGAUUUAAAAGUUUAUAUUAGAUUAUGAGAAUACAAAAGGCUUGACUUGUUAUUUUGAAUAGGCUUACAUAAACAUCUUUAUAAUAAUCGCUACUGACGUGGAACCCUAUGACACAAGCCUUAAACCCACACGCACAAGUAAAUAUGGAAUCCAAAUAUUUGAUAAACCCACCUCUUAUGGCACUCCACUCUUAGAGAAACUGAAACACCAAAGAUCGAAAGAUUUAGAUAAGAAUCCGACAAAUGCCACAACGAAUAGUUGAUAAGUUAGCCAAGAUUUUUGGUGCAAUUGAUGAAAGUAAAGUCUCACUCUCACUCAAAGCAAUACACACCAAAAGCAUGAAAAUAAUUCUGAAAAUUUGGAUUUAAAGUUGCCUCUUACAAGUGUUUCUUAUCCUUAUAUAGUACGGAGAAAAAUAAAAUCCUAAGACUCUUCUGAGACUUGGCCGCACCACACACAAGAUCCAAGCCCAAUUACACUCUAAAAUAACACAUCAAACACAUAAGUAUUAAAAUAUAAGCGCAAAACAUAGCCCAACACUCUAAAACUUAAAAGAUAAAAUAUGGCCAGAAUACAAGUCCAAAUAAAGUUAAAAUAAAACAAGUGUUUAAAUAAUAAAAUAUAGCAAACCCAUCAUAACAAAGUUAAAUCUUCACAAAAGUCUUUCUUAAUCUUCACUUUAGCCUUCCCUUUGUGUAAUUUUAGCCCAUAGGUUUGAUUAGGCUCCCUAAGCCUAUGAUUGCAAGUGUUGCACCAAAUCUGCCCUAUAUGAGUUGAAGCACGCUCCAAAUAUAUAUGGAUCAUAUGAAUAUGAUUUUGAACUCCUUUUAGAUCUAUUUGAAUUACAUAAGUUUGCUCCACACCAUUGUUAGAAAUUUGCUAUAUUGGAUCCGUAUCAUCCCUCCUUCUUUAAAAAAGAUUCGUCCUCGAAUCUUGCUGAUAUUUAUGUCAAGAAGGGAAACUUUAGGAACCCAUAUAUCUUCAACGAUCUCCUCUUGAAUAUGUGGAAAUAGCAUAAAACUUUCAUCAUAGAUGUUUCCAUCAACAACCUGCACAUCAAGAACAAAUGAACUAGGUAUAAAAAUAUUAGUCAUAGAAAAAUCAUGUGGAUGUGACCCAUUCUCCUCUACAACUUCCAAAACAGUCUCAUUCGCAUCUUCCACCUCAUCAAUCAUGUGCUCCCCAUGUUCACCAUCAUUCACAACCUCUUCUAUAAGCUCAUUGAUGGAAUUUUCAACAACAACUAUAUUAGAUUCAUGCAUUACAACUUCCUCUUCAAUUUCAAUCUCUAUGGAAGUUGAUAUUGGAACUUUAGCCUCUUCUUUCUCCUUUUCUUUCUCCAUCUUCCCUCUUUGAACUAGUCUUGAUUCUUUUCUAGUCUCUUUACCCUCAAACUCACUCUUUUUUCUCAUUUUUUCCGCAGAAUUCAAGCUCUCACUUCCAUUUGUAGCCAAGGCCGAGGCCUCCCUCUCUCCUCUCCAGCAUCUUUAUUUGAUCAGCAUAUACCUCUUGAGGUGAUAAAGGAGCGAGUAUAAUCUUCUAUCCUUCAUGAGUGAAGGAGUACUUGUUAUUGAACCCAUCAUGUUGCACCUUUCUAUCAUAUUGCCACGGCUUACCCAACAACAUAUGGCUUGCCUGCAUAGGGACCACAUCACACAAGAUCUCAUCCUUCUACCUACCAAUAGAAAAUGGUAUAAUCACCUGGCGUGUAACCCUAACCUCACCACAAUCAUUCAACCAUUGCAAUAUGUAUGGCUUAGGGUGUUUAAUAGAAGCCAAGCCCAAUUUCUCCACCAUAUACACACUAGCCACAUUUGUGCAACUAUCUCCAUCAAUAAUGAGAGUACACACUUUUUCAUUAACCAAACACCUAGUGUGAAAUAUGUUUUCCCGUUGUUCUAUACUUUCUUUCUUAACCUGCAUAUUCAAAGCACGCCUAGCAACAAGCAUCUCACCAUGUUCAGCAAGCAACCCAUUAUCAACAAACACAUCCGAAUCAUCGUAGUCAUUAUUGCAAUUAAGAGUUCUUUGAGGUAUUCUUGUAGAAGUUGAAACUUGUGAGACAUUCAAACUCUCCAUAGUUUCAAUCAACCUCUCAAGAGUCUUAUAAAACCUUCUAAACUCACAACUAACUGAUUUUUUGAAGAACUUAUAAUCACUAGCCAUGUUCCAUUCACUUUCAUCAUCACGAUCCACCACAUUUUUAUAUUUACUCAUUCUGCCUUAAAUCAAUAAAGAACAAAGAGAACUAGCAAAUAUAAUAUUAGAAAUAAAAGCACUCAAGUGUUUACACUCUUACCACUCUUUUGUUGAUUCUUCAAUUGCACUUCAAAAACUAAGGUCAACCAACCAACCAUAAAGUGCGUUUAAUGAAAUAAAGAAAAAAACCUAAAGAAAGAAGGAAACGCGCAAAAACUAGAUAGAAGACAUUGACAAUUUGAAAAGUAACACAAAACUAGGUUUUGUGCUACUUAAAAAAUAUCAUCUAGAGUAUAGACACAAGCAAACAAUACUCCAGUAAUGUCAAGGAAGUAAAAGCAAGCUUAACCAAAAAAAGAAACUUAGAAUUCAAAUAAAAAUGAACAUGGAUAAAAGUUUGAAUUUAAUUCACUUCAACGCAAAUUAAAUAUGGAUCUAUUUAAAUCUACCCAAAAAGGCAAGUAUCAAAACCCCACAAAUAGAAUUAGAAAAAAAAAAAAAGAUUUCACUCAGUUCAACAUCAUGGACGAAAAUUCAGGUGUUAAAAGAAGGAUUUGACAUCAAAUCAAUUUAGAUGCAAUUGCCUUAAAUGUGCACUUUAAGAAAUAGGCAGAAUUUAUUUUGUCUCCUAAUCUGGAUUCAACCCAAUUCAAAAUUCAAAAUUGAUUCCAUAAAUUACAGUUAUCAAUUGAGAUAGGUAAGGCAAUAUAGAUGAAAAAGGAAGUAUAUCAUAAUUUCGGCCAGAUCAAGAUAAAUAAGGCAAAGGCCUUUUUUUUAUGGAUUUCGAAUUUUUCUUCUAAAAGAGAUUAUGUGAUGAUUAAUAAUCAAGAAAGUGCAGUCAUGGACACACAAGCUUUCACUGAAAUCAACAAGGAAGAAAAGGAAAACUCAAAAACCCUAGAUCCUAAGAUAAAUCAGAAUUUACCUCACUUUGACUCUGAUACCAACUGACAUGGAACCCUAUGGCACAAGCCUCAAAUCCACACGCACAAGUAGAUAUAGAAUCCAAAGAUUUCAUAAACUCACCUCCUAUGGCACCCCACACUUAGAGAAGCUGAAACACCAAUGAUCGAAUGAUUUAUAUAAAAAUCCGAUAAACGCAGCAACGAAUAGUUGAUAAGUUAGUCAAGAUUCUUGGUGCAAUUGAUGAAAGCGAAUCCUCACUCUCACUCAAAGUAAUACACGCCAAAGGUAUGAAAAGAAUUCUUAAAAUUUAGAUUUAAAGCUGCCUCUUACAAGUGUUUCUUAUCCUUAUAUAGUAAGGAGAAAAAUAAAACUCUAAGACACUAUUCUGAGGCUUGGCCGAACCACACACAAGAUCCAAACCCAAUCACACUCUAAAAUAAUACAUCAAAUACAUAAGUAUUAAAACAUAAGCGCAAAACAUAGCCCAACACUCUAAAACUUAAAAGAUAAAAUAUGGCCAGAAUACAAGCCCAAACAAAACUAAAAUAAAAUAAGUGUUUAAAUAAUAAAACAUAGCAAGUCCAUCAUAACAAAGCUAAAUCUUCACAAAAGCCUUUCUUGAUCUUCACUUUAGACUUCUCUUUGUGUAGGUUUAGCCCAUAGGUUUGAUUAGGCUACCUAAACAUAUGAUUGCAAGUGUUGCACCAAAUCUGCCCCAUAUGAGUUGAAGCACGCUCCAAAUAUAUAUGGAUCAUAUGAAUAUGAUUUUGAACUCCUUUUAGAUCCAUUUUAAUGACAUAAAUUUGCUCCACACCAUUGUUAGAAAUUUGUCCUAUUGAAUCCGUAUCACCUACCUAAUAGGCCUUUCUUAAACUAUCAACCUAGAGAAGCAUGCCAACUAAAAACUUGGGACAAAAGCUAUAAAUAUGGAGCUAAUAUCGGGAUUUAUGACAAUGUACAUACGUCACAAAAAACAAAAUAAACUUAUUCAUAUUAUUGAUUAAUUAUCAACCUUUGAUAAAAAAAAAAAAUCAUUUUCCAUUGACAUGUCUAUAUGUUUUGAAGCUAAUGAGAUUGGAUAUAUGAAAAAAAAAAAAAAGUAAAAGGAAAGAUUUCAGAAUAACUAUAUCAAGGAGAUCAUACUUGCCAUCUUGCUAGGAGGACGUUUAUUUCGAGCUUAGCAAAUAAUUAGAAGGGUAACAACUCAACCUCAAUCACAAAGAGAUAAUCUAAUCUUCCACCUUCUUUUGCUACGUAACUCCAUGCUGGAAAUAAACAUGUCUAUGUUCCCCGCACCCACAAAAAUAAAGAGCCAAUAAUUUAUAUUUAGAAAAUGUUUUUUAAUAAAAUAAUUUAUUUUUUAUUAAAUUUUAAUUUAAAAAAUAAAAGAUAUUAAUAAAUUUAUAUAUAAAUAUAUUAAUAAAAUUUUUAAAGUGAAAAAAUAAUUUUCUCUCUUAAAAAAAGUCAUUCUCUUUAAAAUAGUCUAAUUUUUUUUUUAAUUAAAAAAAUAUUUUUUAUUAAUUAAUUUUUUUGAAAGUUAUAAAUAUCAGAAAAUUUAAACAAUUCAUUGCAUUUUCAGUGCAUGCAUGAUGUAUAUAUGUAUAUAUUCAUUAGUUGUACGGUUUCAUAUGACAAUAGAGUUAAUUCUUUAUUAUUAUUAUUAUUGAUGAGAAGCAUUGAUAGGGGGCAAAAGGCAAACAUAUAAUCCUGUCUUUGGUUCAAUGAUUGUCUGUCUUUCUCUCUAUUGAUCACCUCUUUCCUGUCUCUAAAAUUGAUCAUGUGGGGGACAUUGGGAGUUGGGUUCCAAGCUUUAUGGAGCCAAAAUAAUAAAAAAAACACACCCACAAGGAUGAGAUUAAUUGUUGAAGGAUAUAUGCGAGGAAUUAAAGCAAUUUUCUAAAGAGAAUAUAUGCAAGAACCUAUCUCGCAUGAAAAAUUCCCAUGCUUUAAUUUGAAAACCAAAUUUUAUUUUAUUUUUAUUAAUAUAUAGCAAGUGUAUGUAUGAUCUUGUUGUUGAUGUUGGUACCAAUAAGAAGCUGCCAGAGAUAAAGAUAUAAUUGAAAGAAAGAUAAAAUAGUAAUUAAAAUGAAAAAGAUUCAUUACCCUUUUGCUCAUGAAAAGCUAUAUAUUAAUUCUGAAAGAAAAUGCCCCACUAUCUCUAACUAUGAAGGGGAUGUACAAGUGUGUUAACUUUAUACCUCUUUGAAACAUAAUUUAUACCUAUUGGAUCCCUAGCUACCCUUAUUGACAAGGCCACAUCCCCUAUUAUAAUAAUAUUUAUAAAUUCAAUCCUUAAAUCACGUUUAUAAAAAUAGAUUUAAGUAUCCUUGUAAAUUUCCUUUUAUAUACUUUAAUUAUAAUCAUAAAACAAUAAUAAUAAUUUAAAAAUCGUUGCAUUAAUUUACCUUUAUUAUUGAAAUAUAAUAUAAUUAUUUACUUCUUUUUUAUGAUAAAUAAAACAUAAUUAAAAUUAUAAUUUUAUUAAAUAUAAAACAAUUUUUUUUAUAUAUAGUAAAUUUUUUUAUAACAAUUUUAAACUAUUAUCAAAUUGUUAUUGCUAUUAAGAUGAUAAUUUUACUAUCGCUACUAAAAUUGUAUUGUUUGAAGUCUAAAAUGUAACGGUAACAAAUAGAAAGAGUCAUGUCAAAUCUUGCUUAAUGCAAUAUAUAAUAUACAUUCCAUAUCGAUAAUAGCUACCUCACUAUCAUUAAAUAAUUUGAUUAAUUAUUUUAAAUUCUAAAAAUUUAGAUUAAUUUUAAUAUUACUAUUAUAAUUAGUAUUAAAAUCAUUUCAAUUUAAAAAAAUUAUAAAAAUAUAAAAAAUUAGUGUGCUCGUGAGACAAGAUAAAAAUGUCUGAAUUAGAAUCGGUUAUACUAAUUUAAUACAAUAUAAGAUAAAGAAAAUUAUGAUGAAAACAUCAUAAAAUUAAAUUUGGGAGAAUUGUAAUAUCUAUUUCAAAUGGAUAACAGCUGGUUUAAAUUUAUUAAAUAAUUUAUAUUAAUCAUAUAUUAAAUGUUGGCCAAUUUUUAACCGACUAUUAACAUGUACGUAGUUACAAGAAGAAAAAAAAAUUAUAAGGAGUCACAAUCAUUGCAAAACCAUAAAGCGGUUAAAUGUGGCUUUCAAACCCUAGUUGACCAUAACCCAUGAGGCUGGCACGUGCCAGCCGUGGUUUGCGUGUAGAGUUUCCUUGUUAUUACUUUUGAGAGAUGAAAAUAUGUAAAGAUAUUAUUAUUGAAUUUGUGUAUCUACAUAUGUUUGCCUGCCUGUCUGGUUAGCUAUAGCUUCGCUUGUGUUAUUAAUGCAUAAAAAGGCCUCUCCAAAUGACCAAAAUGCCCUCACCAACUUGUAGUUUUUAUGGGUUCGAAAUAAUUAUUAGCUAGGGCAUUCUGGUCAUAAAAUAAAAUCAAGAGGAUGGUGGUAGUUUGGAUCAUUGAGAUGACCUUGUACUCACCUUAUCUUUAUUUUAUUCCGUAGUUUGCGUUGGUUUCCAAAGGAGUAAGCAAAAUGACGAUAAUACCCUUUAUUGAACUCAACAUUUUCGUCAUUUCUCAUCACCUGACUAAAAAUUUUAUAUUUAUUAAAAAUUUACUUAUUGCAGAAAUAUAAUUAAGAAGAAAUUCACUGUUUGUUCUCCAUAUACGCAUGUAUUUGUUAAUUUCGUUUUGAAUAGACCAGUCUGGAUAUCUCUGACGUGUAAAAUACUAAAAAUUUCAAUGACUAUCAUGCCCUCAACUCUCAGAGAGGGGCAUAUAAGUAAUUUGCUAUGAUAAAUUGUAGCUCAAGUUUUUUUUAGUAUUUUUUGUGUUUAUAUUAUUUUAUUUUAUUGUUGUCAAAAUGAACAACAAUUAAAGAAAUAUAUAUAUAUUUUUUAAAAAAUUACUAUUAAUUUCUAUAUNNNNNNNNNNNNNNNNNNNNNNNNNNNNNNNNNNNNNNNNNNNNNNNNNNNNNNNNNNNNNNNNNNNNNNNNNNNNNNNNNNNNNNNNNNNNNNNNNNNNNNNNNNNNNNNNNNNNNNNNNNNNNNNNNNNNNNNNNNNNNNNNNNNNNNNNNNNNNNNNNNNNNNNNNNNNNNNNNNNNNNNNNNNNNNNNNNNNNNNNNNNNNNNNNNNNNNNNNNNNNNNNNNNNNNNNNNNNNNNNNNNNNNNNNNNNNNNNNNNNNNNNNNNNNNNNNNNNNNNNNNNNNNNNNNNNNNNNNNNNNNNNNNNNNNNNNNNNNNNNNNNNNNNNNNNNNNNNNNNNNNNNNNNNNNNNNNNNNNNNNNNNNNNNNNNNNNNNNNNNNNNNNNNNNNNNNNNNNNNNNNNNNNNNNNNNNNNNNNNNNNNNNNNNNNNNNNNNNNNNNNNNNNNNNNNNNNNNNNNNNNNNNNNNNNNNNNNNNNNNNNNNNNNNNNNNNNNNNNNNNNNNNNNNNNNNNNNNNNNNNNNNNNNNNNNNNNNNNNNNNNNNNNNNNNNNNNNNNNNNNNNNNNNNNNNNNNNNNNNNNNNNNNNNNNNNNNNNNNNNNNNNNNNNNNNNNNNNNNNNNNNNNNNNNNNNNNNNNGAGACACCACAUAGCUGUAUAGAGAUAAAGAAAGGAAUUCGCAGAAGCUUUCAAUACCACAUAAUAGAAAACGAUGGCUGAGAGCUUUGCAUCAUUUCACUCUCUGCAACUCCAAGAGGUACUUGUGUUUUUAUGUCUCUCUCUCUCUAUAUAUAUAUAUAUCUAUCUAUAUAUAUAUAUGAUGAACAAAGCUGAAAAUGAUAAAGGGAAAUUAAUAUUUUAAUUAAAAAAAUCAAGGAAAAGCUCUAAGAAAGAUCUUUCUCUUUCCUUUCUUGUUUUUUUGCUAUGUUUCUUGAUAUGUAAACUCUGAUCAAAAGAUGGGUGUCCCUUGUUUUGCUUGUGUAGUCUAACGAAUCCAUGUUUAGCAGAAUUGAACACCAGAAAGGGAAAGAGAAGACAAGUGGGUGACGAGAAAGUGAAAAUUUUAUAUAUACAAGAGAUGAUGAUCAUUAUCAAUAUCAAGAAAGUGAUAUGGGAAUAGCAACACCACCGCUCCCUCCAAUUCUCUCUCACUCCAAGAUUCACCAGUCGGUGGCUCCAUUAAUUCCACAUAACUCUGAUUCAGCCAAUUAUUCUAUGUCCCAAGACUACCACCAAGCAGCAGGCAUCUUCUCUUUCUCGAAUGGCUUCGAGAGAUCCCAGGUAGCUCACCAAGAACAUCACCAGCAGCAACAGCACCACUUCGCCCACCAGAUCCACAGAGACAAACUUAGAGUUCAAGGAGGUUAUGGCCCAUCUCCAGGGCCAUUAGUGGGCAUCGAAGAGGAAGAAUCCAGUGGCCUUCCGGUCUAUGAAACUGCCGGUAUGUUAUCAGAAAUGUUCAAUUUCCCUCCUGGGGGGCAAGCCAAUGCUGCUGAAUUGUUGGACCAGCCGUUGCAGUCUAAUUACCGGACGGCUCAUCAUCCUCGGCAGCAGCAAUCAGUAACUACCAGCGAGUGGUACAGUAACAACAGGCAAGGGAUGGUAGGAGGUUUGGGUCCUUUAGGGGAUAAGAAUCAUACUACCCGCGAUAGUUUAGCUCACCAUCAUCAGAUUUCAGGCAUUAACGCAGAUUCAGCAGCUUCCAUGCAGCUUUUUCUCACGAAUCCCCAGCCAAGAUCACCAUCUCCUGCUCCUUCCCAUCCUCAUAAUCCUCCUGCUACUUCUUCUACGCUUCACAUGUUGUUACCAAAUCCAUCUUCUUCUCUUCAAGGGUUUAGUAUGUCUGGUCCUGGAGGAGAUUUCGGCACUAGUAAUGAGAUAUCUCCCCAACAUUUCACAUGGGUUCCUGAUAGUGCUCAUGCAGGAACCAAUACUGGUGCUCAGCUCACUAACCCAAGUGAGAUUGGCAGUGUUGUGGAAGGACAAGGACUUUCUUUGUCAUUAUCUUCAUCGUUGCAGCACUUAGAGGCAGCCAAAGCGGAAGAAUUGAGGAUGGGAGACGGUGGCUUAUUGUAUUACAAUCAAGCAGGAGGCUCCUCCUCUGGUGCGGCUCAAUAUUACAAGAAUUUGGGUAGUCAACACCAGGCAUUGCAUUUGCAAGCAGGAGUGGGACAAAAUCAUCAAGUUCAUGUUGGGUUUGGAUCAUCCUUAGGAGUGGUUAACGUUUUGAGGAAUUCCAAAUAUGUGAAAGCAGUGCAAGAGUUGUUAGAAGAAUUUUGCAGUGUUGGGAGGGGUCAAUUCAAGAAGAACAAAUUCAGUAGACAAAACACAAACCCUAGUUGUAAUAAUCCUGGCGUCAGCAGUGGUGGCGGUAGCGGCGGCGGCGGUGGUUCUUCAUCUUCAACAAAGGAUCUCCCUACUUUGUCAGCUGCUGAUAGGAUUGAGCACCAGAGGAGGAAGGUCAAACUUCUAUUUAUGCUUGAUGAGGCAUGUAAUCCUCUCUCUCUCUCUCUCUCUCUCUCUCUCUCUCUCUCUCUCUCUGGACCCAAUCUUUCUUUGUUUAUUUUAUUAAGUCCAUUACUUUUGAAAUCAGAGGGAAGAACAGAAAAUUCCGGCCUGUUUUUUUGUAAAUAUUUUAACAGCCAAUUAAAGAAAAGCCGGCUGGUGCAAUAGGUUUCCAUUGCAUCUAGUUGGUAGAGUCGAAUUAGUCAUUAUUUAGUAAUAUUUUUCAUUUUUUAUUUAAAUUUUUUCCCCAUUGAUUGGAUUGGUGGGGGCUGUUAAGGUACUUUGGAUUUUUCAUUCGGUAAAAACAUGAGACUACUAUAAGGGGUAUGCUGGUCCAUCAAGAAGCGACCUUCCUCCUGACUGGGAAGAUGACUAGCAAGCCACCAUAUUACGUAGAGAAGUUAUUACCAAAUAGCUGCUCCUUCAGAUUCAUUACACACCAUAGUAAUAUUUCAGAGAAAGCCAUUGAUAUCAUCAUAUCUUAGUUCUUUUUCUGUUGAAAGAUAAACGCACACAUGUACCAGGAUUGCAAUUAGUGGAUCCAAGUCAAAACCAUGGAAAUUUGGACAAGAGCUAGAUUCUCUUUUCCCCCCUUUUUCUUUUCUCUUCAUGCUUUUUCUCUUUGUUUAUGCAUACCAAAAUAAAAUAAUUUUGGAGGUCAUCUAAUUCUCAAAGAGGAAUUUGUUUUGGCUUUCUUUCCCUUCUCUUCUUCAUUUUGUCUCAUAGUCCUUCUUUUUCUCUCUUUUUUUAUUAUAUCAGUCUACAGACAAUUUUUUUAAUGGGAUGUCAAAUCUAGUACAAUAUUCAUAUCAUAGUCAUUUGUGACAUGUUUUUGUCCUUUUUAGACUUCGGUCUUAAUUAUCAACUGCCACUUAUAAUAUAACAAACUAUUAGGAACUUCUGUUUUUAAUUUGCAUCUCUAUCUUUCAUCAUUACUUCUUUCCUUGGUAAGGCAGAGAGGGUAAAGAAUUUAAUAUCAAGGUACAUGGUACCAUGAUUUCUGGUACUAGACCUCAACAUUUAACAAGCAUUGGGAUUGAUGAGAUUAAAUUUUCUUCUUCUUGAAAUUAAUUUGUCUGUGCAUCUGAUCAACAAUUUGCAGGUGGAUAGAAGAUACAACCAUUACUGUGAACAAAUGCAAAUGGUAGUUAAUUCAUUUGAUCUAGUAAUGGGUUUUGGAGCAGCAGUUCCUUACACUGCCCUUGCCCAGAAGGCCAUGUCGAGGCAUUUUCGAUGUCUAAAGGAUGCAAUAGCAGCACAAUUGAAGCACAGUUGUGAACUACUUGGGGAGAAAGAUGGAGCAGGGACCUCAGGCAUAACUAAGGGAGAGACUCCAAGGCUAAAAUUGCUAGAACAAAGCUUGAGACAACAAAGAGCCUUUCAUCAAAUGGGCAUGAUGGAACAAGAAGCUUGGAGACCACAAAGAGGCCUACCUGAAAGAUCUGUCAACAUUUUGAGAGCUUGGCUUUUUGAGCAUUUUCUCCACCCGUACGUUACUAACUUUACUUAUCCAAAAAUACAUAGAUCAAAGCAAUUAUACUGUUAAUUAUUAUGUAUUCAUUAACGCUUUUUACUAGAUGACAUAAUAAUUACACUUUACAUAUUUAGUUAACUAGAUUAGAUGCAUGGAUACACAAGAUCCAACUUCCCUUUGUUGUUUUCUAGCCUUUUCCCAAUUUGUGAUUAAAGGAACAGCAAUACAGUGUCCUUGGAUGUUGUCUCGAUCAGCUAAAAGCUGUAAAAGGAUUUUCUUUGCCUAGCUAGUGCUUUUUUACAUCACAGCAAUACCUAGUUUCUUCCAGAACCGAAAAUUAUUUCGUAUAAAUCUUAAAACUCUAUUAAAGUGUAAUAUCACCAGCCAGUGGCCACCUUUUCUUUCUCUCUCUCUCUCUCUCCCUUUCUUUCUUAAAAAAAUAGAGAAAACGAAUUUUGUUUAAAGACAAAUGUAAUGUAAACAAUAAUAAGAUGAAGAGAGAUGAGGUAACGCAGUUGUCCUACUAUGAACUUCUGCGAGACUGCUAUAGCUACUGCUGCGGUGCUGUCUGCUACUGUGCUCAUCUUUCUUCUUUUAGAUUCUCACGCCCAUGCAGAAGAAAGGUUCAAAUCCAUCUAUACGGUUUAGGUAAUAAGGUCUCUGAUGUCAUUUUCUGUUCUCUUUCUCAGGUAUCCAAGCGAUGCAGAUAAGCAUCUGUUGGCUCGACAGACUGGGUUAUCGAGAAAUCAGGUUAGUCCUUCACAUACUCUCUUUCUCUUCUUGUAUAUAAAUACACAUUUCAUCUUCUUAAACAUAGUAGUGAAAAGAUUAAUAAAGGAAAAAAUAAGACCUUUUUCAUGUUUCGGCUUUUUUUUGCGCUGAACUUGAAGAACAUAUUCUUAUUCGAGAAACCCAGUGGAAGGGACCAUUAGUGAGUUCAGUGGGAACUUGCAUGGUUUUGGGUUUUCUUUCUCUGAUAAAUUUAUUGUCUUUCUGUCAACGAAAGAGAAAAAUUUUACCAUAAUUUUCCUAUUUUUUACGGGAAGAAGAAAGAAAAAGAAAAAGAUAAAGAUAAAGAAAAAGAAAAUCUCCUCUAUUAUUUUCUUUGGAUUCUUUUUUAAACAUUGAGACAAAGAUUCUGAAAUAGACAUAAAUACUGAGACAGUGAAGAAACUCUUCAGACAUAAAUAUUUAAGAGCAGAAGCAAGUACACUAGAGAUGAGACAUGAAAGUUUGCAGCUUUGGUUUUCUCUCUCCUCACAUCCAAUGACAAUAUCCAACCACUCAAGAAAGAACCAUUAAGACAGCGAACAAAUUUUUUUUUUCCGUAUUUGCAAUCUUAACUUGUGUUUUUUUACCUCCUUUUUACACUCUGCUAAGUUGUGGGAAAAGACUCUCUCCUUCAUUACUCUCUCAAAUCUCCAUUAUCACGUACGUUCUCAUGCAGCUUCUGUUGCUUAUUUGUGGGUGACCAGCUAAACCCUUGUUUUUUCUUAAAGAAAAGGGAAAAAAUCACCAUAUUCAUCUCGGAAAUGGUAAAAAAAGAACGGUGAGAUAAGGGAAAUGAAGUAUAAUUUUUAACGUGUAUAAGAAGUUGUCUUGUCUAAAUAACAUUACUUUCCAAGAGAGAUUAAAACGAACACUGAAUUGCUGCGACACCAAGUAUGAAGAAACAGACACCUAUUUCUAUGUCUUUUUCAUGUGUAAUAAAUAACAAGAGUCACCAAAUCUCAUUAAUGGAGUUCCCUCACUCUGAUAACUUUUGAGUUGUCCAUGGCACCCACGACCUUUUGCCGCCACCAUAGAAAAUAAAUUACAAUUUUCAUUUAAGUAAAAUUUUUAGAGAAAAUGAGAGCUUGAAUUCUUAAUAUAUUAAAAUGUGAUUAAAUAUGAAAUUUAUUAUUAUUUUUAUUUGUUAAUUAUUUAUUAAAUAGUUAAGUAUAUAUACAGUCGGGUGUGUAAGAAUUAUAAGUAGUUUUAAUUGUUGAAAAAAAAAUUAUUUAAAGGGAUAGUAAUGAAUUCAAUAGUGAUUAAUAUUUUGAAGAUUGAAAAAAUGGAUAUAUAAAUACACUGUGUGUGUGUUUUAUGAUUACAUAUUUGAUCUAUGUAACUUUAUAAAAUAUUCAUGAAGUGCAAGAUCAAUAUUGAAGGCAAGCUUGCUAAUGAUUCCAUUAAUUGAAUCUCUUCUAUAGGUAUCAAAUUGGUUCAUUAAUGCUAGGGUUCGAUUGUGGAAACCAAUGGUGGAAGAGAUGUAUCAACAAGAGGCGAAAGAAGAAGAAGAAGAAGAAGAAGAAGAAGAAGGAGCAGUAGAAGAUAGAGAAAUAAAGCAAACCAAUAACAAUAAUGGGGUUGCACAGACACCAACACCAACACCAACAGCAUCCUCAUCAGCACCUCCCACCACAACAACACCGCCACCACCACCACCAGCAGGAGGCAAAAGAUCCGAAAAUGCCAAUGAAAACGACCCUUCACUUCUUGCAAUCAAUACACAAUGCUCCUCGGAACACCAAGCAAAACACUCCCCUUCCACCACCGCCACCACCUUUAUUACACCCACCACAGAGUUGGCGCCACCAUCUUUCCAUGACUUGGCUGAUGAAACGUGUCGUCGUGGCAGCUUGGUUCCAGCUGAGUAUGGGACCACGUCUGCUCAUCACGCCAAUGCUGAACCUGAUAUUGGGUCUACUCUUAUAAGAUUUGGGACCACAGCAGCUGGUGAUGUGUCACUCACUUUAGGGCUACGCCAUGCCGGAAACAUGCCAGAUAAAGGUUCUGCUUUCUCUGUUAGGGACUUUGGGAACUGUUAAUUAUUUUAUAACUUUUUUAUUAUAUAUAUUUAUUUUUAUUUUCUGUCCUUUAUUUUCUUUUUCUACUUUCUUUUUAUUAAGAAAAAAACANNNNNNNNNNNNNNNNNNNNNNAAAAAAAAAAAGACCUAGAAUAUAUAAUUCUAUGUUAGUUAGCUGUAUGGAGUCUCUGUUGUAAUUGUAUAGAAGACAAGGUUUCGCUCCUUGUGUAUUUAUAAGGUUUUGUACCUUAAUAUUCGCUAGAAAAUAACAUGAAAAAUUUUAUAUUUUUUAGAGAAAUGGUCUGAGAAGGCUUGCAUGAAUAAACUUUUAUCUUUAGUUUAUUAUUUCCAAAUUCUAAUAAUAAUAAUAAUAAUAAUAAUAAUAAUAAAAUCCCCGUUAUUUCUUAUAACAAAUUUAUUAUAAGAUUGUUUUUCUGGUAAGAAUGAAUUAAAGAAUUUAAUAAAUUUUAUUAUACUCCUUCCUCUUUUGUCUGAUAUUUCAUAGGAAUAGAUGAUAGAUAUAAACAGUAGACACAAAAUUAUAUAAUUAUAUAUACAAUGUUUUAUUCAUAUAAUUAUUAAUUAUAAUAGUUCCAAUUAGUUGGAUUAACGGUGUAGAACUAAUCCCUAAAUCACUUAAAUUAGAGAUUUGGACCUUAACAUUAUUAUCAUGGUUGUGAGUGUUGUUAUCUAAAUUCAUUAGAUUCCACAAAAAUUUAUAUUUGGAACCUCUCAACUUGAGAGAUAAUUCCAACACUAAUAAAUUAAACUUCAUUGAUAUCCAAAUAAAAAUUAAUUUCAUUUAUACGUGUCUGUUAUAUAAUUGUAUAAAAUAAUUAAUGUGACUAUGAUUGAGAAAUGAAAGGUUUCCCUAAUGGACAGUUGUGGCCAAAUAGAUAGUUAACUUUGAAUUUAACGCAGCAAUGUCAAUUUCUCACCUUUAUUUGGCAUCAUCUUAUCUUUUUCUGUUAUAGAGACUAUUUUUAAACCUACACUUAUCUACUACAAGUUUAAAUUAUAUGUAUAUAAUUUCAGUUUUCAAUUUUAACUAAUUGCUUUGUCCCAAAUUAUAUAUUUAUUAUUUUAUUUUUAAUUAUAUAAUUACUCAUAUUAUCCAUUUCAUUCGCAGAUUAUAAAUAAUCUUAUUCUAAUUGACAUGACACAACUAACAUUAGAUUUUACGACAAACUUGAAUUGAUCCUAAUUUUUAGAGUUGACAUUAAAUGGAAGAACCACCAUAACUUUUCAGAAAGAGAAUUUCAAGACGCACGACUUUAAAAAAUGUGACGAGAGCUAUAGACUUAUAACAAAGUUCGAUAUGAAAAUUUCAUUAUUUAGGGGUCGAUUUUGCAUUUUAAUUAUUUUUUUGGAUAUUUUAAAUAUUUUCAUAAUUUUGCAUAUUAGAAUUUUGUUUCUAUUAUAAAUAGCAUUUCUUACUAUUAGAAACUCAUUUUUUAAUUUUUGAAGAAUUUCAAUAAAAUUAUUCGUCUUUCAACCUAUAUUUUCUCUUAUAUCAUCUUAGCUAAAUGAUAUUAGUUAAAACUUCUGAUGGAGUUUAAUUAGUUCUUUAUCAUUGAUAAUAUUAUUUUUAUUUUUCAAAAUUUUAUUAAAUUUAUUAAUAAUACUCAUAAUUUUAUUUUUAAGUGUUAUUAAAGAAAAUUUUAUUAAAUAAUUUACAUAAUUUGUAUUUAUUAAAGAUAUAAAUAUAUAUAUCAUUUAAUCUUAAAUUUUAAAUAACUAAAUUGUUAUUUUAUUUUUUAAAACUAUGUAUAUGUAUAUAUUCUGUAAAAAAAUUUCAAAAAAAAAAACAAUGGAAUUUAUAGACAAAAUAAUGAAAAAUGUGGUUGAUAAAAUAAAUUAUUAACUAUUUUACCAACUAAAUUGAUAUAUAUAUGUUAAAUUUUAAAAAAUAUAUAUUAUAUUAUGAAAAUAAAAUUAUAAAUAAUCUGUUACAUCCCACAGGUAAUUUAUAUAACUAAAAACAAAAUAUAAAAUAUAAAACUAGUGUAAUGCAUGCCAAAACAACUAGUUACUUAAUUAAUUAAAACAAUUAAUUAGUAUUUUAUCAAAGAUUUUUUUUACUGUAUGGCUAUUUUCUAAGUAUCAUUAUUAAAAUAGUUGACAAGCUAACUAAAAUUUAAUAUAAACUUCUCCACUGUAAAGAUAAAUUGUGCUUGUAAUAGUUUUUAUGAUUGUAAUAUUCAAUUUCAGUUAAAUAUUUUUCUUUACAGUGAUUAACAAAGAACCAAGACCAAUUUAUAUUUUAUUUUUUGUUUUAAUUUUGUGUUAAUUUCUAAUUUUUUAAGUAUGUAAGAAAUGGGGUAUUGUUUUGUUAUUAUCUCUUACCCUAUAUAAGGGCUUCUAACCGUUAUACAGAGAUACGAUCUCAUUUUUUAAUGAUAUUGAAAUAAAAUGUUCCUGAGGUUUUCCUUUCUCUCUAUUGGUUCUUUCAUGGUAUUAGAACUAGGGUUAGGGAUUUGUUUGCCUUUCUCUCUCUAAAUUAUUGUUGCAUGUCGAGUAGAUCUUGUGACACGGUGAAAAUAGCAAGAGUGAAGAGAGUGUGAUGGCCGACAAGUCACAAAUCACGACUCAAACAGUUGGGGACACUCUCGCUUUACAACUGUCAGAUCAUCUAACUAUAGUUCUCGUCUCUGCUCUGUUAGUUGGAACCAAUUUUAGAUCUUAGUAUAGGGCUAUCAGAAUAGCACUACGGAUCAAGGAGAAGUUAGGUUUUAUAGAAGGUACAAUCUUUGUACCCGACAAGGGCUCCAAAUAGUAUGAACUAUAGAAGAAAUGUGAUUUUAUGAUCACAUUUUGGAUAUUAAACUCAAUAUCUAAAUAGCUGGUGGAUGGAUUCAUCUACGCAGUCUUGGCUCGUGAUCUUUGGAUUGGAAUCAUCAACAGAUUCAGGGAAUACAAUGGACUAAUGAUCUACCAAUUGCAUAGGAAGAUCUCCUUGAUUACAUAAUAAAAUGUCACGGUCUCAGUCUAUUUUAUAAGACUCAAGAGACUUUGGGACGAGUUAGGAUUAAUGAAGAUCCUACCUCCUUACGCUUGUGGUGCCUCAAAGGGUAUUAAGGACGUUAACUAUAAUAUAAGCUAAUACGGUUUCUUAUGGGACUGAAUGAUGCUUAUGGACCUGUAAGAGAUCAAGUCCUUAGAAUGGAUCAUUUGCCCUCUGUCAAUAAAGCCUAUUCAAUGGUGCUUAAACUUGAAUCACAAAAGGAAGUUUUAGGGAAUAUAAACAAUAGUAUGGAUUCCUUAGAUUUGCUUAAUAAGACACAAGGGAAAUAUCAGGGGAGACAGAAGAGAAAUGAGUACCAGAAAAGACAUUGUACCUACUGUAACAUGGAUGGCCAUGUUAGAGAGGGAUGUUUUAAAUUGUUUGGAUAUCCAGAGUGGUAUAAACCCAAAAAAAAGUUUGGUGGACAAUCUUUUAGAAUUGAUAGAAACGUAAAGACAUGGAAAUAGAAUGGUGGUGGUGGCCACAGUUGAAGGAUUCUACUUUGAAGAGGACAAUCCUCUUAAAAACAUCUAUGAGCUCUACAAAGAUUGAUGAGCUCUUAGCGCCAUGCUUAACUAACUUCAACAAAAAGUUAUUAAAUUGGCUAAAGGCAAGGUAGAUCUCAUAGUCAAUACUACAAUGACUAAUUAUUGUUCUAGCAUUGCUUCUAAUUCAAGCUUCAUGAAUUUUACAAGUACUACUAAUCUAAACACUGAUUGUUGUGCAUCUGCUUAUGAAAAUACAACUUAGAUUUUAGAUUCUAGAGUUACUGAUCACAUGUCAUUUUAGAUUCUAGAGUCACUAAUCACAUAUCAUCACACAAUUCUUUAUGUAACUCUUUGCAAUUGCUUGAUAAGAUUAUUUAUGUUCCUUUUCCUGAUGGGACUACUCUUAAGGUCACUUAUGGAGGAUCUAUUAUGGUCUCUAAUUGCAUCCAACUUGAUAAAUAUUCUUUUUGUACAAAAAUUUCAUUACAACCUUAUUUCUGUCAGUAAACUGAUAUAGACUUCAUCUCUGAAUUUAAUAUUUUGUACCCAUUAUUGAAUUAUACAGGACCCUCUGAUUAAUAGAGUGGUUGUUGUGGAAAGAGAAGACGCAAGAUCAUACAAACUGAAUCGGUUAAGCUUCUUGCACUCUGAAAUUGAAAAUUGCUUACUUCAUGCAGUAUCUUUGAUGCUUGUUUUAUAUACAUUUAUAAAUACCAUGCCUUCUAAGACUAGCAUAAAUAAAGAAGGUCGUUCUCUUGUAUCCCCUGUUUAUAUGCAUGUCACUAAUAUAAUUGAUAUACAUGAAAGACUAGAACAUGCUUCUUUCAAUAAAUUUAGACAUAUCAAGAGCAUCCAAACUAUUAGGAAUAAUGAUUUUAAAUGCAAUAUCUGUCCUUAGACAAAACAAACUAGAUUUUCUUUCCUAUUAACACUAUCGUUGCUAAACAACCUUUUGAUUUAAUUCACAUAGAUAUUUGGGUACCUUAUAGAGAAUAAUCAAUCACUGGUGCCAAGUAUUUUCUCACUUUAGUAUAUGAUUGUACUAGAGACACUUGGACCUUUAUGAUGGCCUUCAAAGGACAAACUAUCAAAAUUCUUUUCACUUUUCUUAAGAUGGUAGAAACUCAAUUUAAUGCUAAUGUAAAAAGCAUAAGGACAUACAAUAACUAUGAAUUUCUUAGCCAUAAAUGCUCCACUCUGCUUACAAAAAGAGGCAUUGUCCAUCAAAGAACUUGCACCUAUACCUCACAACAAAAAGAAGUUGUGGACAGAAAGUAUAGACACAUUCUAGAUAUAUCUAGACCCUUAAAUUUUAAUCUCAUAUACCAAAUAAAUUUUGGUCUGAGUGUGUUCUUACUACAACCUAUCUAAUCAAUAAAUUGCCCAUUGAAAAACUGGGAUAGUGUAGUCCCUAUGAGAAAUUAUUUAAAAGGACCCGUGAUUACUCACAUUUAAAAAAAUUUUGUUGCUUAUGCUAUACCACUAAGGUUGGACUCACCAAAGAUAAGUUUGCUACAAAUCCAUUCAAGUUGUCUUUCUUGGCUAUGUUGGUAAUCAGAAAACUUACAAACUUUAUAAUAUGAUUAAUCAUACUUUUUUCGCGAGUAGUAUGUCAAAUUUUAUGAAAAUAGCUUUCCUUUUAAACAUAUUGAUGACAUACAAGAGAUUGGUUUACCCCUUCUAGCUUCUAACAUAGAUUCUCCUCCUCUCCCUUCUUCAAAUAUCAUUCCCACACUCCAGCCACCACCUAUGAUUAGAAGAUCUGCCAGGAUCUCUAAACAUUUUACUUGGUUGCUUGAUUUCGUUAGCAAUACAAUCACUAGCAAUGCCACCACUUUUUCCACUAUUUGUUUCACUCCUUCUCAUUCUUCAUAUGUCUCUAAUGCCUCUAAAGUUCAAGAGCCUUCAACCAUUAUUCAAGCAUCUAAAGAUGCUAAUUGGUUAGCUGCCAUGCAGUUGGAGCUUCUAAACUUAGAAAAAAAAAAAAAAACACUUAGGUGAUUACUGAGCUACCCAAAGGAAAAAAAAUUUCAUAGGUUAUAAAUGGGUAUAUAAGGUCAAAUAGAAACCUAAUGGAGAUGUUGAAAGAUUUAAAGCACAUUUAGUAGCUAAAGGCUACAACCAAAUAGAAGGUCUUGAUUACAAGGACAAAUUUGCCUUUGUUUCUAAAUUGUCCGUUGUUCAAAUCUUGAUUGCAUUGGCCACUAUUAAAUAGUAGCCUAUUUUCCAACUUGAUGUUAACAAUGCCUUUUUUUCAUGGCUAUCUUGAUGAAGUAUAUAUGGUACCUCUUCAGGGUAUGACGAAGCCUUACCGGGGCAAGUCUAUCUCCUCAGAAGGUCCUUGUAUGGGCUCAAAUGGGCCUCUAGAUAAUGGAACAUUGAGUUUUUCGAAUUUCUUAAGACUUUGGGUUUCAAACAAUCAGCUCAUGAUCAUUGCCUUUUUAUGAGUAUACAGAUACUUAUUUUUUGGCUCUUUUGAUUUAUAUGGAUGACAUUAUUCUCACUGGUACUUCUCUUGAUGCCAUUCAAGCAAUCAAUAAUGCCUUGCUUGCUCAGUUUACUAUUAAAGACUUAGGGCCUCUCAAAUAUUUUUUGAGCCUUGAAAUGGCUAGAUCUGUCACUACUACUGUACUUAGCUAAAUUUAUUUUAGAUAUUCUGAAAGAUGUUGGGAUUAUGGAUUGCAAACCAUCUUCUUUCCCUCUUCCUCUAGGCCUAAAGUUGUCCACUGAUACCGGAGAUCCUCUCAUUGAGCCUCUGGUUUAUAGGAGGCUCAUUGGCAAGCUACUCUAUGUCAAUUUUGACUAGAUCAGAUAUUAAAUAUGUUAUCCAAUACCUUAGUCAGUUUAUGACUGCCCCUCGCAAGCCUCACCUGGAGGCCACUUUCCAUGUUCUAAGAUACCUUAAAGGGACUUUAUAUUAAGGCCUAUGCUUCCCUGUCUCCGAUGAUUUUCAUCUUUCAAUAUUUUGCGAUUCUAACUGGGCUUUCUGCCCUUUCUCUCCCAAAUUCUUAAUCGAAUUUUAUAUUUUUUUUUGGCCAAUUCCUUUAUCUUUUGAAAAACCAAGAAACAAAAUAUUGUUUCUCGAUAUUCAAUUGAAGCUGAAUAUUGAACCAUGGCCAGUGCUAUCUAUGAACUCCUUGGAAUUAUUUAUAUUCUUCAAGAUUUACAGGUUCCAGUUCAUUUGCCAAUCCCUCUCUAUUGUGAUAACAAAGCAACCCUACAUAUAGUUACCAAUUAUGUAUUAGUUGAAUCAGUCAUUCUUCUAGCUCCAACUUGAAGGAGAUAUAAAGAUAAAUUUUGCUUGUAAUAGGCUUUAUGAUUGUAAUAUUCAGUUUCAAUUUAAAUGUUAACAAAGGAUCGAUCUAUAUUUUGUCCUUUGUUUUAAUUUUGUAUUAGUUUCUAAUCGUUUACUAUAGAUAAUAAUAUAUUUUAAUAAAUAAUUUAUUUUAUAUUUAAUAAAAUUAUAAUUUUAACAGUAUUUUUUAUCUAUUGCAAAAAAAAAAUUUAUUAUUUUAUAUUAUAAUAACAGAGGCACAUAAAAUAAAUUUCAAACUAUUGUUAAUUUUUAUUAUAGUUUACAUAUAUAAAACAAUAAUUUCUAAUUACUAUCUUAUAUUUAUUUUUAUAGUAGCGUACAUACUAUAAAAAAAAUAUAGCUAAUAUUACAAAAAUCAACAAUCUAUUUCUGUUAAUUAGAAAUUGAAAGGUAUAACCUAUUGCACAUGAAUAUGGACUUCAUAUACUUCAGGAAACCGAGUGAUGAUCCUAUGUUUAGUGAUGGAGUAAGAGAAACAAACUGAACUGUGUACAAAGGCAAUGCAAGAUAUUGAUAUGGUUUAGUAUAAGCUUAAUUAUUUAAGGUAAUUAUAAUGUAUUUUGAGUUUAGCCAUAGGUAUUCAUUCCGAUUAAGAGUGUGAGACACUUAUCCGUCCCCAACUAUUUUUCAUGUUUUUUGAAAUGAUUAAUAAAUUAAAGUUUUUUCUUAAAAAGAAAAUAAUACAUCCUAAUAAAUAUAAAAAUUAUUAAAAUUUAUUACUCCAAAUGAUUCACACUUAGAAUAUCAAAAUGUUCACUAAUCGUAAUAUUUAUAUUUAGGAGGCAAUAUAUAUAUAUAUAUAUAUAUACUUAUUAAAUGUUUAAUUAAAUUCAAUUUAAUUAUGCUAAACUAAUUCUAAUUUAAUUAAAAGUAGAUUAGAAUAAAAUUAUAAUUUAAAUUUAUUUAAUUUAAACUCAUCCGUUUUUAUUUAAUUAGACUAAAUAAAAAAAUCGACCUUCUAAUAUUUUUUAAGAAUCUAGGAGUUAAAUUUAAACUUAGGGAAGCAAACUAUAUAGUAAUUAACAAGUUUAAACUCAAACUUAGAUUUAAAUAAAUUACAAUUAUAAUUUUUACAUUUAAAUUCAUCAAGUUUUCAUUUAGUUAGACUAACAAGAAAAAAUUGACCUUAGGAGCUAAAUUUAUACUCAGGGGAUGCAAAAUAUACACUUACAAGUUUAAGUGCAAUAUAAUUAUACUAAAUUAAUUUUAAUUUUGUUAGAAUUAUAUUUUAAUAAAAUUAUAAUUCUAAUUUAUUAAUUUAAUCUAGUUAAACUAAUAAAAAAAUCAACCAUUUAAUAUUUUUUAAGAAUAUAGUAGCUAAAAAUUCUUAAAAAUACAUUCAUAUUUAAUUAAUUUCAUUUAAAAAUUAAAAUUUUAGUAAUCGCAAUCGCUCCUGGUAAAAUUAGAGGAUUUUUUUAUUGUCUUUAUAUAUAAAGAAGGAGGAGGAGGAGGAGGUGUUAUAGCAGUCUGGUUGGUUUUAUUAAGAUAUCCGAUAACAAACGCAAAUAGAAGAUUACUUAAAAUCCAAACUGAUAAUGGACAAAGCAACAACUACACUUUACCUAAUAUGUUGCUUUUCAUUUUAGGUACUCACUGUAACUAAACCAAAGCUACCAUAUCUCUCCUUCAUUUGGAUUUACCAAGUUGUUCUGCUGCUGCAAUCAUUUCCGCUUUUUUAAUUUAAGGUAUUAUAAUGUCAUGUAAUGAACAAGAAUAUAUUUCUGUUAAAUUUAUUUAUGUAAUAAAUUUUAAAAAAAAAUCUGUUGGGUAUGAUAUUGAUGUUGCAGCUGUUAAAUUGUUACCUUGCUGGGAAAAAAAAAUACAAACUCUUCAUUGGAGCUCAGAGUUUCGCUGUCACACAUGUUAAGUAUCAAGUGAAGUCGUUUUCAAUUCGGCUUUCAUUCUUUGAUGAUGAAGUUGCUUAGAAACAAGUAAAUUAAAAAUGACUGCAUAUGUAUUUAGAAUAAAUAUUAUAUUAUUUGAUGAUUUUCAUUUUCUAUUUGGUUUCAUAAAUCUUCUUAUUACUUGUACAAAGUUGAAUGCAGGGCAAUAAAAGAAAAGUGUAAUAGAUGUCAAGAAAUUGACUCGACUUCCUUGAUGUAAGAGCAUUCUCUGUGUAAAUUUGAAGGAGAAAAAAGCAUGAGUUGUGAAAGGGAAAUUCCAUGAAAGAAAAAGAAAUGAAAAGAAAAUUUAAUUUUCCACUAGGUGUUAUUCUGGGUUAUAUAGGUUGGUCUUUUUGCAAGCCUUCAUUAAAUGAGCCAUAAAUGUUGGUUUUGUGGUGGGUGUGAUUAAUUUUUCUGAGCAACUGGUUAUAACAUCUGGGCUGAGAUAGCCUCAAAACCCUACUGCUACAGUGCUGCUAUUCAAUGGGGUUGAUAACAACCCCAGAAUGGUUCCUUUGUCUUGUUUGGACACAUAAAUUACAAAUUCAAUGCAGAGAAAAACUGACAAUCAAAAUGAUAAGUGGCCUUUUUUUAUAAAAAUAAAUAAAUAAAUAAAAAUGAAAGGACCAAAAAUUCAAGACUAUGCAAUAUAGGACAAAUUCCAUUGGAGUGGUCCCCUACCUAAAAUUGCUAGAUUGAUAGAUACCUUCACAUCCAAUCCGAGGACUGUACACCAACCAGUUCCCAGUUAUUGUUUUUAAAAUUAUUAUUUAAUUUUUAUUAUAAAAAAACUCAUUUUUAUAAUUUUUUUAAUUUUAAAAAAUAUAUUAAAAAUCUUAUAAUUAAUUCCUGCAUUAAUUUUAAUUAUUAAAUAUUUUAUUAUUUAAUUUUUAUAAUUUUUAAAAUUUAUUACUUAAUUUUUAAACUUUUAAAAAUUUAUUAAUUAAUCUCAUCAUAUUAAAGAUAUUUAAAUUUUUUUUUUAUAUUUGACUGUUAAAAUUAUUAUAAAAACUAAUUAAUAAAUAUUUUAAAAUAUUAAAAAUAUUUUAAUAUAUUUUUUAAAAUUGAAACAUUUAUUAAUAAUUUUUUUUAUAUCAUAAAAAUUAAAUAAUAAUUAAAAAAAAAAUUUAAAAUAUGGGUGUACAAACAAUUGAUGAGGCUAUUUCUUGGGUUUGGGCCCAUUUUUUUUUUCAAAGAUAAUAUACCUAUCAAAAAAUAUAAAAACUCCACAAUCACAAAGUAAACCCAAAGCCAGUAUUACAACUCAUAGUUAAAGGCAUACGUAAAACCUGAUAUAAUACUUAACGUAUGUCUCUGAUUCAGGUAUAAUUAUAGAUCAUCGUCACUCCACAUUUUUUUUACGCUUUUAUAAUAUUUUUUGACGAACAACUGAAGGUUUUACCUGACAACAAUAGCUAAUGCCAUAUAAACUUAAAAGAGAAACAGUGAAAAGCAAUCAAAAUCUUUCAAAUUAAAUAAAGGAGAGUAGACAAGCAGUAGGAAGCAUAUGCAAAGCUAGAAGAGAGAUGAAUGGCAAGAAUCACUCGCACAUUAUCGAAAGAGAAUGUGACACUUCUGCAAUCAACUCUAGAUCAUAUUGCUUGAGUCAAGAAAGGAAACCAUAAACAAUAGAAACCAGCGAGAGAGAAGGAAAUGAUCCCUAGGAAAUUAGAUCUACUAGUUGCUGCCGUCAACCAUCAUCAAAGAAGAACAUAUGUUAAGUAUGAGUCUAUGAGUUUCGUAUGCAAAUCAAGAAAAAACAACCACCACAACAAAGAAUACAACAAUAAGACAGAAUUAAAACCACUCCCCCUCAAUAAUCACAACAUGUCAAAAAAUCAUAAACAAAAGCUAUAGACACUCUCACUCAAAAUGGUAGGGAGAAGAACCCACAUACACGAGAGGGAGGGAGCCAUCCUUACCUGGUAGGAGCGGGACAGCUAUGAUUCCAAUAAAAACAAAGGGUUUUUAUGUCACAAAGAAAAUCAAAUAAUAGAGAGAAAAAUCUCUCUUUAAGAAACUUAGAGAGAGAAGAGAUCUAGGGUGCCAUCCUCUAGGUUGAUAAAAUUUUAAUGGCAAAGGAAUGGAACUAAUUAAAUGCAUCUCUCUCUAGAAUAUUCCAAAGAGAGAACCUCUCAUCUUCAAUUUUUUUUCCUUCUGCAACUCCAUUCGCCUCAUUUGCCAUCAAACGAAAGCUUUACUUUAGUGUUUAUGUGAUUGCUUCUAUGAUCCACACUUUUUAGGAGUCCAUUUUCUUAGCUUUAGUGGUUAUGUGCUUCUUGUUCUCCUCUUCUGGAAGACUACAGAGAUCAUCCCCAGUGCUCCUUGCCCUUAGGUGGCUGUGACAUUUCAGAAAACCCCUCUCAACAAGCUAGGAUUUCAUUGACCCUUGGGUUGGGCCUCUCUGUAGACUUUGGGUCAUGACUCUUUUGGGCUUCCUUGUAAUGCUGCUUGCUAUGCUGCUUUGGAAUCAGAAGCCGUUUUGUUUAUGUGCCAAGAAUCACAAUGGGCUCUAGUGUCUCUUCAUUAAUGAAAAUCUUACUUUUAAUUAAAAAAAAAAAAAAUUGAUUGGAUACAAGAGUAGGAUUAGGGUCGCUUGUGGAUAGGCUGGACCCUGGAUGAUAUAGCAGGAAACCAUUUUUAGUCUGGUAGAAACAUCGAUAAAUGAGUAUUCCAUACAAAAAUAUAUAUAAUUUAAUAAAAUUAAUUAAUUGCUCUUUAUAUUUUUCAAGAACAUAUCAUUUAGUACUUAAUUUUGUAAACAAUAACCAUUAAGUUUCUUUAUUAAAAUAUUAAUUUCAAAAGACAAUUAUUCGUCCACUUAAAAUAUAUACAUAUAUAUGUUAACUAAUAUGUUUCUUAAAAUAAAAGAACAUAAAUAGUUAAAUGUAUAAAUAUGAAAAAUGUUUAUUUAAAUUCGGUUCAUAAUAAAUUAAAAUACAAAUAAAGUGAGUCAGUAACUCCCAUCCAUUUUCUUCAAUAUCUUUUUAAGUCUCUCAUGGAUAAGUCCACUAAGAAUUUUCUAUAUAUAUAUUGUGGUAAAUAAGAAAUAUUUGGGCUGAGAAGAAGUUUGAUAUGCAGUACAAAAAGAUCCAACGUAAAGAUUGUUAGCAUUAUCCGGUAGUAAGGUGGGCUAACAGGCACCAUCUCUUCGACAUGGGCUGGAUGGACUAUUUAUUCAUUUAUAGCACAUUCUUCUUUUUUUCUUUUACAAUUUAUUUCGACUGGGUUUAAAAUCUGAGCUCAGUCUUGGAGAUCCACGGUAUCAAUGACCUAAAAUUCAUUGGAAGCACAUUCAUCUUCUUUAUUCUCUCUCAAUCUCUCUCUCUUCUUUUGUUUUUGUUUUUAUUUUUUUAUUUUUUUAUUUUUUGUGAGUGGACCACAUCCACAUUUCCUCCCAUUGAGAUUUCUGCCAAAAGAUCCUCCCAAUUACUGUGCAUGCAAUACAGCAGUUGUUCUUCAAUCUUCAAUCAUCUUUCUCAAUUAUUAGGCCCCACUCUUUCCUUUCACUUCUUAAUCACGACGUCCUUUUACAUCUCCUUCCAAAAGUAAAUAAGGUGAUAUUAAAUCUUUAUUUUCUCAUAAUUUUACUUAUAAGGGUAUAAUUAAAUUUUUACUUCAUUAUUACAUAGAACUGAUAACUUAGGCAAUAAUUGUGAGAUGUGGUAAUUUGCUGUCUGAUUUUAGGUACUAAAAAGACACUGCAAAAUCAACAACAGCAAUGGCAGAGAAACCAACAGAAGAUAAGACAAAAGAAGAAAAGCUAGUAAGAUGACUUUAUCUUCUAUGGACAAAUAACAUACCCAGAUCACUCCUCAGUCCUCAGUCCCAUUCUCUGCCUCAUCGUUUGUGUGCACGUGCAGGUGGGGUUUGAGACUCUCCAGUAUUCACUCAUCAGUAAUGACCUUUCAACAAUGACAAAACGAUAUUACCGUAGAACAGGAAAGGUAAAUGUGAAAAAAAAGAUAAUAGUUGCUCAUACACGUACUGUAACCCGAUCCGAAAAGUUUUGUGCUGCCAUCUGGAUUGGAUAAAAAACGGAAAUUUGUAUUCUGAGCAAUCUGUCUUAUAUUAUAUAAAAUUUUGAGAAAUAUUAUGCACUUGGUUCAACAAAUUUAAAUGUUUUUCCUUAUCCUAUAUAUCUUAAUAAUGAUUAUUUUAAUAGUCAUUAACUAUUUUAUUAUCUGAUAAUUUUUUAGAAUUCAUUACUUUUAACAUCUAAAUACUAAUAUUUUAACUAGUUAAAGUGCGGAACAUGGCUAUAAUAUGCUUAUCUGGACAAAACGAUGUUAUAAUAAAUAAAGAAAAGUAUAUGGAUAAUUCUUGUUUAAACAACUCAAACUAUAAACAUAUAGGUUUCACUUAUGUUUAUUUGGGUUCCAUCAUAAUUUUUAUAUUUUAGGUGCGUUGUUAUGAAAAUUUUAGGGUUUUUGAUAGUAGCCUAAUUUUGACCCUUUUCAAACUAUCCCUUGUUGAUAUUAUUUGGGAUGUCAAUGGUUUCAUGAUACAUCAAACAAGUAGCUAUCUUUUUUAUGUAUGAAGCGUAUGGUAGUUGGAUGUGUGGUGGCCUUGGUGGGACAUGGAAGGAAAGGACCUGGAUAGAGGAGAGAUGAAGAACAGUAGCCCUGAGGAGGACAUUAUCAAAGCUGUACGUACCUCUCCUUUAAACAAGAAACAUCACCUUUUGGGGUGACCUGCAUGUGCAUGCAUGGCACCGACACGUACAGUAAAAUUUAGGAUAACAUCACAUGUUGAUGUAGUAUUCAUAAAUAAUAGACAGCUUCUAGACAAGUAGAGUUAUUACAAUUAUGGAGGAUCCUAUUUCGAUUGCUAUAUAUCUUGCUAAGAGAAGAUUGUUUGGUAUAGUCAUAUGUUGCUAAAUGAUACCACUGGGACAAUAAUCCAGUGGUCUCUUAUUAUAAAUGAAGGAUUUAAAGGUUACCAUUUGGAUUAAUUAAUUGAAUUCUUAAAAAUUAUAAUACUUUACUUAAUUAAUUUUUAUGGAAGUAGUAUAAAAAUGUAAAUAUAUUUUUGCGUAAAUUCAAAUAGUUGAGACUCAGACUGUUUCAUAUUCUCAAAUAAUUCCAAAAAGAAAAACAUCAAAAUCUAUUUGCAAAAGAAAGAGUAAGUGCAAGUAAAUAAUGGGAUAUGGAAAUGAGAGAAGGCUUUCAAGAGCUCUUUAUGGGCCAAGGGAAAUUUUAUGGCCUUUUCCAUGUCCACUCUUAUACCAUCUGCCUGUCCAACACCACAGGAGAGCCCCAUCAAUCCAAUCCUUACAUAGAUUUGGUAGUCAUAUCUUUUUCUUUUUGUCAAUAGUAACUACUUAAUUAUUUGAUAAAUUAAAACUAUAUAAAAUUUAUUUGUUAAUAUUAUGAUAAAUGAAUAUAAAAAUAAAACUAUUAUUAUUCAAUAGUAUUUAUCAUUAUGAUAAUAUAAAAAUAUAUAAUUAGUUAUUCAAAUUUUUAAUAAUUUUUAUAACUAGAUUAACACAUUAAUUUGAAUUUUACUACAUAGUCGCAUAAAAUGGAAGUUUUAUAAUUAUAAUUGAAUUUAAUGUUUUAAUUUUUUUUCUCUAGUUUUUAUGAAUUAUAUAUAUAUAUAUAUAUUAAAAAAUUACUUAUAAAUUAUAAUAUAAUAUAUUAUACAUUAAGUACACAGCAAAUAAUUUAUAUAUUUUAAACUUCUAUAAAUAAUAAUAAUAAUAAACUAAAAAUAACAAUAAAAAUUGAAAAUGCAUUACAUAUUUAGUUAAUUUUAUAUUAAGUUAAAAAUUAAUGAGAUUUAGUUAAAUGGUGCUGUGUGGUUUUCAAGGUUAUAAGGUUUUUCAAUUCAAGUCCAAGUUAGAGCAAAUUAUAUUAAAUAAAAAUAUUAUGAAAAUUUACUUUUUCAUCUUUGAAUAUUCUUAAAAUAAUACAUAUUAUGUCUCUUUAUUUAUUAAAACUCAAUAAUUUAGUUCUGUUAAUUGGAGAUCCAUCAAUCUAAUUUUUUUAUUAAUUUAUAAUAAAUUAUUGAAAUAUCCUCAAAGAUAUAUUACUUUUUAAUCCUUAAAUUAUGUUAUUAAAUCUAAUACUUGUAUUUUAUUUUUAUUAAACUUCUGAAACUAUGAUUUUUAAUAUGGAUGAAGUCAAAAUUUAGGAAUUAAACUAUUAAAUUUUAAAACUAGUGAUAUAUAUUAAUUUUGGCAUAUAACUUUGAAAUAAAAAAAUAAAAAAAAAGUAAUGAAUCUAAAAUAUUACGUCAGAAACCCAUUAGCUAAUUUGAUCAAGUUUUUAAGAUGUGUGGAGAAUUUUCUAGUAAUACGCUAUCUUUCUUUUGGGUUAGCCUGGUAAGUUUUCCUGAAUUUUCAUUAAUAAAAGUUUUUAUUUAUCAAAAAAAUAUUUAAUAGGAAGUUUACCUAGGAAACCAGAUAGGACCAUGUUAAUUUUUAAAUAAACCAAAUAAAUAUAUUGGCCUGUAAUAGUUUCACAGGACAAAGUCCAUAACAUCAUUAUUCUAAUAAUAAAUAAAUAGAUACAGAUAAGAACCAUAAUUUAAUAUUUAUGAUGUGUUGACCUUCUGCAAGAUUCAAUCUCUCUUCCUUUGAAUCAAAGUUGAACCACACUAAAUCUUUGACGCCUAAACAAGAAAUGGCAAACACUAGUGUUCUAUUCAGCUUUUGUUCUCUGUUAAUGUCUGCAAUCUUUGCUUACUCAGGUUUUGUCCAGUUAAAUGAUCCAGGUACUUAGUUGCUUAGAUCCAUUUACUUCUCCCAUGUGCAUUAAAAUCUAAUUUUUUUCAAUUUCUUCUUCUUGUUUGGUAUAGAUUGGUACUUUUGGUUCCCUCUCUAUGCUAGCUCUUGUGUUGUUAAUAUGCUCAACUGGGCAAUCUCCUCAAAUUUUAUAAGGAAAAUUGCAGAGGUCACUUUAUGGCUGGGUAUAUUCCUGUUUUUUAAGGUUGUAAUGGAAGAUUUUGUAAAUGAAACUGCUGGAUUUUGGUCAUUGGAUUUGAGUGAGAGAGUUGUAAGAGAGAAAACUGGAAGUGGGUUGGUCAUCUUUUCCUUGAUUCUGCAAUUGCAAGCAUUAUCCAAGCUAGAGAAUUCCAAGUCUGGAAAUCAAAGAAAGAAAAAAGUAUUUCCAAGAUUUGUUGAAUAUGGUAAACACAUUUGACCUUUUUUUACAUCUUCAAAUCUAUUAAUUUGAAUUUGAAAUUGGUUACACAAUUGGUGAAUUGUCUUGACAGGAAUGGCUAUCUUGGUGAGCUUCAGUUUUGGACUCCCUUUGGUCUUCUUUGUAGUUAGAAAUGAAGAAAUGAAGUUUGACUAAAUCAAUGAUGAGCUUUCUUUGAAAAUCAACUACUUAUAGCUUGCACAUUUUCAAGUUUCAAUAUCCCACAACUAUUUUCCACAACUUACUAGUUGUGGUAUGAGGGAUAUUAAUGAUUUUUUUUCUUCUCUGUGUAAUACGUGAGAUUUUUAUAAAAUAUAUUGGCUUUAGAGUUUAAAAGCUCUAAAUUUGUAUUAUACUCUUCUUUAUAAUGGUUCAUCGCUUUAUUUUCGUUUUAUCCGCAUGUAUAGAUUUUAUGAUCGAACCACUUCUGUGUCUAUUCUCUUUCUUUUUUUCUUAUAUUAUGAUUGAUAAGUGUGUGCACUCCUAAUAUUCUGUAUUUGUUUCAUCAAUAAUAAAUUUAAAGAAGGCAAAGGUUGUAGGUGAAAGAGGUAAAAUCUGUAAAUCCACACUUACAAGUACGAAUAGCUCAUGUUUUUCGAUUUAAAAAAAAAAAAAGAAUAGCAUGUUUCCUACCGAAAAGACCAAAGAAAUAUAUCGAAGAUCUUAUAAAUAGCAAUGGGUUUGCAUUCAAUUUUGAAACUUGAUUUAAAUUUCACUUUUCGACUAUCAUUUGAAAAUAAUUCCAUCAUCAAGCAUAUUGGAAAGAAUAUUUUAAAAAAUUGACCCAAGAUUGUUGUAAGGGCACUACAAGAGGUGAAUAUUAUAAACCUCCAGUAUUUGACCGUUUCACAAUUAAAAUAUUCGAGCUUCUUCAGAACUCCCAUAAUCACCUUCAUAGAUAUCUUUUAGGAUUUUCUGGCCUUCCUACUUUAUAACACACAGUAGCCAUGGCUGUGUCGAGGACUUCUUGUAUAACCAAUCAUCAAUUAGUGCAUAUUUAGAAGACUUCUUUAUUAUCUAUUUGGCCGAUAACUCAUCGGCUGGAAGAAUAUCUUAUGUUAAAAAUUUCUAUACGGGCGUCAUCCAUGAUUUAUUCUCUUCUAUAGGAAAAGACUCUUCCACUUUUAUUGUUGGAGUGUAUAAUUCCUUGAAUUGAAAUGGUUGAGUCAGGCCAUUUUGCCAAAAGAUCCGCCUCUUUAUUGUUGCCUAUAGCUACUGGCAAAGUUCGCAGCUGCCUUAUCCUUCUUUGAUUUGCUCCAUUAGGGAUUGAACCUUUUCCUCGUACUUGACAAGAUUUGAUUCUCAAAACUUGAAUUGUCCCUGACGUUAAUUGAGAACCAGUUGUGAAUCACAAAAAAUAAUGAAUUUUUGUAUAUCUAACUCCUUGAUGAUCCUCAAGUCCAUUAUCACAGUCUCGUACUUGGCCACAUUGUUCGUGGUAUUGAAAACGAGCUUUGCCGCGUACCAAAACUUUAUACCAGUUUGAGACUGUAAUAUAAUCCCUAUUCCAGAACCCCCAGCUCCGCAGGCUCUAUCUGCCCAAACUUUUCAUUCUUCUAUGGUUGUCUCAUGGGACUCCGAAGGUUCUAUCAGCGGAGUCAUUUCCGCAAUAAAAUGGGCUAGCACCUGGGCUUUCAUUGCCUUCCUGGGGACAUACUUGAUAUCAUAAGCCGAAAAUAUUACUGCCCAGGUGGAUAAACGCCCUGACAGCUCUAUUCUAUGCAGAACCUUUCGCAAAGGAUAAUUUGUCCUGAUCUCGAUGGUGUUCGAUUCAAAGUAUGAUCGUAGCUUUGUAGCAAACACCAACUUCUCGAGAGGAGGAUAAUUCAACUCCACCCACUUCAAAACUUGGCUAGCAUAAUACACUGGACUUUGCUUCCCAUUAUUUUUGCGAACGAGCACUGAGUAAAUUGUUUCUUGUGUCAUAGACAAGUAUAGAAAUAAAACUUCGCCUUCGACAGGCGGGCUUAAUAAUGGAGGAGAUGAUAAAAAGUGUGAGAUUCAGCUGCUUGUGCUGUCCCACAUCGGCAGAUUACGGUAAAUCGAAAUUGUAUAUAAUAGCUGGCACGAAACUACAAAACAAUUUGGGUUAACUAUUUUGAGCCAAGUGAAAAGUGGGUCUAAAAGUUAUUUGGGUCAGUUUGGGUCGGGCUAUUUCAAUUGGUAUCAGAGCCAUCCUAGAUCAUAAAAAUUGUGCAGAGCUAGUAGACCUGCAAGGAAAAGGCUACCCGUGUGAGACGAGGUGGAGCCGCUCGAGGUACUAGCGAACCACACUACCCAAGGAUUCGGUCUUGACUUAACAAUUGUAUCUGAUUCAGUUGCGACGAGGACGUCACAAAUUUAGCAGGGGAGAGUGUGAGAUUCAGCUGCUUAUGUUGUUCCACAUCGGCAGAUGAUGGUAAAUCGAAAUUGUAUAUAAUAGCUAGCAUGAAACUACUACAUAACUUGGAUUAACUAUUUUGGGCCAAGUGGAAAGUGGGUCCAAAAGUUAUUUGGAUCAGUUUGGAUCGGGUUGUUUCAAAAAGGUAUUUAAAUUUUCAAAUGCUUCUGCACAUUCUUCUCCUUACUCAAACUUACCUUUGCCUUUUAAGACUUUGAAGAAUGGGAGACAUCUUCUAGCCGAGCAUGUAUGAAAUGACCCAGGGCCGUAACCCGUCUAUUCAACCUUUGCACUUCAUUAAUGGUUUUGGGUGCUUUUAUGUUUUGGAUAGUGCUGAUUUUCUCAAGUUUCGCCUCUAUGCCUUUUUCUGAGAUAAUAUAUCCUAGAAACUUCCUAGUUUUUAUCCCAAAGGUACACUUUUUAGGGUUUAGCUUCCUACCUGCCUUGUCUAGGACGUCAAAGACUUUUCGGAUGUCUUUUGGAUGGUCUUCCAGUAAUCGGCUCUUUACCAGCAUAUCGUCUAUAUGCACUUCGAUAGUUGAUCCCAACAUGUCCUUAAAGAGUCCUGACACCAACCUUUGGUACAUCGCUCUCGCGUUUGUUAGACCAAAAGGUAUUACCUUGCAGUAGUAAACUCCUUCGUCUGUUAUGAAUGCAAUCUUCUCUUUGUCCUUGAUGUCUAUCAUCAUUUGCUGGUAUCUUGAAAUGGCAUCAAGGAAGAAAAUCACUACGUGACCCGAGGUCAAGUCUACUAAUUUAUCGAUGGAUGGUAUUGAGUAAUGAUCCUUUGGACAUGUUUUAUUAAGAUAGGUGAAAUCUAUGCAUAUCCUCCACUUUCCGUUAGUUUUCUUAACCAGAACCGCAUUGGCCAGCUAUGUGGGAUACUGGACUUCCUUUAUUAAUCCGACACUUAAAAGCUUAUCAACCUCUUCUUUGAUCACUUAUUGCCUCUCGGGUGCAAACUUUUUUUUCUUCUAUUGAAUUGGUUUGGCUGCUUUAUCAACAAAUAGUUUAUAGGUCAUGAGAGCCGGGUCCACACCUGUUACAUCUUUUGGGACUCUUCAGCAACUCCAUUACAUAAGUCUUUGUUUAAUCGAUUAGUGUAGUACCGAAUUGUACUUUUUGCUCUUUACCUAUCUGAAUUUUCUCUACUGGGUCUUACGGUUCUAGCUUUACAUGAGAUUUUGACUUCUUCAACAAGUCGAUGGGCAUGGUAGAUUUUCCAAGGCUCUUUGCAGGGUGUCCGUAGUCUUCUUUGGCCAACCUUGAAUUGCCUCUGACCACUACUAUUCCUCCUAGAGCUGGGAGCCUAAGACACAUAGCACCCAUAUUAAUAACAAUACCGUGGCAAUUUAGGACUGGACGACCUAGUAUCACAUUGUAUGCAAAUGGGAUAUUUACCACCGUGAACUCUGUAUACUAUUCUCGCCUAUAAUUUUCGUCACCCAACACCAAGGGAAGGUUGAUGGUACCCAGUACCACCACGGUCUUAUCUCUAAUCUUAUUAAAGGAUAGAAAACUCUGACAAGAUUGUUUUUAUCCAAACCUAACUUGUUAAAAAUAUUUAAAAUGAGAAGGUUAAUAGAACUACCUGCAUGUACUAAUACUUGCCUUACUUCAUACCGGUUCAGGAGGAUCUUAACGACCAGUGGGUCAUUCUGAAAGAAUCCAAUCACUUUGUCAGUAGGACUAAACCUUACUUCUUGUUUGGUCCAUAGUUUUUAAUCGUACAUAUAGGACGUUCUUUGCUACAUGCUUAUUUUUCUUUUCUUUUCUUUUAUCAGGUCCUCUUGUAAUGAUAUGUACAAUUUCAGCCAUUUUGAAAGUGGAAGGUAGAGAAGAAGUUUGGUCAUAAUCCAAAUGAACGGAGGAUUCAAAAGAUUUUCCAGCAACGAAACCAAAUGAUGUUGCAGAGAUUAAAUUGAUAAUGUGGCCAAAAAGGAGUUGUACAGUAAUUAGAUAGAACCUACAAAGAAGUGAGAAUGAGGUGGUGGUGAGUGUCCACAACAGCCACUCUGACGCUCAACUUAGUAUCUCGAAAGAUUAAGAGAAUGUAAGAAAUUACUUAGAGGUUGAGUAGUAUAAGAAAAUAACGUAUAUUUAUCUAUGUGAUUAUUCUCCUUUUAUACUGUAAGAGGUAGAGAUGAAUAUGAUAUUUUCCGAUUAUCCGGCGAUGAUGCGACCGACUGCUUGAUAAAGAACAUCGCCAGCUAAUAGGUGGGAAUCUCGCGAUUACAGGCGUAAUGGGGAUAAUGCUAGGCCGUGCUUGAUAACUGUAAUUUCGUAUCAAGACUCGCCUUUUCGAGGGAAGGACGGAUUUUUUGAUGAUGAUUUGAGUAUCAAUGUGCCUGGAUUUUUCUUUUCUCGUGCUGAAUCGCGUUUCUCAUUUAUCAUAUUUCUGCUACGUGGCCUUAAUAUGUGAUGAUAACUCACAGUUUAUUUUGGAUGAUUAUUAUGUAGUAUCAGACUUUUUUUAUUAAUACAUUUAUAUCGAAAAUGUGAGAAGAUUAAGGAGAUUUAAUCACAAAUUUGGAGUUAUGCUUAUUCAGUGAUAGUAUGAGUUUAGUGAAUAGUUUUCCAAUUCUUUAGUUACUUGUUAUAGCCUCUUUUUGCAAUCAUUUUUAAUAUAUUGUUUAGUGUUUUUAGUAAGUAGAAAAAAGCUAAUUUUAUAUUCUUUCCAUUCCAUAAUUUUUUUAUAUUAUUUUUUUAAAUAUAUUUAAAAAUAAUUUUAUAUUAAUUUUUUAAUUAUAUUUAUUUUAAAUAUAUUAAUUUUUAUUAAAUAUUAAAAGAUAUCUUAAAUAUUCAUAAGAAAAUAAUAUUUAGUAAGAGAUUGUUUUAGAAAUAAGAAAAUAUUACUAAAAAAAACAUAAUAUUAUUAAAAAAAGAAAGAUGAAUAAAAAUUAUGAAAAAAAAAAAACAUUUAGCUAAUCAAUAUCAAAUUAAUUUUCAGCUAUUAAAAGUUAACAAACUAUUAUAAAAGUUAAAAUUACUAAAAUAGGACAUAAUACUAUUGAUUUGGUAUAUUAUUUCAACGUGUUGAGAUGCAUCCUUUAAAAGCACUUAAUAACUUCUCAGAGUUUAAAUUUAGAAGAGUUUAUUUCUUUAGUUUUUAGGAGCUUAGCCUCCUUAUAUUACUGGUGUGCAGUUUCCUCUGCCCGUUCUCUUUUUCUGGGCUGUGGUUUUAACUCUUCUCUUCAUCAAGUCUACUUUCCUUGCACCUCCCAUGACUUUCUACUCUGCAUUUGAUUCUCUAACUCCCUGGCUUCGGUGGGGUUGAUGUGUGAGGCCUUUUUAAGUCUUGGAUUAGAUUAUGUUUGUGUUUGACCUCCAUCUGUUUGGACUUAUUGAUCAACCCUGAUUUUUAAUAAUUGGGCUCUAGCAUCUGUCACGUUGCAUUUUAUCUAAUAAAAUUAUUGAAAUAAAUCCAAUUAAAUUAAUGUAAUUUUACCUAAGAUUAAAUAAAUAUUUUCUAUAAAUAGAUUUGCUCACCAAUUUGUUGAAAUCACCAAUUUGUUUAAUCACAUACAUAAAUUUUAUAAAACACUCUUUGAAAAAAAAAGAAGAAAUUUAUCUCCUAAAUUCACUAUUGGACUUUACAUACAUAAAUUUUAUUAAUAUUUUUUUAUUUUUUUAUAUUACAAAUAAACAAGGAAAAAAUAUAUUAUUUUCUUAAAUUUUUUGAAAAUUUAUUAAUCAAUUCUUAUCUCAAAAUCUUUCAAUUAAAACAAUUUUAUAUUUUAUAAAAUUAAAUUUGUUAAUUCAACUGUUAGCCAAUUUAUUUUACUUUUAAUUAGAAAGAUUAAAUAGUAUAAAUAUUUAAAAUUAUAAAAAUUAAAUAAUAUGUAUAAUUAAUAGUAUAAUGAUCAAAUAAUAUAAAUAUUUAAGCAACUAAUAGAAACAAUAUAAAUUUCAAGGUGAUUAAUGAUUUUUUAAUAAAAAAUUAAAGAGUUAAAUUUUAUAAAAUACAAAUGUGUUUUAAUUAAGUGAUUUUAAAAUAAAAAUAAAUUAAUAAAUUUUUGAGUUAAUCGUCAAAAAUAUCACGUAAUUUUAUUUUUAUUAUAAUUAUAUCAUAUAUUUUUUUAAUUAAAUUCUAAUUUUUUAAUAAUUUUCAAUUAUAUUUUAUUGUUAAUUGUAUUUAAUCGUAAUUAUCAUAUCACUCAUCACGUUAAUACUAUGUCAUUAUGCCAUGUCAAUAAAUAUUGUGGAGUAAUUAAUUUUAGAUUUUAAGAAAAAUUUAUAUUAAACUUAAUUUUUAUUGUCAACAUUCGUUGGAGGCCUACAAUAAUUUUUCGAAAAAAAAAUUUUGAGUUCGAAAUCCAAAUUCAAUUGUUUAGGAGUAAAUUUUGUAUUUUAAUUAUUUUUUUUAAUUUUUUUAUAAUUUUUUAUAUUAAAAUUUUUAUUAUUAUAAAUAGCACUUUUUUCACGAAACACUUUUGAGAAUUCAAUAAUAAAUUUCGAUUUUUAACAUUUUAUUUUAUAAAUUUUAUUUUAAUCAAAUGAUAUUAUUAAAAUUUUUUAUGGAGUCUAAAUUGUCUUAUUUCAUGAAAACUCGAAUCUACGACUCCAUAUAAAUUAUAUAUACGUUUAGACAUUUAAUUAAGUCAAGUCAAACAAUUAAAUUCUAAGGUAAUUUAUAUAUUAUUAAUUUUUUUUAAAUUCACUCUAUAUUAGCAUAAUUUAAAAAAAAAGUGACUGAUUAGUGUUUUGCUUCAGAGUUAAAAAAAUAAUUAAAAAAAAGUGACUGAUUAGUAUUAUGGUUGAUAGUUAAAAAAAUAAUUUAAAAAACGUUUAAAAAAUAUUUUAUUAUUUUUUGAUAUUGUUAAGCUAAAUUAAAUAUUAUUUAAAAUUAUUUUUUAAUAUUUUAUAACUAAUAUAUCUGAUAAUGUUAUUUUAUUAAUGUUAUUUAAAAAUAAUACUAAAUCAUAAGCAUAUUGGAUAAAUUUAAGGAAAAUCGGUGGAUUAUAAGAUUAAGAGAAAUUGUUAUUAUGAAAUUAUUGAUAAAAAUAAAAUAAUAAUAAUAUAAAUAGUAAUUUUAAAUAUAUUUAAUAAUAAAAAGAAUAAAUUGAUAAUUUUAUAAUUUUUUAACUAUAAAAAUAAUCAUAGUACAUUCAGUCAAAUAUUAAAAAGAUAUGAUUUUAAUUGUAAAAAAAUAAAAAUAUAAAGUGAAAUUAUAAUAAAAUAAAAAUAUAUAAUUUUUUUUAUUGGUAUGAUACGUUAGAUUAAUAUAAUAAAUGUGAUAAUUUUAUUGUUUUUAACAGUACAAAUAACAGUUAAAUAAUAGUUAAGUGUAUUUAUAAUAACUUUAAUCAAUUGUAUAAAAAAAUAAAAAAUGUAAUAAAUAUGAAAAAAUAAAACAUUAUAAUUAUAAAAAAAUAAAAAAAUAAAUUUUUAUUUUACUAUUAACUCUAAAUUUUUUAAAACCUCAUAAACUUAUCAUAAUUUAUCCAAAAUAACUUUCUUUGAAUACUAUCAUAAUUUCCGGUGUAUUUGAAAAAAAAAAGAUAAAAAUAAAAUCUAAAGCAUCUAAAGUAAAAGGGAAAGCAAACUAAAGAAUGAAUGAAAGUUGUUUUUAUUUUUUUUAUCAAAGAAGAAUUAAUGAAAGUUGAGCUACACAUUACGUGAUUUUCAAUGUAUAACCGAGAAUUAAUGCAUAAAUAAUUGGUAUUUACAAAGUUAGAUUCAUAUUUAUUCUUUUAAUGUAAUUUUGGUCUUGCUUUAACUUAAUAAUUAUUUUGAAAAUUAAAAGAAGAUAUGGUAUCCACUUUGGUAUCUGUUUCUGUUUUAAUGGAUAACUUUUCUUCAAGUUAGCAAUCUUUGCUCUUUUCUGAAGCCAUUUUUUCUCUAUCUAUGAACUUUCUCUAAGGAAGUGAAAUCUAUAAGAAAGAUGAUAUCUGCUUGGAAAAGAUUGAUAGUUUCAAUAUGGAUUUUAUUCUACUAAUUAUUUUUUUCUUUUUGAAGAAAAGAAAAAGACUGAGAAGCCAUUUUUUUAAAUCAAUUUGUCCUUUUAAGUCAAGAAAAUAAUUUUAUUUAUUUCUAGUUAUAUGCUGAUUAAGAAUUACAAUUUCUUUCAAACUUAUCCCGCUUUUAAUUUUGUGCACAGGAAGAAAGGACACAAUGUCUUGACAAUUUCUCUCGAGCUUAUCCCACUUUUAAUUUUGUGCACAGGAAGAAAGGAUACAAUGUUUUCUUGCCCAUCGAUAACUAAAAUGUUUGGAAGAGAUUAAGAGUUAUUUUUAAAAAUAUUGAAUAUGUUUUUGAGAGAAUGUGGGUUAGUUAAACUAAGUUGUUUAGAGAUUCUUAAAUAUUUUCAAAAAUCUCUGAUUUUAAUUUACUUUUAGAAUAUUUUUCCCUUUGAAAACUUUUAAAUAUCUAAAAAAAUUUCACCCAAACAAUAAAAAAUUACUAAGGUUUAAAAACUUUUAAAAAAUAUAUAUUAUAAAAUCAUUUUUUAUGAUAAGUUGCAAAACCCACAACUUUUUUAUAUUAAAUUCUAUGAUUUUGUUAUGAUUUUGAUAUAAAUAAUUUAUUUUUACUUAGACUUUGAUUUGGAUAAGUUUUAAGCCGAAAAUAUAAUAAGGAAUCAAAAUAGACUAUUUUGGAGCUAUUUUCGUAUGGAAGGUACAACUUUGUCCAAGCCCGACGGACAUAUUCCAAAAUUACUGUCUUACCAGCGGUAUAGAGUUCAAAAUUAUUUUAGAUAGAUGUAAACACAAUUAUAUCAGAAUUAGGAUAAGAGUUAUUAUACAAAUAGUAGAUUUAUUUUACUUUUUCUUUUAAAUUAUUUUUUGUCUGGGAAAAGUCUAUAUAAAGGUUGCCUUAGAAGUAGAAUCCAUCAUCUCUUCUCCUCUUCUCCACACUCUCUUUUUUGUCUCUCUUCAGCUGAACGCCCCUUCCCCUUCUUUUUUUUUAUUUUCUGCAAUUUUGUUAUACCACUUAGAGGCUAAACUCUUUUAUUCAGUUGAAAGUCAAUCAAAUUGAGAUUUAUUUAAAGUUGUGAGAUUUUAUUUUUAAUUUCUGUUCAUCUUAUUUAUGUUUUUAAGUAAUUUCUAUUUUCGAGGAACACUACCUCCAUUAUUAUCCUUUUAGGAAUUCAAGAAGUCUAUUAAAUUUCUUAGAAAGAUAAUAUAUUGCUAAUUAACCCAAAUAAAUAUGCAAUUGUUUAAUUGAGUUAAUACAAGUAGCAAUUAGCAUAUUCGUUUAUGUUAAGAAAUUAAUUGAUUUGGUUUAAAUAAUUCGCUUAAUAUUAUUGAUCAAGUUUGGGUUCUUAUCUUCUUAAAGCAGUUAAUUAAUUAAAUCUACACGCUUGAUGGGAUUAUUAAUUAACUAGGAAUCAAUUUAAGUACUACACAGAUUAAUUUAAUCAUAAGGAAGAAUUGGUGGAAUUCACUUGUUUGAACACUGUAACCAAACAAUAGAUAAUUAAGUGAGCUAUCUUUGAAUCAAUGAUCAACUACAAACCUCUCAAUUUUAAUUAUCUUCAGCUGAGUCAUUAAUCUGAUUAUUUAUUUCAUCAUCAAACCAUUUUAUUUCUUCUUUAGUUUUUUUAAACAAUUUCUCCAAUUGUAAUUUUCUUCUUAUCUCUUUUUGUUUUAAACUGUUUUUCUUAUUUUAAUUUUUAUUUAAUUUAAACAAAGUUAAAGUUUCUGUAGGAUCGACACUAAUUUACUCUAUUUGCAAAAUAUUUUAAAUCAAGAAAAGGGAAAUCAAUUUUAAUUGACGGAUUCGACGCCUAUCAAAUUUUGGCCCCGUUGCCGGGGACCUUUAAUAAUUUAUUUUUAUUUUUAUGACCAGGUUUGAAAAUAGUGGAAUUCAAUUUGAUCCAGAAAUCAAGACGACUGCAAAAUGGUUGAGGAAAGUAACCAAGAUGCAAAACCAGACCAAUUCGAAAGUCUCUCAACCACCUGCCUAAUCACCUCUACAUGAGAACGCCAAUGACUCCACAUCUUCAAGACCACCCGAACACCUAGUUGAGCUUAAUAGAAGAGAAACGAUAGCCGCAGUUGCUGAGAGCAACCUCUUACAUUACAUGCCCAGUGUUGAACGCAUUUCUAGAAUUGCAAAUAGGUGUAAUUCAUAUAUUAACAAAAUUCCAAGGGUUGGAGAAUGAAGACCCAUAUCGCCAUCUGAAAGAAUUUUACGUGGUUUGUUCAAGUAUGAGACCACAAGGGAUAACUGAUGAACAAAUCAAGUUUGUUGUCCCUUGAAGCAACCUAAGAGGGGGGUGAAUUGGGUUUAUAAAAAAUCUAAGGCAAAAAGACAAAUUAGAAGGCAAUAAGAAAGAAGAUAAUCAACACAAGGAUUUAUAGAGGUUCAGCUAUCUCAAGCCUACGUCCUCUCCUCAAGACCUCCUUGAGAGUUCAACUCCACUAUCAAAUCUUCUUUGGGUGAAGAUUAAAAUCCCUUACAAUCUUAGAGCAAACCUUUGCUCUUAACAAUUCUCUUUUUCACUCAAGAGCAAUCCUUUGCUCAAUACCACACCCACUACAAUAGAAACAAUCAACAACCUUCACUCACUCUUAAAAAAUCAACCAAUUAUAACUCAAGAUAGGCUUCCAAGAAAUUAAUGCUUUGGCUCAAGGUUUUAAGAGAGAGAGAGUGAAAAAUGCUUUAAUCUCAAUAAGUAUUUGCUUAGAUGGUUGUUGUAACCUUUUAAUAUCGAAAAUACAUUAUAUUUAUAGUUCAGUCAUAAAUAUGGCCAUUGGGGAUGCAUUAAAUGCAAAUAGAGUCAUUUGUGUAUAGAAAUAAUCGUUAUAUCGUGCUUAGAAAAACUCAGGUUUGACGGCCUAAGCUUAAAGUUCGACAACCGAACCAUUUGAGGUGAAGAACAUCCUCCUUAUAAAAACACUUUCGGUGACCGAAAGUCAAUGUUCCUCACUUUCGGAAGCCAAAGUUUUGACUUGGGGAAAUAUUGAAAACUCACUUUCGGCGGCCGAACAUAUGGGACUUUCGUCUCUGUCCCUCACUUUCGGAAGCCAAACAUUUAGCUUAGAGGGCAUCUCACCUUCGGCGGCCGAAAGUCAAUGUUCGGCGACCGAACAUAUGGAACUUUCGUCUCUGUCCCUCACUUUCGGAAGCCGAAGGUUACACUUUAGGGGGCAAGUUGAAAACAGACUUUCAGCGGCCUAAAGUCAAAGUUUGGCGGUCGAACAUAUGAGACUUUUGCCUCUGUCCUUCACUUUCGGAAGCCGAAAGUUUGACUUUAGGGGGCACAAAAAUAAUUCUUUAAAACUUUGAAAAAUCAUAACUUAGGCUAUAAAACUCUAAUUUUUAAUUCGUUUGAAUUUUUGCAACCUAUAUUUUUGAAUCUUUUAUUUUGAUAAAAAAAUUUUGAAAUCACUCCUUUUGGAAAAUUUCAUUUUGGUCCCUCAAAGUCAAUCACUCAAAACUCGGUCGUAUUUGUAAAACUUUUAGAAGUGAAAGAAACCUUGAGCCAUCACAAUUAAUUAAUUGAAAUUCACAAUGCAUAAAUUGACAAUGCAUAAAGAAAAAAUUACUUUCUGAUCCGUUUCUUGUGGUAUGCUUCCAAAAUUGGCACUUUUCACUUUUGAGACUGAAGGAAUUUCAUUUAUUUCAAUAAGGGGCCUAUAAGCUCAACACAAACACUUUUGAAGACAAUUAGUAGCACACCAAUUGUUUAUUAAUCAUCAAAAUAAGGAUUAGAACAUUUAGGUCCAACAAUCUCCCCCUUUUUGAUGAUGACAAACAAUUGGUAAAUAAUAAGAUAAUAAUCACAAGUGUAGUGUGUGCAUUUUAAAAAUUACUCUCCCUUAAUGUGCUCCCCUUUUCAAAAAUAUUUUAUGCCAUAUUUAAAAUUUGAGAAGACACAUAAGGGGGGGCUUUGACUCAAUGCAAUGAGAUGUAAUGGAUCCUAUAUGAAUGAAUGAACAAAAAAAUGCAUCUUAAGAAGAGCUAUAAUCAUACACAACAUUCAUAAUUCAAGAGAGUCAAAUAAAUGUCAAGGUAUCAACACAUCAUCUAAUAUCCAUAAAUCCAAAAAAAGUUAAAUAAAUGUCAAGGUAUCAACACAUCAUCUAAUAUCCAUAAAACUCAUCUAAUAUGCACAUAUAUGAUACCAUAAUACCAUCUCCCCCUUCUGACAUCAUGAAAAACAAAUAUACCACAAUACCAAAAGGGGAAUAACAAGAGCAACUAUAUAUAAAAAAAAUAUCACUGAGCAGGCUGAGGAGGUGGCACUCCAGAUGACUGCUAAAGGAAGUACAUAAUCUGGCUCUGCUGCUCUAUGAGGGUCUGCUGCUGGUCAGUGAGUCGUACUAACUGCUGCUUCAUCUGAGUCUGGCGAUCAGACAUCUGAGCAACCUGCAGCUCCAGACGACCCAUGGCAUCAUAAAGAUCAGAUGUAGUCCGGGAAGAUGUACCCUGCCCGAUAGACUGCCCUGUACUAGCAUCUCCUUUAGGAGCCUGCUCUGUCUCUGGAUCAGCAGGAGAACCAUCAUCUGACUCCUCAUCAUCAGAAGCAUCGUGUGUCUGCGCUGAUGAUCGUGCUGCUCUGCGUGCUGCAAAAUCUCUCCUAGAAUUAUAAAAUUCACUGCCUCUCCUAGUCAGACCCAUGUGGAGGAGAGUAGCCUCAGUGUAGGGGGUGUACUCACUAGAUAAGGGUAAGGCAGACUUAGUAUUUGGGUUAACUCUUAGGGCUCAGAGAAGAAGAGUAAGAUGGCAACCAAAGGGGAGACAACCUCUACUCAGCCUAAGGGAGUCUGCUAUGGUAUGAAUCAUGAUAUGUGGCAGGUUAAGAGCUCAACCCUCUAGCAGACAGGACACCACAAACAUAUCAGAGUAGGAGAGAGCAGUCCUAUGACCUGCUCGUGGGAGAACCUCAUAGGUGACAAUGUGAUGUACGACUUUAGGUAGGGUAGUGAGGUCACAGGUCAUAAGCCUAGAUGGCUGCUCACACUCGGCGUCUCCUGAAGGGAAGAGACCUCACCAGUGAUCCACUUAUGAGUAGUGGAGACGACAGCCCCAGAGUUACGGAUACCUAGGUGCUGAGUAAUGAUGUAAUACCCGGCUAGACUCCGGUAUCAGAAUUCCUACCGUCCGGUGGAAUCUCGGAUGUCGGAAACCUCUAGAAGGGUAAAAUCAUAUUUUUAUAAAAUGUUUUAAUGUAUUUUAUGGUUUUAAGCAAAAAGGAAAAUUGAGUUUUAAAUGGAAAAGACCAAGGAGACAUUUCCAGGUUCGGCCGCCGAACCUCAAGUUCGGCCGCCGAACAUUGGAUGGUUUAGGGGGGCAAGUUAGGCUUCCGAAAAUCUCAAAGGUUCGGCCGCCGAACCUUAUGUUUGGCCGCCGAACUUGCAUGAGAUGUGGGGGCACGUUCGGCUGCCGAAAGGUGGUCUGCCAGCCCUAUAUAAGAGCUCCAUGGCCGAAACGGGCGAAUUUUCUCCCCAUUUUCGGCCACGGUGAGUUCAUGCUCUCCUAUGGUUUGUUUUUUAUGUUGUUCCUCUGAUCUUUCAUGUUUUAACAAGCUUUAUGUUGAUUUGAAGAGUUUUGAGCAAAAAGAGCAAGUUUUGGAAACUUGGGGAUCAAAGAGCGGAUCUCUCCCAUCUCCGAGUUGGAUCGUCUCUCCUCUCGUUUCACAAGAGGUAAGAGUAGAUCCAUAGUUCAUUACAUGUUUUAAGUAAGUUUUAUGAGGUUUUAUGGGGUAGAAAUGCAUGUGUAGGUUUAUGUGAAGUUUAUGGGUUUACUGUGCGUUUAUGAACAAUGUAUGUUGGUUAUGCAUGUUUGAUGUGUAGUAGAUGGGGUUUAGGAUAGUUUGAAGCCCUUAGGAGCUUGUAUGCUUGAGUAUGUAUGUUGUAGAAUAGGAAAAUGCAUGAUUGUAUGAGUUGGGAGGCAUUUGUGCAUGUUGGAACUGAGUUUCUGCCCUUUGGGAGAAACCAGGUUCGGCAGCCGAAGGCUCUUUCGGCCGCCGAACUUGCCUUUGGUAGCAUGUAUCGGCUGCCGAACCCUGCCCUCGAAAGUGGACUUUCGGCUCUGGAAGGGAGUUUCGGCCGCCGAAGGUGCCGCCGAACAUGUAUGAGUUUCGUCUCUGGAGGGAACCUUCGGCCGCCGAAAGUGCCGCCGAAGGUGCAUGAGUUUUGGCUUUGGAGGGCCUUUCGGCCGCCGAACCUGCCGCCAAAAGUGCCCUGUUCAGCCCUCCUUUGCAUGAUUUCCAUGAUUGUUUUAAGGUGUUUUAGGGGGUUUUUGGGGGGUAUUUUAGAGUCAUGUUUAUGUAUGUUAGGUCCCUCAUUUGAGUCCACCUGUGUAGGUUCGAACCCGAGGAACCGAGGACCUCAGCAGUGAGAUAGUUGCUUCAGAGUCAUUAGAGCUUCAACCAGAGGUGAGUGGAAUAACUUCUUAUGUUUUAAAAUAGAAAUAAAUCAGUUUUAGCAUGAUUCACGCAUCAUGAAUGCCAUGAGAUAUAAUAGGAUGUUUGCAUUAGAAUUCACGAAUAUGUUGCAUUGCAUAUUAUGUUGAUGAUGUGGAUGAAUGUUGAAUGAUCCUUUAGUCCUCGUAUGGUAUGACUUGAUGUGAUAUGGUAUGGUAUGGAAGUCCAGGUCGAGGCCCAUUCUACGCCCCUGGCACUAUGUAAGAGAAAGACCAGGUCGAGGCCCAUUCUACGCCCCUGGCAUUAUUGGAAUGUUAUGUUAUGUAUGUUAUGAUAAGAGAAAGACCAGGUCGAGGCCCAUUCUAUGCCCCUGGCACUAUUGGAAUGUGUUGAGGACUAUUGGUGACAAAUUCAUCCUUGAUGUGAUUAGCUGUGAUGUGAUGCAUUCCAUAUUAUCAUGUGGUUUAAUUAUAAUAUUUUAUUAUUUUGCUCACUGGGCUCUAGUAGCUCACCCCUCUCCCUUAAACCCCAGGCUUGCAGGUACAGGGUAGACCAGGAGGUCAGCAGGAGUAGAGUCUUGAUGUAUGUAAUAGAUAGUUGUGGAUAUGAAUAUGAUGUAACGUAAAAGUAUAGUAUAGAAAUGUUAUGUAAUGAUGUUUAUGGAUGUUAGAGUUGUGCUUAACCAUAGUAUGUUGUAAAUCCCUUUUUAGUACAUGAUCUUAGGUGUGUAAUGAUGCUUAUAUGAACCAAACUCAAUACAUGUUAUGUCACCCCAUUGGAGCAUUGAUGAGACUCCAAGGAGGGGUUAAUGUUUAUGAUUAUGUUUAUGUAUAGUGCAUGCACAGGUUGAGUUUGGCGAAUGAAUGAAUGAAUGAAUGAAAAGAAAAGUUCAAAUUUUUUAUGUAUGUUGUUGAUCAUGUAUGGGAUUAAACAGGUUCACAGGAUGUAUGUUAGGCUUGCUACGGGUCCUGGCGGUCUUAAGCCGAUCUGGAUCCUAGCGCCGGUAGCGGUCCGGUUUCCAGAUCGUUACAAAUGAUGUCAGGAGUGAGAUAAACUCGCUGACCAUUAACAAAACUGACUAGGUGGGGGGGAAAGUGACGUGUGAAAGUGUGUAGGUUAGCAUAAAACUCCUUAACUAUCCUAGGGUGAGUGUCUGAGGGAGUGAUAAGAAGAUGCUCCCAACCCUGGACAAUAAAUGGCUGACGAAAACCAUGAGAGCGAAAUAACUGAACACUGUUAGCAUGCACGAUUCUCCCAAGAUGAACAAAUCUGAGAGAAAAAGGCUGAAAGGUAGGAUCCUCCUCUCUGACUAUUGGGUACUCAAAGGGUGGAGAUGUAAGAGGGUCUAGGGAGGUGGACCUAGGAGGCUCAGCUUGCCUACUAGACUGACCUCUAAAGUAUGGGUGUCUAUGGGCUAUUUGUUUUCUUCCCAUUUUUCAAACAGACAAGAGCUAGAGAGGAAUAUGAUAUAAACAAAACAAAAAAAAAAUGACAAACAAGAAAAGGUCAUCCCAUAAGCAACACAAUACCACAAAAACCAGCCAACAAGCAACACAAUAACAAAUAACAACCAGAUAUCUAUCAUUGCACCAACCCAUAACCAACAGCAGAAAUCAUCCCAAAAAAAACUAAGUUUUGAUUAUUCACAAUUUGCAAAAAAAAAAAAAAAAUUUGUAAAACUAAACAAAUCAGAUAAAAUAACCCAACUAACAAAAUGUAUUUAUAAAGAGAAAAAUAAAAAUUACCCAACAUAUUUUAUAUGCCCAUAUCAUCAAUUUCAUAAAAAACACAACCCUAGGCAGAUUAGAGAGCUAAAAACAAGAUCAAAUCAAAAGAAAAUAAAGUAAAAAGCAUAAAAAAAAAUAGAGAGAGAAAGGUUUCAUACCCAAACUUAAAAAGCUCCAAAUGGUUUCCUUGAGAAGAAAAGAAAGUGAUUUUGUGCAUUUGAGUGAAGAAAGAGAGGAAAAAUGGAGGUUUUUGGGGGGAAAAUGGCUUAGAUCAGCCGAUUUUCGAAGAGGAAGCUGAAGAGAGCUUCGGGGAGAGAGAGAGAGUCGCAUGAGGAAGAUGAAGAAGACGAUGAGCUGUUGUGGGGGUUUUUAAAAAACGCGUAGUUUCGGCGGCCGAACUAAGAUUCGGCGGCCGAAACUGGACAAUUUUUGGUGGCCAAACUUGGACAAUGUUGUAAGUGUAUUUACCCUAGGCCAUUAUCUUGGACCUUUUUGUAUGUCAUUUUGGUUAUUAAUAAAAGAGGUUUUUAUUAUCAUUAUUAUUUGUUUGCAUAUUACAUAAUAAUGAUUCACAUCCCUAGUUACUUAUUAUUAUGUUGCUAAUAAUAAAAUAUAGCUAGUAUGAUUAUUGAUUGAUAUUCAUGAGAUGAUUAUGUAUAUGUUGAUAUAAUUCAAUAAUCAUAGAUACUUGUUAGAGAACAAAGUAUUGGAUGGACUCGCACUGAGAUUACUACAUGGGUUAUUGUCAUAAGUGAAUCUCAAAGUAAUUAUGUCUUAAUCUUUUGACUUGAGAUUGUCAUAGUAUCCAAUAUAAGGACUGCUAUGCUUUGACAUAACCAAACAUUAUUUUUAAUCGGACAAUCAUAAAGGUUAUGAUUGAGCAUGAUAGAAAUUAUGUAGAGGAUAUUGAACAAUCAAGAUAGAAUUUGUCCAUCUCUCUAAGAGAGAUAUCUUCUGGGCCCCUCGAUAAGUGACACUGAGAAAUGCAUGGCCGUGCUCAAAUGAAUUGAUAGUGUAAUCAAUAUCAUUUGAAUUUAUCAGUCUACUUAGAGAUCGAGAAAUCAUAAGUUUGAACAUUAUAAGUUUGACAUUGACCAUGACUUAUGUUCAAACUAGAUAUCGUGUGACAAAGGGAUUAAUACAUAUUCUAUUCAUUAGGCUUUAUCAGACUAUUGAUUCUCAUAUUAGUUGAGUAGUCAUAAUGUCUUGUUAGAGGCCGCUUAUGACUUAUGGGCCUUGUGAGACUAGGCCUAUUGCCAAUUAAUGUGAGCCUAUUGGGUCACACACAAAAAAACAUUGUUGAUGUGCUAUGUCAUAUUAAUGGGCUAAAAGCCCAAAGCCCAUUAAUAUAAUUAAUAAUAAUAAAGUGUUAUUAUUAAUAAUAUUAAUCAUUAAUAUAAUUAAUAAUAAUAAAGUGUUAUUAUUAUUAAUUAUUUAUUAUUAUAAGAUAAUAAUAUUUAAAAGAUCUACGGUCUAUCUGUAACUGUACAGAUAAAGGACUCUAUCACAUAAGAUAUUUAAGUAUCUGUGAGAUUGUGAUAGUUGGUUAUGAACAUAACUCUAUCACAUAAGAUAUUUGAGUAUCUGUAAGAUCGUGAUAGUGGGUUCUGAACACAACUCUUUUACGAAAAGAAUUGUGGGAAAAUAAAAGACUAAAAACAUAUAAAACCUCUUCUGUGAAGUGGAAGACAAAUGUUUUUUGGGUUUUUAGAGAAAUCUUUUCUAGUUGCAGAUUGGAAGCACAUAGAUUAUCCAUCUCAAGAGAGCUAGCACUCUAGAAGGAUAAUAGACGUUCCUAUGGAUACCAUUGAGGGUGUUUGUUUGAAAAAGCAGCACCAUUAGUCUGGCAUUGUAUCUUCUUAACGAGAUUAACAGGUUAGUCUCAUAUCCUUCCUUUGAAAUAAACGAAGCACUCGGAUUAUGGGAAGGAAAUCAGAGUUUUUUAUUUUUUCGCUGCAUAAUUUGGGUUGUAAUAAUCUCUGGAUUUUCCAACAGUGGUAUCAGGGCCUACCUGUGCUUUUCGUUUAAGUUAAUUAUGCCAUGAUUGAUGUGAUAUAUGCGAUAUAUGCUUAUUUGAAUGGCAUAAUAAUUAUGUAAAAUUUUAUGGAUGAAUGAUAGGAUCUUUUAGGUAAUUUUUGUUAGAAAAAUUAAAUUAAUAAAUAAGUAAAAAAAAAGGAUGAAUUUGCAACUGGAUUCACGAUGAACAGUCAUCGUGAACCCAUAAAUUAGCGAGGCUGAUAGGCGGACAUGGAGGGCGUGUGACGACCCUUCCAUCAUCGCAUCCAGUCGUUGCUGAGUCCUGGUCCGACGUGGUUAACCACACACUUUGGAAUUUCAAUGUUGUGUGAAAGAAUCACGAUUGGGGCAUCAUUGCAGAUGUCGCGGGCUGAAGCUGCUGUUUGUUACAGGAGAUCGCGACUUCCUUUGCAAUGCCGUCGAUCUUGCGCUCGAUUGGCGAUGGACGGGACAUCGGUGGGGGCGCAAAUGUUGCGCGUGCUUCUGAGUGCUGGUCUCCCAACGCAUGUGUAGAGAUUCUCAUGCGGUGGCUAGGGCUUCUUCCUAAGGAAGAAGAUGAUGCUCUAAUUACAAUUCUGCCCGUGGAAAUUUAAAAUAAAUAAAAUAAAUAAAUAAAAAAUUUUAAAUGAGAAAAUAAAUUUUAAAAUUAUUUUCUUUUAGUCUUUAAAUCAUAUUUAAAUGACUAUGUAAAAUAGUUUUAUUAUUUUGUCAUAUAUUAGUAUAAGAUACUAUGAACUAUAGUCUAUAUAUAUGUAUGCAUAUAGGAUGCUAUAACGUAUAUAUAUGCAAGACAAUAUAAUUAAAAUUGAAAGUUGAACCCUCAAUAUAAAUUUUAAGUUUUAAUGCCACCUAUAUAUUAAAUGCCUAUCAAAACUAAGAUCACCAAAAUGCAGGUUUUGCCAAAGCAAAUUGCUUAGGUUAUCUUAGUAAGAUAGGAUGAGUAAUAGUUACUCAUUUAUUUAAUUUUGGUUGGACUUAAUUAGGCUAUCAAAACGGUUUUGGGCCUAAGGUAUUAGAAGAGGUAUAAUAUGUAUUUGACAUAUGAUGUCAACACCUCAUAAUCUAAGAGUUACAUUAGAUGUAAUUGGUAAGGAGUUGCCUACCUAAAUAACUUAAUUCUAAGCGUCAUGCCAAAACUGACUUGGAAUUAGGUGAAAUAUGGAUUUUAGCCCACUAAAAUAUUAUUAUUGUAAUAAUUCUUUUUGAGGGUUGUAUUUUAGUGGGAGAUUAUUAUCACCUUAAUAUUAAUUUACUGAAUUGAUUAUAUUUGAAUAUUUUGUAGAUCAUUAUGGCUGCUAAUAACAAUUCCACUUCAUCACUGUGAUCCAUCCUUGAGAAGGAUAAACUGAAAGAAAAUGGGAUUAAUUUUGUUGACUGGUUUAGAAACUUGAGAAUUGUUCUCAAGCAAGAUAAAAAGUCCUAUGUGCUUGAUGAAGCUAUCCUUGAACCACCUCCUGCUGAUGCUAUUAAUGCUGUUAAGAACAAGCAUAAGAAGCAUAUGGUUGAUUCUAAUGACAUUGGAUGUCUUAUAUUGGCAACUAUGUGCCCAGAACUUUAGAAGGAUCUGGAGCACCUUGAGGCCUAUGGGAUGAGUGUCCAUCUCAAACAGGCUUUCCAACAGCAAGCAAGGCAGGAUAGGUAUGAAACUACCAUUGCAUUGCAUGAUUGCAAAAUGGCUGAAGGUGAAUCAGUUAGUGCUUAUGUUUUGAAAAUGAAAGGCUACAUUGAUCACCUUGCUAGGCUUGUUAUCCUCUAAGUUUAGAACUCUCUACGGAUUUGAUCCUACAUUCUUUACCUGACAGUUUUUGUCAGUUUGUCAUGAACUAUAACAUGAACAAUAUGGAGAAAUCCAUUCCUGAGCUGCAUGGGAUGCUAAAGACAGCUGAAGUAAAUAUCAAGAAAAGGCCUACCCAAAUUUUGAAUGUCAAUAAGGGUAAGCCCAUGAAAAAUAAGGGGAAGCCCAAGUCUAAAGGUGGUAAUGGGCCUAAGGGACGAGGCAAGCCUAAAUGGCAACCCAAGGCAAAAGUUCCUAAGGAAAUAGUUCCUAAGGAAGGAAUCUACUUCCAUUGCAAGGAACCAGGGCAUUGGAAGAGAAAUUGCAAACUCUAUUUGGAUGAGUGCAAGAAGAAGAAGAGUAGUGAGACUAUGACUUCGGGUAUUUAUGUUAUAGAUAUUAAUUUAUCUAUUUCUACUUCAUGGGUAUUGGAUACCGGAUGUGGUUCUCACAUUUGUACAAAUGUGCAGGGUCUCAAAAGGAGUAGAAAACUGAAAAAGGGCGAUGUGGACCUACGUGUAGGCAAUGGAGCAAGAGUUGCUGCCUUAGCUGUAGGGACUUAUGAACUUGUUUUUCCCAAUGGGCUUUUGUUAGUUUUGAACAAUUGCUUUUAUGUUCCUACUUUGAGUAGGAAUAUUAUUUCAGUUUCUGUUUUGGACGAUGAAGGUUUUUCAUUUCUUAUUAAGAAUAAGAAAUGCUCCAUUUAUAAAGAUGAUUUGCUUUAUUGUAUUGCAAAUUCAUAUGAUGGCCUUUAUGUCCUUAAUCUAGAUGAUUCUAGAGACAACAAUAUCUAUAACAUAACUUCUAAGAAAACUAAGCCAAAUGAGUUAAACCUAACAUAUUUAUGGCAUUGUCGUCUUAGCCAUAUAAAUGAGAAUCGCAUAUCUAAGCUCCAUAAGGAUGGUUUAUUAGAUUCAUUUGAUUUUGAAUCAUUUGAAAAUUGUGAAUCUUGUUUGCUUGGUAAGAUGACAAAGGACCCUUUUAUUGGACAAGGUCAAAGGGCUUAAGACUUAUUGGGCUUAAUACAUACAGAUGUAUGUGGCCCACUAAGCAUUAGUGCCAGGGAAGGUUAUCAGUACUUCAUUACAUUCACUGAUGAUUUUAGUAGGUAUGGCUAUGUCUACCUAAUGAAACAUAAGCAUGAAUCUUUUGAAAUGUUUAGAACUUUUCAAAAUGAAGUACAAAAUCAACUUGGUAGAACUAUUAAAAUGCUUCGAUCUGAUCGAGGUGGUGAAUAUUUGAGCCAAGAGUUUGAUGAACAUCUUAGAAAUUAUGGAAUUGUUUCACAAUUAACUCCUCUAGAAACUCCACAAUGGAAUGGUGUUUUUGAAAGGAGAAAUCAAACUUUAUUAGAUAUGGUUCGAUCUAUGAUGAGUCAAACAAAUCUCCCUUUAUCAUUUUGGGGUUAUGCCUUGGAAAUAGCUGCAUUCAUUUUAAACUGAGUACCAUCGAAAGCGGUUGAAAAGACACCAUAUGAGUUAUGGACUGGCAAAAUGCCCAGUUUGUCUUUGCUUAAGAUUUGGGUUUGUGAGGUUUAUGUUGAACGCCCAAUUUCAGAUAAGCUAGCUCCAAAAUCUAUCAAGUGCAAUUUUGUGAGGUAUCCUAAGAAAACCAAAGGAUACUAUUUCUAUAUUUCCUCAGAGAACAAAGUGUUUGUUGCUCGAAAUGGUACCUUUUUAGAAAAGGAAUUUAUUUCUCAGAGAUUCAGUGGGAGUACAGUGUGACUUGAGGAAACUCAAGCACCACAAGAGAGCAUUAAACCGCCGAUAGAACCACUUUCAGAACCACAAAUAGUUGUGGAAACUGAAAGGGUGACACAAGUCCCACGCAGAUCUGAUAGGACACGUCAUCAGCCUGAGAAAUACAGAUUUCUCAUGACUGAUAGUCGUGAACUUUUGCUCCUUGAUCAAUAUGAGCCUACUACCUAUCAAGAGGCUGUGUCAGGUCUAGAUUCUGAGAAAUGGCUUUCUGCCAUGAAAUCUGAAAUGCAAUCCAUGUAUGACAAUCAAGUUUGGUCAUUAAUUGAUUCCCCUGAGGGUGUUAAGACCAUUGGUUGCAAAUGGGUUUUCAAGAAGAAAACUGACAUGGAUGGAAAUGUGCAUACCUACAAAGCAAGGCUUGUCGCAAAAGAUUUCAAAUAAACUCAUGGUAUAGACUAUGAUGAGCCCUUUUCGCCAGUUGCAAUGCUUAAGUUGGUUAGAAUUCUCAUUGCCGCAUACUAUGAUUACGAGAUAUGGCAAAUGGAUGUCAAAACAGCUUUCUUUAAUGGAAACUUGCUCAAGGAUGUGUACAUGACACGACCUGAGGGUUUUGUAAUCCCUGAGAAUUCUGGAAAGAUUUGCAAGCUUCAAAGAUCCAUUUAUGGAUUGAAGCAAUCUUCUCGGAGUUGGAAUCUUCAUUUUGAUGAGACAGUCAGGGACUUUGGAUUCAUCAAGAAUGAAGAUGAACCUUGUGUUUACAAGAUGGUUAGUGGGAGUGCGGUUGUGUUUCUAGUCCUAUAUGUGGAUGACAUAUUACUCAUUGGAAAUGAUAUCCCUACCUUGCACAAGGUUAAGACUUGGUUAGGGAAUUCUUUUUCAAUGAAGGACUUAGGUGAGGCUGCAUAUAUCCUUGGUGUUAAGAUCUAUAGGGAUAGAUUCAAGAGGAUAAUCGGUCUGAGUCAAAGUACUUAUAUUGACAAGGUGCUGAAAAUUUUCAGCAUGCAAGAUUCCAAAAGAGGAUUCUUGCCCAUGUCUCAUGGUAUUCAUCUCAGCAAGAAUCAAUGUCCUAUGACAUCUGAUGAGCGAGAACGAAUGAAUAAGAUUCCUUAUGCUUCUGCUAUUGGAUCUAUCAUGUAUGUCAUGUUAUGUACCAGACCAGACGUCUCAUAUGCCUUGAGCACAACAAGCAGAUAUCAGACAGAUUCCGGUGAAAGUCACUGGACAGCUGUUAAGAAUAUCUUAAAGUACCUUAGAAGGACUAAGGAUGCAUUCCUAGUUUAUGGAGGUUUGGAAGACGAGCUAGUUGUAAAUGGUUACACAGAUGCUAGUUUCCAAACCGAUAUAGAUGAUUUCAAAUCGCAGUCAGGAUUUGUAUUCACGUUAAAUAGUGGAGCUGUUAGUUGAAAAAGUUCCAAGCAGAGCACUGUAGCAGAUUCUACAACAAAAGCUGAGUAUAUAGCAGCAUCAGAUACAGCUAAGGAGACAGUCUGGUUGAAGAAAUUCAUCUCAGAGUUGGGAGUGGUUCCCAGCAUUGCAAAUCCUAUGGACCUUUAUUGUGAUAACAAUGGUGCCAUAGCACAGUCAAAGGAGCCCAGAUCUCAUCAGAGAUCUAAACAUAUACUCAGACGAUAUCACCUUAUUCGAGAGAUCAUUGAUAGAGGAGAUAUCAAAAUAUGCAAAGUAAACACAAAUGACAACAUUGCAGAUCCACUGACCAAGCCUCUCUCACAGGUCAAGCAUGAUCAGCACACUAGGUCUAUGGGUAUUAGAUACUUGUAUGAUUAGGCCUAGUACAAGUGGAAGAUUGUUAGUGUAUUUGCCCUAGGCCAUUAUCCUGGACCUUUUUUUAUGUCGUUUUGGUUAUUAAUAAAAGAAGUUUUUAUUAUCAUUAUUAUUUGUUUGCAUAUUACAUAAUAAUGAUUCACAUCCCUAGUUACUUAUUAUUAUGUUGAUAAUAAUAAAAUAUAGCUAGUAUGAUUAUUGAUUGAUAAUCAUGAGAUGAUUAUGUAUAUGUUGAUAUAAUUCAAUAAUCAUAGAUACUUGUUAGAGAACAAAGUAGUGGAUGGACCCGCACUGAGAUUACUACAUGGGUUAUUGUCAUAAGUGAAUCUCAAAGUAGUUAUGUCUUAAUCCUUUGACUUGAGAUUGUCACAGUUUCCAACAUAAGGACUGUUAUGCUUUGACAUAACCAAAAAUUUUCUUUAAUCGGACAAUCAUAAAGGUUAUGAUUGAGCAUGAUAGAAAUUAUGUAGAGGAUAUUGAACAAUCAAGAUAGAAUUUGUCCCUCUCUCUAAGAGAGAUAUCUUCCGGGCCCUUCGAUAAGUGAGACUGAGAAAUGCAUGGCCAUGCUCAAAUAAAUUGAUAGUGUGAUCAAUAUCAUUUGAAUUUAUCAGUCUACUUAGAGAUCGAGAAAUCAUAAGUUUGAACACUAUAAGUUUGACAUUGACCAUGACUUAAGUUCAAACUAGAUAUCGCGUGACAAAAGGAUUAAUACAUGUUCUAUUCAUUAGGCUUUAUCGGACUAUUGAUCCUCAUAUUAGUUGGGUAGUCAUAAUGUCUUGCUAGAGGCCGCUUAUGACUUAUGGGCCUUGUGGGACUGGGCCUAUUGCUAAUUAAUGUGAGCCCAUUGGGUCACACAUAAAAGAACGUUGUUGAUGUGCUAUGUCAUAUUAAUGGGCUAAAAGCCCAAAGCCCAUUAAUAUAAUUAAUAAUAAUAAAGUGUUAUUAUUAUUAAUAUUAAUCAUUAAUAUAGUUAAUAAUAAUAAAGUGUUAUUAUCAUUAAUUAUUUAUUAUUAUAAGAUAAUAAUAUUUAAAAGAUCUGCCAUCUAUCUGUAACUAUUACAGAUAAAUGACUCUAUCAUAUAAGAUUUUUGAGUAUCUGCGAGAUUGUGAUAGUUGGUUAUGAACACAACUCUAUCACAUAAGAUAUUUGAGUAUCUGCGAGAUCGUGAUAGUGGGUUCUAAACACAACUCUUUUACGAAAAGAAUUGUGGGAAAAUGAAAGUCUAAAAACAUAUAAAACCUCUUCUGUGAAGUGGAAGGCAAAGGUUUUUUGGGUUUUUAGAGAAAUCUUUUCUAGUUGCAGAUUGGGAGCAUAUAGAUUAUCCAUCUCAAGAGAGCUAGCACUCUAAAAGGAUAAUAGACGUUCGUGUGGAUACCAUUGAGGGUGUUCGUUUGAAAAAGCAGCACCAUCAGUCCGGCAUUGUAUCUUCUCGACGAGAUUAACAGGUUAGUCUCAUAUCCUUCCUUUGAAAUAAACAAAGCAUUCAGAUUCUAGGAAGGAAAUCAGAGUUUUUUAUUUUUCCGCUGCGCAAUUUGGGUUGCAAUAAUCUCUGGAUUUCCCAACAAAUGUUAGGCGGCCGAAUAAAAUGUUAGGCGGCUGAAAAGAAGAGAAGAAAAAGAGAGAAUUUCCCGCUUUUCGUAUUGCCUUUGAAACUUAAGGUUAGGGGGCCAAAUAUGCGUUCGAACCUGAAAUUUUUGGGCUCCUUUUUUUUUAAAAAAAAAAUUUUAAUUAAAGAAAUUUAGAAAGAAUUCUAAAGUGUUUUGAACAAAAAAUUAAAUCAUUGAGGAGAAUAAAUAAUUUAAAAUGACAUUUUCAUUACAAUUCAUUUUGGGUAUGUCAAAACAUGAAAAAACAAUAAAAAAGAUAUCAAACCAUUUGACAAACUAAAAUAUAGAACAAGUAAAGGAAAGAAAAAAAAAUUAAAAACACAUACUUAACAAACAACACCAUCUAACAUUCCCAAUUCCCUUUUAAUAAAGUUAAAUCUUUCUUCAUUUAAAGGUUUAGUAAAAAUAUCAGCUAAUUGGUUGUUUGUAUCCAUAAACUCAAGAACAAUGUCACCAUUUAACACAUGAUCGCGAAUGACAUGAUGUCUAAUGUCAAUAUGCUUAGUUCUAGAAUAUUGAAUGGGGUUCUUGGUUAGAUUGAUUGCACUAGUAUUAUCACAUUUAAUAGGAAUUUGAUCAAGAGAUACUUCAAAAUCUCUCAAUUGUUGCUUAAUCCAAAGGAUUUGACUACAAUAAAGACCCGCCGCCACAUAGUCGGCUUCGGCGGUUGAAAGUGCAACUGAAUUUUGUUUCUUGCUAUACCAAGAAACAAGAGAUUGUCCUAGAAUUUGACAAGUACCCGAGGUACUUUUCCUAUCAAGGAUGCUUCUAGCAAAGUCGACAUCCGAGUAGGAAUACAAACUAAAGGAAGUAUUUCUAGGAUACCAUAACCCCAAAUGUAAUGAACCAUUCAAAUAUCUAAGAUUGCGUUUAACGGCAUGCAAAUGUGACUCUUUAGGACAUGAUUGAAAACGUGCACACAAGCAUACAGAAAACAUAAUAUCUGGUCUAGAUGCGGUGAGGUAUAAAAGGCUUCCGAUCAUACCUCUAUAGAGCUUUUCAUCAAUCGAUUUACCUUUUUCAUCGUUGUCAAGCUUGGUGUUUGUGCUCAUUGGAGUUCUACUAGGCUUGCUAUUCUCCAUUCCAAACCUUUUGAUUAGCUCCUUUGUGUAUUUGGCUUGGUUGAUGAAGAUGCCAUCCUUAGCUUGUUUGAUUUGAAGCCAAAGGAAGAAUUUGAGUUCUCCCAUCAUGCUCAUCUCAAACUCGGUUUUCAUAACUUUUGAAAACUCUUCACACAAACACACAUUAGUAGCACCAAAUAUGAUAUCAUCAACAUAUAUUUGCACUACAAGGAUGUCAUUUUUAUGAUUUUUGACAAAAAAUGUUGUAUCCACUUUUCCUUUUGAAAAACCAUUUUGCAAAAGGAAAUUAUUUCAUACCAAGCUCUUGGAGCUUGUUUUAAGCCAUACAAAGCUUUUGACAAUUUAAAAACAUGAUUUGGAAAGUCAUGAUUUUUAAACCCCGGAGGUUGCUCAACAUAAACCUCCUCUUCAAUAAAACCAUUUAAAAAGGCACUUUUCACAUCCAUUUGAAAGAGUUUAAAAUUCAUAUAGUAUGCAUAUGCAAGCAAGAUUCUAAUGGCUUCUAAUCUAGCUACGGGGCAAAUGUUUCAUCAUAGUCUAUGCCCUCCUCUUAGUUAUAGCCUUUAGCUACUAACCUAGCUUUGUUUCUAAUGAUGUUGCCAUCCUCAUCAAGCUUAUUUCUAAACACCCAUUUGAUGCCUAUAGUGGGGUGAUGUUUAGGUCUAGUAACUAAGGUCCAAACCUUGUUCCUUUCAAAUUGGUUGAGUUCUUCUUGCAUAGCAAGAACCCAACUCUCAUCACUAAUAGCCUCAUCUAUAGAUUUAGGUUCUAUAUGAGAUAUGAAUGCAAUAUUAUUACAUACAUGUCUAAUAGAGGAUCUAGUUGUUACCCCUUGUGAUGCAUCACCAAUUAUUUGGUCCUUGGGGUGAUCCUUCUUAUAGGUCUAAUCCUUUGGCAAGUCAUGUUGAGCUCCUUGACUUUGUGUAAUUUGCAUUUGUUGCUCUUGGAGUCCAACCUCAUCUUUCUUUGUCUCUAUUGAAUCCUCUUUAGGUAGACUUUGAUCUCCAUGAGGUUGACGAUCUUCAAUAGUCAACUCAUCAAGGUUAUAUCUACAAGAUCAUCAUCACAAGCUACCUCCUUUCUAGGGGCAAAGGGAUUAGAUUCAUAAAAAACAACAUGCAUUGACUCUUCAACUAUCAAGGUUCUUUUAUUGAAAAUUCUAUAUAAUUUACUAGAUGUAGAGUAUCCUAAGAAGAUACCUUCAUCGGUUUUGGAGUCAAAUUUGCCUAAAUUAUCCUUGUUGUUUAAUAUGAAGCACUUACAACCAAAAACUCUAAAAUAACUAACUCUAGGUUUUCUUCCAUUCCAAAGCUCAUAAGGAGUCUUAUUUAAGAGAGGCCUAAUUAAAACUCUAUUUGAAACAUAACAAGCCGUAUUUAUGGCUUUCGCCCAAAAAUAAAUAGGUAGAUUAUACUCUCUUAACAUAGUCCUCCCUGUAUCUAAAAGAGUUCUAUUUUCUCUUUCAACAACACCAUUUUGUUGAGGAGUCCUAGGAGAUAAAAAGUUAUGAGAGAUUCCUAACUUAUUACAAAAGAUUUCAAAUCUUUCAUUUUCAAAUUCUCUACCAUGAUCACUCCUUAUAGAAGAAAUUUGAAAACUUUUUUCAUUUUGAACUUUCUUUGCAAAACUUUUAAAGGCAUCAAAACAAUCAUCCUUAUGAGCAAGGAACUCAACCCAAGUGUACCUAGACUAGUCAUCAACUAUAACAAACCCAUAAUGCAUGCCACCAAGACUAGCUACCCUAGUUGGACCAAAUAAAUCCAUAUGCAAAAGUUGUAAAGGCCUAGAAGUGAUUACCUUGUUAAUAGAUUUAAAAGAGCUUUUAACUUGCUUACCUAUUUGACAUGCGUCACACACUUUGUCCUUUUCAUAUUUGACCUUUGGAAGGCCAUCAACUAGCUCAUCUUUGCUCAAAUAUUUGAGAAGAUCCAUGCUAGCAUGAGAAAGUCUUCUAUGCCAAAUCCAAGAGUUAUCACUAAUAGAAAUAAAGCACUUCAUAUCUAGGUUAGUCAUAUCUUGUAAAUCAAUAAGAUAGAUAUUUUCAACUCUUUCACCAAUAAACAAUAUUUUGUUAUCCGACAUUCUAGAGACAAAACAUGAUUUUGGUUCAAAGAUAACUCUACAACCUUUAUCACAUAAUUGACUUACACUUAAUAAGUUAUGCUUCAAACGAUCAACUAAGAGAACCUUAUCAAGAAUAGGAGAGUUUUCCUUAUCGACUUUACCUAUUCCAAUAAUUUUACCUUUUCCAUUAUCUCCAAAAGUUACUUGUCCGCUUUCGUCUUUCUUUUUAAGAGAGAUGAAGUGACUUGGAUUUCCGGUCAUGUGCCUUGAACAUCUACUAUCUAGAUACCAUUUGCUUUCAAUUUUUAAGGAUUUCAAGCACACCUAAAGAAAAGAGAUUCAAAAACUUUUAGGUACCCAAAUGUACUUGGAUCCUUGGGGGUUAGUCAUUUCAUUUUCAAAUUUCCAUAUGCUACCAUAUCCAAGAUGUAAUUUUCUAAUAGUACACCUAUAGUUGGUAUGACCAAACUUGCCACAAUAGUGACAACGACCAUUGAACUUUCUUAUUCUAGGUCCAUAGGUGAGUGAGUGUGUUUGAGUUCUCAUGUAGCCAUUUCUCCCUUGUUUAUUAAAAGCAUGUGAGCAAGAGAUAUGAUGAGAGUGGUGAUUGCGUGAACUAGAAAUGUGUGUUCUAUAAUGAUCAUUUCUUUUAUAUGCAAAUCGCCUAGGUGUGUGUCUUAUACUAGUAUUGUAACUAGUGGAUUGGUGUACAUAUGCAUUCCUUAUAGGUGUAUUUCUUAUAGGUGCAUUCCUUAUAGACAUAUUACUACUAGAAGCUUUAGGUAUAUUUCAAUUAAAGCUAUAUACCUUAGGUUCAUUUAAGUUAGUAGCUUUAACAAAAACCGUCUUAGAAGAAUUUGCUUAAGUUGAUUUAUCAUAGCCAAGGCUAUACUUGAUGCUAGGAGACCUUUGAGAGUAAUAUUUCAUCAAGUUUGUCCUUGCCUUUUAAAAAUUUUGAAAGAGAAUUUUUCAACUCAAGGAUUUCAUUUUUUAGAUUUUUAUUUUCUAAUGAGAGCUCAUCUAAGGAUUUUUGUAAAUGAUCAUUUGAGGGUAAAGGUUCCUUAGGUGAGUUCUCACUUUUCCUUUUUAAGCUAGCUAACUCACAUUUCAAAAUUUUAUUUUUCUUAUGACUCUUUUCAAGUUCAUCAUUCAUCAAUUUUAAAGCACCAACAAGUUCAUCAUAAGAAAAUUCAACAACAUCAUCAUAUAAGGUAGUGUUGUCAAUAGUAGUUACCUCAUCGGAGCUUUUCUCUAGAGCCAUGAAGCACAUGUUGGCAAUUUCAUCACCAACGUCCUCCUCUUCGAUAUCACUUGACUCAUCCCAUGUUGCUUUGAAGGCCUUCUUCUUGAACUUUUUGAUAGGCUUCUUCAACUUGGGACAAUCCACUUUGUAGUGACCCGGCUUAUUGCACUCAUAGCAAAUGACUACUUCCUUUUUGCUUGAUUCACCUUUUUUCUUUCUAAAAUUCUUCCUUGGGAUGAACUUUUUAUUUUGGAGAAGCAACUUCCUUAUUCUCCUAGUCACUAAGGCUAAUUCUUCCUCACUUAUUUCUUCUUCUUCCUCACUAGUAUCUUCGGAGGCUACCCUUAGAGCAAUGUUCUUUUUUAUUUUGCUAGGUUCCUCUACUUGCACUCUCUUUAGAGUCAUCUCAUAAUCAAUGAGGUUCCCCAAAAGUUCAUCCAAUUACACUUUGCUCAAGUCUUUGGCAUCCUUUAAAGAAGUUACUUUUGGUAGCCAUUCUUUAGGUAGACAUCUAAGGAUUUUCUUCACCAAUUCUUCAUUUGUGAAUGUCUUCCCAAGAGAUGUCUUCCCAAGAGAUUUCAUCCCUCCAAUGAUCUCAAUGAACCUAUCAUACAUUUGACUAAUAGUUUCAUCGGAUUUCAUUUUGAACAAUUCAUAUUGGUAGAUUAGGGAUUCCAUCUUAUUUUCUUUGACUUGAUUGGUUCCUUCAUGAGUGACAACCAAAGCAUCCCAAAUUUCCUUUGCGGUAGACUUCAUGCAUACUUUGUUGUACUCACUUCUACUAUGAGCACAAAACAAGAUGUGAAUGGCUUUGUCAUUAAGGGCUAUCCUUCUCUUUUCUAGUUCACUCCAUUCACUCUUGGGUUUUUGCUCUUGGUUUCCUUCUAUCACUCUUGUGGGAAAGAAAGGACCAUUCUCUACAAUAUCCCACAAAUCAACUCCUUCCGAUUUGAGGAAAUAAUACAUUCUAUUUUUCCAAUAUAAAAAGUCACUUCCAUCAAAGAAAUGUGGCCUCACAACCGAUUGACCUUCUUGAGAAUUGAGGGUUGCCAUCCGAUCUUUUCUCCAAGAUGAUUAAAUCUUCAAGAUAGGGAGACUUAGCUCUGAUACCACUUGUUGUCCCUUGAAGCACACAAGAGAGGGGGUGAAUUGGGUUUAUAAAAAAUUUAAGGCAAAAAGACAAAUUAGAAGGCAAUAAGAAAGAAGAUAAUCAACACAAGGAUUUAUAGAGGUUCAGCUAUCUCAACCCUAUGUCCUCUCCUCAAGGCCCUCCUUGAGAGUUCAACUCCACUAUCAAAUCUUCUUUGGGUGAAGAUUAAAACCCCUUACAAUCUUAGAGCAAACCUUUGCUCUUAACAAUUCUUUUUUUCACCCAAGAGCAAUCCUUUGCUCAAUACCACACCCACUACAAUAGAAACAAUCAACAACCUUCACUCACUCUUAAAAAACCAACCAAUUACAACUCAAGAUAGGCUUUUAAGAAAUUAAUGCUUUGGCUCAAGAUUUUGAGAGAGAGAGAGUGAAAAAUGCUUUAAUCUCAAUAAGUAUUUGCUUAGAUGGUUGUUGUAACCUUUUAAUAUAAAAACCACAUUAUAUUUAUAGUUCAGUCAUAAAUAUGGCCGUUGGGGAUGCAUUAAAUGCAAAUAGAGCCGUUUGUGUACAGAAAUAACCAUUAUAUCGUGCUUAGGAAAACUUAGGUUCAGCGGCCUAAGCUUAAAGUUUGGCAGCCGAACCAUUUGAGGUGAAGAACAUCCUUCUUUACAGCGGCCGAACAUAUGGGACUUUCAUCUCUGUCCCUCACUUUCGGAAGCCGAAGUUUUGACUUGUGAAAAUAUUGAAAACUCACUUUCGGCGGCCGAAAGUCAAUGUUUGGCGGCCGAACAUAUGAGACUUUCAUCUCUGUCCCUCACUUUCGGAAGCCAAACAUUUAGCUUAGGGGGCAUCUCACCUUCGGCGGCCGAAAGUCAAUGUUCGGCGGUUGAACAUAUGAGACUUUCGUCUCUGUCCCUCACUUUCAGAAGCCGAAGGUUACACUUUAGGGGGCAAGUUGAAAACAGACUUUCAGCUACCUACAGUCAAUGUUCGCGAUCGAACAUGUGGGACUUUUGCCUCUGUCCUUCACUUUCGAAAGCCGAAAGUUUGACUUUAGGGGGCACAAAAAUAAUUCUUUAAAACUUUAAAAAAUCAUAACUUAGGCUAUAAAACUCCAAUUUUUAAUCCGUUUGAAUUUUUGCAACCUAUAUUUUUGGAUCUUUUAUUUUGAUAAAAAAUAAUUUUGAAAUAACUUCUUUUGGAAAAUUUCAUUUUGGUCCCUCAAAGUCAAUCACUCAAAACUCGAUCGUAUUUGUAAAACUUUUAAAAGUGAAAGAAACCUUGAGCCAUCACAAUUAAUUAAUUGAAAUUCACAAUGCAUAAAUUGACAAUGCAUUAAGAAAAAAUUACUUUAUGAUCCCUUUCUUGUGGUAUGCUUCCAAAAUUGGCACUUUUCACUUUUGAGACUGAAGAAAUUUCAUUUAUUUCAAUAAGGGACCUACAAGCUCAACACAAAUACUUUUGAAGACAAUUAGUAGCACACCAAUUGUUUAUUAAUCAUCAAAAUAAGGAUUAAAACAUUUAGGUCCAACAAGGUUAAUAGCCUUUCCUUUUACUUUGAUUGAAUCUGCUAAGAAUUGGCUCUACUAUUUGCCUCCAAGCUCAAUUACCACUUGGGUGCAAAUUAGAAAUUUGGUUUUAGAAAGGUUUUUUCCAGCAACUAAAACUUCAUCUAAAAGAAAUCAAAUAAGUGGAAUUAAACAAAGAAAAAAUGAAAUGCUCCAUGAAUAUUGGGAACGUUAUAAAAAAUUGAUUGCAAGCUGUCCAAAACAUGGAAUCACCGGAAAAUAACUCAACUCUCACUUCUAUGAAGGACUUUUGCAAUUUGAAAGGAGAAUAUGUUGCUAAUGGAGGUACUAUUUCGAAAAUGGAACUUGAAGAAGGUAAAACUUUAAUCUCAAAAAUAGCUGCCAACUCUAGACAAUAUGGCCGAGAUGAGGACAUUCUAGGAAUGCGAAUGAGAUAAGUAUUACAUCUUUAGAUUCUAAAAUUUCACAACUUAUCGCUGUAAUUCAACAAUUGGCUGUAGGAAAUAAUGUAAGAAUUUGUGGCAUUUGCAAAAAAAUCGACCAUCCCAUAGAUAUGUCUUACCCUUUAAGAAGAUUAGCAACAGGUAAAUAUAAUUGGAGGAUUCAAUGGACAGCAAAGAAAGUACGAUCUAUUUUUAAAUACAUACAAUCCAAGGUGAAAAAAUCACCCAAACCUUAGUUAUGGGAAUAGACAGCCAAAUUUUCAACUAAGAGCGAAUUAUUAAGCUACAAAAUCAAGUAUAUCUUUAGAAGACAUUGUACAAUCUCUUGCUAAUAGCACUCUUACUUUUCAAUAGGAAACGAAGUCGAGCAUUCAAAAUUUGGAUAACCAAAUGAGCCAACUUGUCGUAUAAAAGAGCAAGCUGGAAUCUCAAGGGAAACUGCCCUCCCAAACCGUUCCAAACCCAAAACAAAAUGCAAGCACAGUUACAUUGCGAAGCGGAAAAGAAUUGGAAAUUGCCAGCUUGAAAAGGCUUUCCCAAGGCAAUGCGACAAACCAGAUGCUAGAAGUAGAAAUGAAAAUUUCAGUAGAGAACCAGUCCUAGAAAUCAAAGGUAGAACAACCCCUAAUUCAAGUAACACGUCCUCCUUUUCUUAAAAGACUUGCUCAAUCCAAAAGGGAAAGGGAAGAAAAAGAGAUCUUGGAGAUUUUUUGCAAAGUCCAGGUGAAACUAUUAAGCAAAUAUCCAGGUAUGUGAAAUUUUUAAAAGAUCUCUAUACUAAUAAAAGGAAAUUGUAUGGGCAUGAAACGAUUAAAGUAGGUAAAAUGUGUCAGUUGUACUUCAAAGAAAAAUUUCACAAAAAAGUAAAGAUAAAGGCAUGUUUGCAAUAUCAUGUAAAGUUGGUAACUUUGAAGUUAGGAUGACAAUGUGUGAUUUAGGAGCUUCCAUAAAUAUUAUGGCUCUGUCUGUUUAUUUGUCUUUGGAUGCAAGUUCUUUAAAACAAACAUGAGUCACACUCCAACUCACUAAUAGAUCAAUAGUCUAUCCAAAGGGCAUAUUGGAGGAUGUCUUGGUUCGAGUGGAAAAUUAAUUUUUCCAGUAGACUUUUUUGUCUUAAACAUGGAAGACGAUAGUUCAUCCAACUCUACUGAUUUGUUGCUAAGGAGACCAUUCCUCAGCACAGCCAGAAUAAAGAUUGACGUGCAUAAAGACACGCUCACAAUGGAGUUUAAUGGAGAAGAGGUAAACUUUAAUGUCUAUGAUGCAAUGAAGUAUUCUGAUGAUAAUUUUUCUCUUUGCAGCAUAGAUAUUAUUUAUCCUCUCGCUCAAGAAGCAUUUGAAUUAAGUAAAAAAGACAAGUUGGAGGUAGUUCUAACCGAAAAGUUCAUGUUGGACUGCUUAGACAAUAGUACAACUCAACUCAAUGAGGAGAUCGUAGAAACAGUCCGCUCAUCAGACACAUCGAACCAUAAGGUAAGUGCUUCUAACUCACUUUCAAUACCUGAAACUCACCACAAACUUCUCUCAUCUAUUCUUCAGGGACCGAAAAUUGAGCUAAAAACACUUCCUAUGAACUUGAAAUAUGUAUUCUUAGGGAGUGAGAACACCCUUCUAAUCAUAGUUUCUAAUAAGUUAAAUGAGGGUGAAGAAGAUAAACUUGUUAAGGUAUUGAAAGAGUAUGAGGAAGCUGUUAGAUGGAUAAUCACAGAUCUCAAGGUAUUAAGUCUCUUUACGUGCAUGCACAAGAUUCUCCUUGAAGAGGAUAGUAAGCCGAAGAGGGAGGUACAAAGAAGAUUAAACCCUCCUAUGAUGGAGAUUGUAAAAAAGGAUGUAUUAAAAUUACUUAAUGUAGGAAUAAUAGAUCCAAUUUCAGCCAGCAGUUGGGUAAGUCCAGUCCAAGUCGUACCCAAUAAGAUAGGAAUAAUAGUGAUAACCAAUUUAGAAGGAGAUUCAGUUCCCACUCGUAUUCAAAAUGGGUGAAGGGUUUGUAUAGACUAUCACUAAAUUCAGUAACUAGGAAGAAUCAUUUUCCUUUACCUUUUAUUGAUCAAAUGUUAAAAAGAUUCGCAGAAAAAUCUCACUUUUGUUAUUUGGAUGAUUUUUCAGGUUUUUAUCAAAUACUAGUGGCCCCAGAAGAUAAGGAGAAAAUGACUUUUACAUGUCUAUUUUGCAUUUUCGACUAUAGAAGAAUGCCCUUUGGACUCUGCAAUGCACCAACAACUUUCCAAAGGUAUAUGGUCAGUAUAUUUUAGAAAUUUGUUAAGAAGAUAAUAGAGGUAUUCGCGGACGACUUUACAAUUUAUGGUAAUUCAUUUGAUGAAUGUCUAAUCAAUCUCAUUCAUAUUUUGAAAAGAUGUUUGGAGUUCAAUUUAGUCUUGAAUUAUAAAAAAUGUUAUUUCAUGGUGGAUCAAGGUUUAAUUUUAGGUCACGUAGUCUCUAAAAGAGGAAUUGAGGUUGAUAAGACUAAAGUUGAUGUGUUUAAGACUUUACCAUAUCCCACUUGUGUACGGGACAUUAGAUAUUUUCUUGGUCAUGCAAGGUUUUACAGGAGAUUAAUUAAGGAUUGCUCAGCCAUUAUGCAAGCUUUUGCAAAAGGAUGUGCUAUUUAAUUUUGAUGAAGAGUGUCAAGAAGCCUUUGACACUCUAAAACAAAAGUUAGUUGCUACUCCUAUCAUGCAAGCACUGAAUUGGGAAUAUCCAUUUGAAAUAAUGUGUGACGCAAGCAAUUAUGCCUUAGGAGCCGUCCUUGGUCAACGAAUUGAUAAAAAAACUUCAUAUUAUAUGUUAUGCAUCUAGAACCUUAGAUAAGGCCUAGAGCAAUUAUACCAUCACUGAACAAGAACUUUUAGCAAUUGUCUUUAUCUUAGAAAGAUUUACAUCAUAUUUAUUAAGUACUAAACACUACAAAAAAAGAGAUUUAGCGACCAAUUUUUUUGUCGCUAUUUGUGAAUUAGCGACCAGUUUGUGACUAAAAUAAUUGGUCUGAAUAUGCCCAGUUGCUAUAGAAGUAGCGACCAAUUUGAAUUCGGUCGGUAAUAUUAUGACCAAUCAGUGACGAAAAGCUAUCGCUAUUUGGGUGCUAAGACAAGAUGCCAUUUCAAAUUUUGAUUGCUAAAUUUGUCACGAAUUGGUCACUACCAUUUGGUCGCUAAUGGUGUUACAAAAGGGUCAUUAAAGUUGGUUUAAAUAGUUAAUUCAAUUUGAUCGGUGAUAUUAUCGCAAAAUGGUCGCUAUGAUGUGGAUGGUAAUUGGGCCCUAAUCUAUCGUUAUUUUGUCGCAAAAUAGUCAUUAUUUUGUCGCGGAAUGGUUGCUAAUUAUUGAUCACUAUAAAACUAAUUUAUCAAUAUUUGUUACCUAAUAUAUUCAUUGUAACGCCCCGGAAAUCCGGACCGCUACCGGCGCUAGGAUCCAGAUUGGCGUAAGGCCGCCGGGACCCGUAGCAAGCCUAACAUACAACCUGUAUACCUGUAUAGUCCCAUACAUGAUCAACAGCAUACAUAAAACUGUAAACAUUUUUCUUUCUUUUCCAAGCUCAACCUGUGCAUGCACAUAACUAUAGACAUAAACCUCCACUGGAGCCCUCAUCAAAUGCUCCCAUGGNNNNNNNNNNNNNNNNNNNNNNNNNNNNNNNNNNNNNNNNNNNNNNNNNNNNNNNNNNNNNNNNNNNNNNNNNNNNNNNNNNNNNNNNNNNNNNNNNNNNNNNNNNNNNNNNNNNNNNNNNNNNNNNNNNNNNNNNNNNNNNNNNNNNNNNNNNNNNNNNNNNNNNNNNNNNNNNNNNNNNNNNNNNNNNNNNNNNNNNNNNNNNNNNNNNNNNNNNNNNNNNNNNNNNNNNNNNNNNNNNNNNNNNNNNNNNNNNNNNNNNNNNNNNNNNNNNNNNNNNNNNNNNNNNNNNNNNNNNNNNNNNNNNNNNNNNNNNNNNNNNNNNNNNNNNNNNNNNNNNNNNNNNNNNNNNNNNNNNNNNNNNNNNNNNNNNNNNNNNNNNNNNNNNNNNNNNNNNNNNNNNNNNNNNNNNNNNNNNNNNNNNNNNNNNNNNNNNNNNNNNNNNNNNNNNNNNNNNNNNNNNNNNNNNNNNNNNNNNNNNNNNNNNNNNNNNNNNNNNNNNNNNNNNNNNNNNNNNNNNNNNNNNNNNNNNNNNNNNNNNNNNNNNNNNNNNNNNNNNNNNNNNNNNNNNNNNNNNNNNNNNNNNNNNNNNNNNNNNNNNNNNNNNNNNNNNNNNNNNNNNNNNNNNNNNNNNNNNNNNNNNNNNNNNNNNNNNNNNNNNNNNNNNNNNNNNNNNNNNNNNNNNNNNNNNNNNNNNNNNNNNNNNNNNNNNNNNNNNNNNNNNNNNNNNNNNNNNNNNNNNNNNNNNNNNNNNNNNNNNNNNNNNNNNNNNNNNNNNNNNNNNNNNNNNNNNNNNNNNNNNNNNNNNNNNNNNNNNNNNNNNNNNNNNNNNNNNNNNNNNNNNNNNNNNNNNNNNNNNNNNNNNNNNNNNNNNNNNNNNNNNNNNNNNNNNNNNNNNNNNNNNNNNNNNNNNNNNNNNNNNNNNNNNNNNNNNNNNNNNNNNNNNNNNNNNNNNNNNNNNNNNNNNNNNNNNNNNNNNNNNNNNNNNNNNNNNNNNNNNNNNNNNNNNNNNNNNNNNNNNNNNNNNNNNNNNNNNNNNNNNNNNNNNNNNNNNNNNNNNNNNNNNNNNNNNNNNNNNNNNNNNNNNNNNNNNNNNNNNNNNNNNNNNNNNNNNNNNNNNNNNNNNNNNNNNNNNNNNNNNNNNNNNNNNNNNNNNNNNNNNNNNNNNNNNNNNNNNNNNNNNNNNNNNNNNNNNNNNNNNNNNNNNNNNNNNNNNNNNNNNNNNNNNNNNNNNNNNNNNNNNNNNNNNNNNNNNNNNNNNNNNNNNNNNNNNNNNNNNNNNNNNNNNNNNNNNNNNNNNNNNNNNNNNNNNNNNNNNNNNNNNNNNNNNNNNNNNNNNNNNNNNNNNNNNNNNNNNNNNNNNNNNNNNNNNNNNNNNNNNNNNNNNNNNNNNNNNNNNNNNNNNNNNNNNNNNNNNNNNNNNNNNNNNNNNNNNNNNNNNNNNNNNNNNNNNNNNNNNNNNNNNNNNNNNNNNNNNNNNNNNNNNNNNNNNNNNNNNNNNNNNNNNNNNNNNNNNNNNNNNNNNNNNNNNNNNNNNNNNNNNNNNNNNNNNNNNNNNNNNNNNNNNNNNNNNNNNNNNNNNNNNNNNNNNNNNNNNNNNNNNNNNNNNNNNNNNNNNNNNNNNNNNNNNNNNNNNNNNNNNNNNNNNNNNNNNNNNNNNNNNNNNNNNNNNNNNNNNNNNNNNNNNNNNNNNNNNNNNNNNNNNNNNNNNNNNNNNNNNNNNNNNNNNNNNNNNNNNNNNNNNNNNNNNNNNNNNNNNNNNNNNNNNNNNNNNNNNNNNNNNNNNNNNNNNNNNNNNNNNNNNNNNNNNNNNNNNNNNNNNNNNNNNNNNNNNNNNNNNNNNNNNNNNNNNNNNNNNNNNNNNNNNNNNNNNNNNNNNNNNNNNNNNNNNNNNNNNNNNNNNNNNNNNNNNNNNNNNNNNNNNNNNNNNNNNNNNNNNNNNNNNNNNNNNNNNNNNNNNNNNNNNNNNNNNNNNNNNNNNNNNNNNNNNNNNNNNNNNNNNNNNNNNNNNNNNNNNNNNNNNNNNNNNNNNNNNNNNNNNNNNNNNNNNNNNNNNNNNNNNNNNNNNNNNNNNNNNNNNNNNNNNNNNNNNNNNNNNNNNNNNNNNNNNNNNNNNNNNNNNNNNNNNNNNNNNNNNNNNNNNNNNNNNNNNNNNNNNNNNNNNNNNNNNNNNNNNNNNNNNNNAUUAAGGCAUCAAAAACCCAUAAGCUCAACAUAUACCCUAACAUGCAUUCUACCCCUUAAAACUUCAUAAAACUUGUUUAAAACGCAUAAUAAGGGUGGAUCCGAGCUUACCUCUUGAAGAAACGAGAGGGAAGACGAUCCUAGCUUGGAGAUGAAGAGAUUGAGCUCCUUGAACCUCCAAGCACAUACUUAAAACAUUAAAACACAUGAAAACAUUUUAUAAAAACAAGCUUUUACCCUUCUAGAGGUUUCCGACAUCCAAAAUUCCACCGGACGGUAGGAAUUCCGAUACCGGAGUCUAGCCGGGUAUUACAUUCAUAAACCUGUUGUAACAACAAUAUGUAAAUAUAUAUUUUCAAUCCACAGUUCUUCAAUCUAAAAUAAUAUGUACAAAAUUUUUUAAAUAAUAAUAUGGACAUAUAUAAUUCAGUCCACAAUUCUGCAAUCUAAAAUAGCAAAAAAUAAAAUUUAUUAUAAUAACAAUUUUUACACAUUUCAAUCCACCAUUACGCAAUUAAUUACUGCCCCAAAACUAAUUUAUCAAUAUUUGUUACCUAAUAUAUUCAUAAACAUGUUGUAACAAUAAUAUGUGCACAUGUAUUUUCAAUCCACAGUUCUUAAUCUAAAAUAGUAAAAACAAAACUUGUUAAAUAACAAUAUUUACAUAUAUAAUUCAGUUCAAAAUUCCUCAAUCUAAAUAGCAAAAAACAAAACAUAUUAUAAUAAUAAUUUCUACACAUUUCAAUCCAUCAUUAUGCAAUCUAAAAUAGCAAAAACAAUAAUAUUAUCCAACAAUAAAAGUUUAAAUACUAAAAAUACACAAUAAAUAUAAAUAGUACUAUACGAAGUUAGAAUAUUUAAAAAGCACUAAUAGUUUAAUGUAGUUUAAUAACAUACAGAGAAUCAAUGUCAAGCUAGAAGUGAGUCUCAUCUUAUUCCAUAUGUGAAGUAUUAAAGGAUCCAUGAGCUGGAUAAAUAUCAGAUGUACAUAUAUAAUUCAGUCCACAAUUCUGUAAUCUAAAAUAGCAAAAAAUAAAAUUUAUUAUAAUAACAAUUUUUAUUCAUUUCAAUCCACCAUUAUGCAAUUUAUUACUACCCCAAAAUUAAUUUUUCAAUAUUUGUUACCUAAUAUAUUCAUAAACAUGCUGUAACAAUAACAGGUGCACAUAUAUUUUCAAUCCACAGUUCUUAAUCUAAAACAGUAAAAACAAAACUUGUUUAAUAACAAUAUGUACAUAUAUAAUUCAGUUCACAAUUUCGCAAUCUAAAAUAGUAAAAAAUAAAACCUGUUAUAAUAACAAUUGCUACGCAUUUCAAUCCAUCAUUACACAAUCUAAAAUAGCAAAAACAAUAAUAUUAUCCAAUAAUAAAAGUUUAAAUACUAAAAAUAUACAAUAAAUACAAAUAAUACUAUACGAAAUUAAAAUAUUUAAAAAGCACUGGUAGUUUAAUGUAGUUUAAUAACAUAUGUAGAAUUAAUGUCAAGCUAGGAGUGAGUCUCAUCUUGUUCCAUGUGUAAAGUAUCAGAGGAUCCAUGAGCUGGAUGAAUAUCAAAUGAUGAUGGCAUUGAUGAAGAGGCAUGUUGUCCUGUCCUUGAUGCCCGUAGUUCUUUACGCAUUUCAGCUAACAUGCAAUUUUGUUCCUCCACAAUUUUUUACAAAGAAUUAUACUUCCCUUCCAUAUCUUUCUUUCAUUCUGGUGAUUGGGAUGAUGACAUAUUUGUUGAUGUACUCCCUGAUCCUGACUGAGAGAAGGCAGAGGAGACAACAUUUCCUAGACCAUAAACUCAACUUCCUUUUCACCCUCCCGCUGCUUGUAUGAAAAACUCAUUGUCAUUAGUUGCUGCUCCAACUCCUUCAAUAUCUGAGGCCACAAGUAGGCUCACCUGUUGUUCUUUUAGUUUCAAAUAAUUUUUAUGAAAAAUCACAUAGCAAUAAUAUUAGUUAUUUAUGGAUAUUUAUUUAUUUACUUGGUCCCGUGAGCUACCUUAAAAAAAAUCUCUUUAAAAGAGCACAACUAUACACACAUGUAUUUACAUAAUAAUAUUCUUUGGCCUUCAAUUAAAAUAUAAUAUCCACAAAAAUCAGGCUCAAUCUCAAUUUUUACAAUACAAGUACGAAGACAUCAUAUAUAAUUCCUAGUACAAAUGUAAUUUAAAUAAUUCUUAUUUAGUUAGAAACCUAUAUAAACAAUCUCAACUCAUUUAUUAAUAAAUUUGUUGUGGUCACUCUUCUUCGUAUAGGUAUUCAUAAACAACUCAGCUGCUGUUGGAGGAACUUUGUCUGUAGAUGCAUUUUGCAUGGACUCUGCAUGCUCCUCAUGUGUGAUGGACCCACCUGUAUGCUUAGAAGGACCAGCUCCUUCACCUCCCUUUUCAGUUAGGUGAUUCUUCGAGUACUUCAUCGACUUUGCCACAAAUUCUGGAGUGCUCCAAUCUAAGUUCCAUUUGUCCCAAACUUCAACUGAUAUAUAAACACUCCUUUUUUUUUUUUAUUCUUUUCAUUAUUGUGGAAGUCUUUAUACUGAAUUGCUGAUUUUUUAUUCCAAUAUUUUCUCAAUAUAGCAUCACUUUCACCAUCCCAAUAAAACUCUUUCUGUAAAUUUAUUUUAAAAAAAUGUAUAUAAUACAAUAUAGGUUAUAAGACAUAUAAUGUUUUCUAGAAUGCAUAAUAAAUAAACUUUUUAAUAUACUUGAAACUCUUUGAAAUAAAAACCUUUAGUGGAUUGUGGGAUAUUCUUCCAUGAAGAACCACAUCAACAUUAUAUUAUUGAAAAAUUCUUGUGUAUGCACUGGAUGUCUUCUCAGAUGGCACAACACUAUAGUAAUUUAAUAAUAACAACAUAAUUUAAAGUAAUCAAUAUAAAUAAAAUAAAUUAGACAUAUAUAUAUACACAAAAAAGUAACUAAUAUUAAUAUACUUACUUUCCACUUGCAUUCACAUAACAAUAAGUCCUAGUCACAUGCACUACGGCUGUAGAUGAGUGAUCUCUUAUGAUUGGUGCAGCUUUACUAGCACCUGAACCAGAAAUAGAACUUGAAGAGAUUGUUAGAAGGGCUACAGGGGUUGAUGGAUCAAGUGAAGGGGUUUUUGAAGUAGGUUCAGGGGAAUGGGAGCAGGUGUAAGUGCUAUAGGGGCUGUUGGAGUAGGUGAAGGAGCUAUAGGGACUGCUAGAGCAUGUACAGGUGCUAUAGGGGCUUAUGGAAUAGAUGUAGGGGCUGAAGUGCCUCAACCACAACCUAAUGCCUCACUUUGACCUCAACCUAGUUGAACACUAUGGCCAACAUUACAUGUGUCUUAUUUGCCUCUACCCCUUGCCAUAGCUGUAAAAAAAAAAAAACAAAUUGGAGGUUAGUAUAUUAAAGGAAUCAAAUACAAUAAACAAUUCUAACAAUAAGAAUAAAGGCAGAAAAGUUUACUAUGCAGUUUGGAAUUUUCUAAUCUAUGUCAUUUUCAUUGUUGUCUGAACUAGAAUAAAUAUAUAUCUCUUCAUCUUCAUCUUCUACCACUUCAUUAAUAUCCACUUCACCACCCUCUGGAUCAUUUAAUGCAUCAAGUAAUCCCUCUUCAUUUAAGUCUACUGGAUGCAAAGUUAUAUUAUUUUCUUGAUAUGCAACUACAAUUGAAGCAUUUGAAGGUGUAGCAACUUUCGAUAAUUUGAUGACUGGCCUAGCCUUAAUUUUUAUCACAGAUUGCCAAUCAGACUUUACUUGUCUCAACGAUGGAUAUGGAACAAAUAAACUUGUUGUGCUUGGCUUGCCAAAAUAAAUGGCUCAUACUUAUGAAAUCUCCUUCUCUGAUUAACAUCCAUAAUAUUAUACCUCUGAUGAAUUUGCAUUCCGACAUUCAAUGUGGGAUCGAACCAUUCACAGUGGAAUAAAAUUAUCCACUUGAUAGGCAAAACCGAAUACUCUAAUUCCAAAACCUCUAUCAACUUACAAUAGUAAUUACUUGAUUGAUCAUUGUAAUUUGUUUCUGUAAUGCAUACACCACUAUUCAUCAUCAUUCGAUUAACACUUCAUCCCUCAGUGUGAAAUUUAUAUUCAUUUACAUAAUACUCUGUAUAUACAUUGACUGUAUUUAGAGAUCCUUUAGUUAAAUCUUGGAUGAGGAGAUUAUUUAUUGCAUUGGCUGGAUCAUACACCUAUGAGACACAAAUAUAUAUAAUAAAUUUCAAUCCUUUGAUUGAAAUACAUUAUAUUGUAGUAUUAAAAAUUACUUAUGUAUGUUUUUAACUAUGUGGGAAAGUUGUUCUCCAACCUAACGUCUACUUCACCAUUGGUAAUGUUAGGUGAUGUCCUUCGUAGUUCCUCAAUGUAUAUUCUUGCAAUUAGAGAAGUUCUAAAACAUUAAUUAUUUUCAUUAAUUUGUAAACAUUAGUAAUUUGACUUUACAACACUUACUUGGUAAAUGGCGAAACUUCUUCAUAAUUUAGUAAGAUAUACAAUUGUGCUAUUUUUCUUUCCUCCUUUGUUAGUAUCCUUUUCUUUGAUUGUCUUAUGGGCCUAUCCGGAUAUUUGAAUAUUGAUAAAUUUUCUUCUCCCUCGUGGCCUUCUACCAGACCACCAUCACCAUUAUGCGGAACCCGCCGAUGCCUUGUGUAAACAUGUGACUCAAAAUAGUAAGCACAAAAAGAAGUUGUUUCUUCUACUAAGUAUGCGUUAGCAAUUGAUCCUUCAACUUUGACUUUUUUUUUAACAUUCUACUCCAGAACUCUAUUGUACCUAUAUUAUGGAAACAAAUUAGCCUACCAAUUAAGAAUAUUUAAUAGUAUAAUACUUUAAAAAUGUAACGACCCGAAAAUCGGACCGCUACCGGCGCUAGGAUCCGGGUCGACUUAAGGCCGCCGGGACCCGUAGCAAGCCAAACAUACAUUCUGGAAACCUGUUUAAUCCCAUACAUGAUCAAGAAAAUACAUAAAAAUUUAAAACUUUUCUUUCAUACAUCCAACUCAACCUGAACAUGCACUGCACAUAGUCAUAAUCAUAAACAUGAUCCCUCUAUGGGAUCUCAUCAAUGCCCCAAUGGGCGAAACAUCAUAAGAUGAGUUGGCUUUCAUGAACAUAAUAAAACUUUUUUUUUUGAUCAUGUAAUAAAAGGGAUACCUCAUACACAAUGUCAAGCACAAUAUCUAAUCCUCAAUAUCAUUACAUGACUGAAACUGUACUUUUACAUAACAUUAACACAUUUAUCAUGUCCACACUAACUAUUACAUACACGUGACUUCAUUACUCUUGUAAACCUCCUGGUCUACCCUGUACCUGCAAUCCUGGGGAAAUUGGGAGAGGGGUGAGCUACUAGAGCCCAGUGAGCAGAAUAAUAAAACACUUAAAACAUAUGAUAACAUGAAAUGCAUCACAUCACAGCUANNNNNNNNNNNNNNNNNNNNNNNNNNNNNNNNNNNNNNNNNNNNNNNNNNNNNNNNNNNNNNNNNNNNNNNNNNNNNNNNNNNNNNNNNNNNNNNNNNNNNNNNNNNNNNNNNNNNNNNNNNNNNNNNNNNNNNNNNNNNNNNNNNNNNNNNNNNNNNNNNNNNNNNNNNNNNNNNNNNNNNNNNNNNNNNNNNNNNNNNNNNNNNNNNNNNNNNNNNNNNNNNNNNNNNNNNNNNNNNNNNNNNNNNNNNNNNNNNNNNNNNNNNNNNNNNNNNNNNNNNNNNNNNNNNNNNNNNNNNNNNNNNNNNNNNNNNNNNNNNNNNNNNNNNNNNNNNNNNNNNNNNNNNNNNNNNNNNNNNNNNNNNNNNNNNNNNNNNNNNNNNNNNNNNNNNNNNNNNNNNNNNNNNNNNNNNNNNNNNNNNNNNNNNNNNNNNNNNNNNNNNNNNNNNNNNNNNNNNNNNNNNNNNNNNNNNNNNNNNNNNNNNNNNNNNNNNNNNNNNNNNNNNNNNNNNNNNNNNNNNNNNNNNNNNNNNNNNNNNNNNNNNNNNNNNNNNNNNNNNNNNNNNNNNNNNNNNNNNNNNNNNNNNNNNNNNNNNNNNNNNNNNNNNNNNNNNNNNNNNNNNNNNNNNNNNNNNNNNNNNNNNNNNNNNNNNNNNNNNNNNNNNNNNNNNNNNNNNNNNNNNNNNNNNNNNNNNNNNNNNNNNNNNNNNNNNNNNNNNNNNNNNNNNNNNNNNNNNNNNNNNNNNNNNNNNNNNNNNNNNNNNNNNNNNNNNNNNNNNNNNNNNNNNNNNNNNNNNNNNNNNNNNNNNNNNNNNNNNNNNNNNNNNNNNNNNNNNNNNNNNNNNNNNNNNNNNNNNNNNNNNNNNNNNNNNNNNNNNNNNNNNNNNNNNNNNNNNNNNNNNNNNNNNNNNNNNNNNNNNNNNNNNNNNNNNNNNNNNNNNNNNNNNNNNNNNNNNNNNNNNNNNNNNNNNNNNNNNNNNNNNNNNNNNNNNNNNNNNNNNNNNNNNNNNNNNNNNNNNNNNNCCAUAAACCUAACCAUGAGCUAAACAUGCAUUCUACCCCAUAGAUCUUGCAUAAAACUUACUUUAAACAUGAAAUGAGCUUAAGAUCGGCUCUUACCUCUUGAAGAUCGAGAGAGAGACGUCCUAAACUCGGAGGUGGGAGAUUUUUGGGUUCUCGAACCUCAAAGCUCCAAAACUUGCUUAAAACUCGGAAAUCUUCAAAACAAGAUGAAAACUAGUGAAAAACUUGAAAGAUUUGAAGGAAAAGACUCAAGAUCGGUGAGGGGUGGCGGAGGACUCACCUGGGCCGACAACGGGGAGAAAAACUCGCCCGUUUUCGGCUAAGAGACCCUUUUAUAGUGGCUGGCCAGGCCACGUUCGGGGGCCGAACGUGCCUCCGCAUGCAUGCCAUGUUCGGCGGCCAAACUUGAGGUUCGGCGGCCGAACUUGGACUUUCCUCACUUAUGCUUUCGGGGGCCUAAAGGCGUUCCCGAAGGCAUGCAUGUUCGGCGGCCGAACCUGAGUUUUCCUUCAAGGUUGUUUUUAUGCAAAAACUCAUUUCUAUUUUACUUAAAACCAUGAAAUACCUUAAAACAUUUUAUAAAAACAUGAUUCUACCCUACUAGAGGCUUCCGACAUCCGAGAUUCCAUCGGACGGUAGGAAUUCCGAUACCGGAGUCUAGCC
rnacentral:lncRNA from 1 species